rnacentral:lncRNA from 1 species
AUUAAACAAGGCUUAGCUCUUCCAGAUCGUGAACCUUUUAAUCCGAAGACAGCAAGUCCACAAGACUGUCAAGAGCUUCAACAGAAAACUAUGCCUUUCUUCGCAGACCUGCCUUCUCUGGUUGACUCAACAUUAUGCUCCACUUGACCUGAUGAAGCAUGUUCCAAGCAACCGAAUAGUAGUUAAGUUUCAAUUCUUUACACUUAUUUACAUCAUACCCAACUUAGUUCUCAUUGUGUGUAGUCUAGUUUUCAGUAGGAAUCUCGUGUUUGUAUAGAACUAUUGUAUCCUUGUCAUCGAUCUUUGUUUUAUUUUCAUUUAUCUUGUUAUGCAGGAAUAUACUUAAUUAUUGUGAUUAAAACAAAAAUUAUGAUCGGUUUCAUGUGCCUAUUAAAGCUAUAAGAAAUUAAACUUUUGAAUUCAAAAGGACAUCCAGCAAUUUGCCACGGGCUGGCGUAAGAGUUCUGACAUUAACAAGCCGUCAUUGUCCCAACCAACUUGAAGUUCUGUCUGGCAAUUCUUCAUAAUUUUUGACGAACGUAAAAGCUAACAACUAACUUCAACAGAGUAAGCAUUCAAUGGUCGAUUAUUUUAAUAUUAUAUUCACUCAAUAAUUGAGGAUGAUACCAAAUGUUUGUGGCUCAGUUGUUAGUACAGGCUGAGUUUGUGGGAAGAGUUUUGUGGGAAGAGUUUUCGGGUUUGAUCUCCACUAAACACACCAUUUGGGAGGGGUAAAGAGUUUUAAUUGUGACUACACUCCGAAUUUGGAUUAAUCGAGGCCCAAUGCGGUGCCGGUCGCGGCACACUAAAUGGUUUACAACAAAAAAAAAAAAUUGAGGAUGAGUCUUUCUUUGUUAUUAUAUCAAUUGUUUUAUAAUUUUAAGAAGAUGAAUCAGCAUUGUAAGCCAUCAUUUUCAUUUAUAAUAAAAUUUAAUAUACAAAAUGACUGGUGAGGUACCACCAUACCAGGCGGUGCAUGGAAAGAUGGGGAAUUUGGGACUUCCAGUGCGGCGAGAGACUGAGCAUGAGGGUGCUGCAGCGGCUGGGCAUCACUUAUGAGGUAGCUACUUAAUGACCUGAUCAGUUGAGUUUUGGGGAAUUUGGAUUUUGGAUCAAUUAGUUAGGGAGUUGAGUGAGUUUUGUAACUUUAAGAAAAUAGAAUUUGACUGUAAUUAUUAGUUAUAUCUUUUACGAUAAGUUUUAAUAAGAGUAAAUUUACAAUUAAUUAUUAUUAUUUUUUUUAAAAAAAAAAACCUUAGCCUCCUCUUACCUCCGCCCUUGGUACCUGCUAAAACCAAAUACCCAAAUUAUGAAAACGAAGAGCGAGACGAUAUGUUACUGGAUUGUUAUCAAAAUUUGAAGCUAGAACUUAGCAAUUGCCCAAAGAUAAAGAUUUGCUAAGAUUUUAGACCCACAGACUUUUUAGUACCAAUUUAUCUUCUUUCCUUUAAGAAUGUUGGUGAUUUGUAGAGCCAUGCCCUGUAUUCAAAAUAAACAAAUUUGAAGAAUAUAUCUGUUGAUUCCGGUAGGGCAGGAGUCUCAUGCACAAGUUUCUCAUCUAUUUUCUUACCAGAACAAAUUUCUAGUCAAAAUGAGGGUGUGAAAGGAAGAUAAAUAGACGAAAUUUGGCCCACCACUUCAUUCUUCCUAAAUGAAUAGCUUUUUACCCUAUUAAACGAGGAAAAAUGGAUUAGAUUCUCCCUUAAUUUGAUCUGAUUAGUGAUUACUAAAUAAAGACCACACACUUUAUUGUAGUGUGUUUCGUCAUUUAAUACAUUGCAGUUUGUAUGUGGCCCUAGUUUAGUUGGGUAUUAGAUCACUUAAUUGGAAAGGGACUUCCUUAAUUAUUUUUCAAAAGCACAUCCUAUAAGACUCCAACAGAUGGAGUCCAAGUUCUAGAAUAGAUGAAUAAAUGAUGUCAGUUAAAUGGCAAUAGCCCACCAAAGAAGACAAGGAAAACAAGUUAGGAGAGAUUUUACGGUAUACCAAAAGUACUACAUUUAAUUAAUACAUAUACGUUAUAUGUGUAUUUAUUUUAAAAAAUUUAUCAUGUAAUUAAUAGUUAUAUUUAAUUAAACUAUACAUAUCAUACAUGUAUUAAUUAUAUGUAGCACCUAUAUUAUACUCUAGAAUUUCUCACAAGAUAAUAUGUCAAUAUAUCACAAACACAAAGUUUGAAUCCUGUGAAAUAUGUUUAAAAUUGACUCUUGUAGAAAUUAUUAUGUGGUGGUGAAAUGAUUAUGAUAAAUAAUAUAUUAACACAUGUCAAUAUAUAAUUAUGCUACAUCAAUGAGGGUACCAUUGGUUUCACAUUUUUAUUUUACGUCUUAACUUUUGUAUUGACAAUAUUAGUUUUGUAUUAUAUAUAUAUAUAUAUAUAUAUAUAUAUAUAUAUAUAUAUAUAUAUAUAUAUAUAUAUAUAUAUAUAUAUAUAUAUAUAUAUAUAUAUAACUACUAAGUUAUUUUUUGCAAUCAAUAAAUAUCUAAUAACUCAAUACUUUUAUAUUUAUGCUCAUAAAAUUUUUACUUUUUAAAUAAAUAUUAAAAUAUCUUUAAAAUAAUAAAUUAUAUUUUUUUAACACUAAUUAAAACAAAUAAUUUUCACAUUUAAUCUUGUUUUAGUUUAUAACAUGGACCAUUCGCUCACCACUUGGCAUAACUUUGUAACCUAGGUCCUGUUUGGAAUCAAAGUAUUAUACCUUUUAAGUUACAACUGCCGUAAAAAUUUUGUAAUUAUAAAACAAAAAAUUAAUAGCUGUGAACUUAAUGAUUGCUUACUAAACUUUAGGCAUUUAUUUAUUUAAUUAAUUGUCUAAAAUUUACUUGUUAAUGUUAUUGACAAUACUUAUGUAUUGAUUAAAAAGAUGAAGUAAGGUAUUGAUCUUAUUGAUCAACAGAAAUAUUUUAUACUAGAUUGACAUAUUUGUGUAUUUAUUUUAAUGUUAAAACUUUAAUUUCUCAUUUAUACUGAUAAAAUUUAGAAAUGGGUAUUAUAUGUAGAUUUUUAAGCUCCUAUUAUAAAUUUAUAGUUUGACUUAUAUAAUUUAAUUUAUUUUUUAUGUUUUUAAAAGUAUUGUUUUAAUAUUUGUGAAGUAAAAACCCAUUGCAGGUUACGCGAGGAUUUAGUAAUUGUUAAAACCUACAACAUGUGAAUUUUUUUUUUUAAAUAAAAAACCCAUAGCGAGUUAAGAAUUUACUAAUUUAAUUACUUUUUACAAGUGCAUGUUUGAUAAUGAUAAAAUCACUGCACUGAAAGAAAUUCUAUGAAGAAUAUAAUUAUUGUUCUGUGUUUUUAAUGAAAUUUACAGAAUUAUUUAUACAAAAUAAAGACAAAGUAGCCGUUGAAAGGCUUAAUAAUAUUAAAGGAGAAUAAGUGAAUACUUCCUAAACUAUUGCACAAUAUCUUUAUAAAAUAGGAAUGAAGUAUUCCUACAUGAUAUUGACAUUCAAGUGCAAAAAUCGUGCCGGAGAUAUUCCUUGACAAAUAACUUUGACGUGAGCAAGUCGUGUGGAGUGAUAAACCCGACUUGACCGUUAAUGACUAGCUAAACAACAUAAAUAAAUGUAUAACGAUUCUUAUAUAAAAUGCCACCACCCCAACAUAAUUUCUUCAGUUAUAUUUACUUGGAAACAAGAGAGAUGAAUAUGAAGAAGCAGAAGCCAAAAGCUAUUGUAGUUGGAGGAAGCAUUGCUGGGGAAUCAUGCGCAAAAGCACUUAUUUCAGCAGGCUGGGAUGUUGUUGUGAUUGAGAAAACUCGUGGACCCCCAACCCAAAACCCAACCGGUGCUGGCCUUGGACUCGAUCCACUGGCUCAGAAAAUUGUUCAGUCAUGGCUCCAUGAACCUGAACUUCUUUACAACAACACUUUACCUCUCACCAUUACUGAGGUAUAUAAUAUAAUAUAUUUAAUUUCUUUUUUCCUAGUAGAAUCCAGUAGUGCUUUGAAUUAUACUGAUCUCUUAAAGAUAUUAGUUGCACACGUGUAUAUACAAUGGUGUAUGGUUAAGAUUUGAUAAAAGUAUAUUUUGCUCUGCACAAAGUACAAUUUAGAAUGGAAUCUCAUUGGGAAAAAAAAUAUCUAUAUAUGUUGAAUAGAUAAAAUUUCAAUUUGUGUUUAAUUGCAGAACCUAGCAACAGAUGGGGAAAAGAAGAUCAGCUGGGUAAUAGGAAGAGAAGAAGGCAAUAAGUAUCUGAAUGCAUAUUGGGCUGAUCUUCAUGGCCUUAUAUACAAUACUCUGCCACCUGAAAUAUUUUUAUGGGGUCACCGGUACCUGUCUUUCUGUAUUUCUGAAGACAAAUUAACUGUCAAAGUUAGAGCUAAGGAUCUUGAGACUGAUGAAAUAAUCGAGAUAGUAGGAGAUUUGCUCGUCGGAGCAGAUGGGAUCCUCUCAUCAAUUGGUCGGAGCAUUCUACCUGACUUCAAAUUGAGGUUUGUGCUUGCUUGUGAAUAUCAAUAAAAGUAAUUAAUUUUUGAGUAUUUUGUUUCAUAAAUUUCAAUGUGUUUUUAAUAGGUACACAGGAUACUGUGCGUGGAGAGGUGUUUUUAAUUUUUCAGAAAACGAUUCAGAAACCAUCUUAGGCAUUCGAAAAUCGUAUCCUGAUAUUGGGAAAUGCCUUUACACGAAUAUUGGUUCAGGAUCUCACAUCAUACUCACUGAGCUUAAGAAAGAGAAGUUCAAUUGGGUUUGGUAUGUCAAUCAACCUGAGCCCGAGCUCAAGGUAACUGCUUACUUUUGUUUCAUCUUUUUAUUUUGUUUUCGGGGUUUUGGGUUGAGUGCUAAAAUCUAAUUUUUGCAAACGAUCAACACAGCUCAGACCAUCACUGGAUCCAAUUUUUUUUUUUAAUUUUAAUUUUCCGGUUUAUCAAUGCAUUAUGACGUGACAUUGGGAAACAAAUUAUUUUAUUCUCUGCAGGGAAAUACAACUUCUGUGAAAGUAAGCAGUGACAUGAUCGAGGAGUUGCACCAAAGAGCAGAGCAGGUUUGGUUACCUGAAUUGUCAAGAAUGAUCAAAGAAACAAAGGAUCCUUUCCUUAAUGCUAUAUAUGAUUGCGAUCCUUUGGAGAAAAUCAUCUGGGACAGAGUGGUGCUAACAGGAGAUGCAGCUCACCCGACAACUCCACACUCUGCCAGAAGCACAAACAUGGCGAUAAUAGAUGCAGCAGUGUUAGGAAAAUGCCUCGAGAAGUGGGGGCCGGAUCAUUUAUACUCUGCUCUGGAAGAAUAUCAAUCCAUUAGGAAACCUGUAACUUCAGCACAAGUUCUACAUUCGCGACGAUUGGGUCAAAUGAAACAAGGGUUAAGUAUUCCUGGAAGGGAGCGGCCUUUUGAUCCAAAGACAGCAAGUCUAGAGGACUCGGAAUUCAUCGUUGUGCCUCCUUUCGACGUUGUUCCUCCGAUUCUUGAUUCAAUUUUUCGUUCUGCUUGAUGACUUCAAAGGACACGGCUUGGUCUGUUCAUUAUGCUAACUAUAGCUGCCUAUAAAUAAGAGGGUUUACCUCAAUUGUGUGAGUAAAAGAACUGCUAUACUUAUGUUCCUUCCUGUAAUAACGAAAGCCUCUUACUUAAUUCAGUGUCUCUACUUCUUCAGCAAAAUAAAAAUAAAUUCUUGAUCGAAAUACACCCAACUUUUCCAAUUUUCUUAUAAAAAUGACACCACGAUAGGAUGGGAUUGUCCUUGUGUUGUGUCAUUGAUCUAGUAACUAUUAUUAGCGAUAUGAAACAUUUUUUCUAUCAUCUUCCAUCACAUGUGUAGGUCAAUAUUUUUGUUUGGUCCUUGUCCUAGUGAUAAGAUAAUGUGAGUGAUUUUGAGAGAAAAUAUGAAAAACACAAACAAUGAAAAUGCCCUUUUACUUAAACUAAGACAGAUUUUUUUACACUGAAGUUGAUAGAAGACACUCGAAUGCGCAGGAGUGAAAUCUUGACAAAUUAAAGCGAGAACUAAGGCAUGCUAGUCCUUUCUCGCGCAUUUAGUUGACAUUAUUUUGCUUUGAAAAUAAAUGCGGGCAUGGUUGAAGGCAUUUUAUCUUUCCGGAAGUGGAUGGAGAAAUAAAUAUAAUUAAAAGGGAUGCGAAUAAUAAAUGCCAGUUUUUUCUUAAUAACGAAGAAUAUAUUAGAAAUAAAUUGAAAUGUAACAAAAUACUUGAAAUAAUUCAAGUGAUGGGUUUUUUCUCUGUCAAUAACGCUUGAUAGUUCCUUGUCAUGAGCUUCUUAUCUUCUGUCUUGAAGGAAGAAAUUGCAAAAGACGAAUAAAACGAUUUCCUUUACACAUUCAAUCAAUGCUGCUGCCUUUAUAUCUUUAUUAUUCUCGGAGGGAUGAUAAUACUGUUGAGAGCCAAAACCAUUACCCAUACUCACUCCUCUUAUGGCCAUGUCUAACUCUCUACAAUAAUUUCGAUAUUGCUGUUCUUCAGUUCUUCCACUACUCAACAAAUGCGAAGGUAUGCGAUGGCUCCACUCGAUCAAGUUGAUUUUACAUUUGUUACAAUCUACUCCCGCCAUUGCUAGAGCCUCUAUGGACAUGUUUUAACAAGGUGAAGGAGGAGCUAAAUAAAAUUCACAAUUUUCCUGAAAGUUUACAGCUUCCAGGAAAUUCACCACCUCUAUAGAAUUGUAAUAACAAGAAUUGUGGUCUCCGUAAAAGAAUUUAUAAGAGUUAAUAUAAAAGAUUUGAUUAGGAGAAUGAAUUUUAUACGGACUAGAAAUACUCAUGAUUAAUUGGUUAUUCAGAUGGUUUAGAAAUCCUCUCGAUAUUAGGAAGCCAUUUACGAUUCUGAUUAUUGUUGUUCUAAAUAUAUUAGUUUGCACCAACUUCCAAUUCCACAAUUACUCUGACAGCGGUUUUCACGGACUUAUUUAUGUAUCUGAAUCUUUUUAUUCAUGCAUGAAAGAAUAAUCUCUUGCAAACUCACAACUUCAAUUAUGAAUAAACUAGCUAGCAACCAUUUCUUUACUUUUAAUUGCUUUGGAAAUUAAGGAUUCGUCAGCCGCCAGAUUCCGCAGUGAUUCUGUUGCAUUGGAUGUCUUCAAUUUCCUUUUGCAUUCCAUUAUUUGUUGAACUAUUUAUGCACGGGUGGAGGAGGAAUUCUAGAAUACAUUUGAAAUAAUACAAUCAACUAAUGCAUGCACACCACUCGUAUGGAGAUUUUUCAAAAAUAAAUGUACACAUGUCAUAACAUUAUCUACUUAUUAUAUGACUGACAUGAUAUUUUUUAUGUAUUCUAAAAUUUUUCUGAGUGGAGACCAUGAGUGGUAACAUCCUCGUGACAAAAGAGUAUUACAAAGAGAGAAUCACUUGUCAAUUUGAAUAUUUAUUGUAUUGAAACUACUAAGUAUAUAAGCUCGGACAACCCUAAUUUCAUGAUGAGGGGUUAAAGACAAUACUAUUCUAAAAGAAAAUGGAACGAAAUCGUCCAUCCAUAGCCAUUAUUUGACUUUUAGAUUUGCCCUUCCAAAUUUUAACAAAAUGCGCAGACGAUUUUUAAUUUAUUCAUGUGAGCGAAGUACAACAAAAUUAUUGAACCAAUCAGAACCAAGAUGGAAAUGAUCAUAAGCAAAAGUAAUUUGCAAGGACGAAUGGAAGCAGAUAAAUUAUUCUAAUUAAGAAGGAUAUUUACUAGGAUCAUACCUUAAUCACUUUAUUAUAAAUUAAAAAUGUCCGUACAAGAACUGCCGCAAAUUAAUUAAACUAUUGGAAAAAGAAAAAUUGCAGACAAAAUCUCAAUGAAUUUUAAGCCAAUUUGGCUAACAAAGACAUGCAACCAGCGCCUAAAAGAAGAGAAACAUUUGCUCCAAACUGAAGCCUUUUAUUGGUUUGCAUCUUUGGAUUCAUAAAAUCUGCAGCAAGAAGAUCCACCAAGGACAUGUAUAUUAGGAUUCCGGCUGCUGCUGCAUUGAAUAUUCCUUCAACAAUAAGAGCAGUGGGGCUAUUUUCGUCAUAAACACUUGAUAUUCCAAUGCCUAUUUUUACACUAAUUUGAUCAUUUUGUAAUAUAAAAAUUUGACAAUUGAAAAACAAAUCAACUUUUUUUUUCUUAAAAGAAACGAAUCUGUCAAAGGCAGCCAUCCAUGUUGUUCAAAGAAGAGGAAUUUUGCAGCAAGUUGGAAAGGAAAAGGAGCACACGGGUUUGACAUUUGAAAGAAGAAAAAAGAACGUAAAAAUAAUAUAGAAUUGCUGCAUAGUGCCAAAGCUUUCUCUAUAAAUAGAAACGAAGAGAAUGAGCAAAGGCAUUCCAUUCAGAGAGCAAUUUAGGGAGUUGAGAGAGAGUUCAAGAGCUUGCAUUUAUAAGCUCUUGUUACAAUGAUUGAGAGAGUUUGGGUGUAUUGGGAUUUUGGGUAGUGAGCUAAAAUACUACAAUACUUGUAACUCCUUUUCACUAGUAAAAUAUUUCCUUCUGUCUUCGCCCGUUGACAUAGGCUAAAAGCCGAACCACGUAAUUUCUUGUGUCCUCUAUUGUGCUUGUUCUUUAUUUUUCUUACAAUUUAAUCUUAGCUGCGUGUCUGCUUCACCCACCAAUUUUCUAACAGUGGUAUCAGAGCUAUUGGUUGUAUUUUUUGGAGUCAGAAACUGUUCACGUAAGGGGUAUUAUUCACGUAUACGGCACUAUACACGUAUACGAUACUAUUCACAUAUAUGGUACUGUUCACGUACAUGAUUUUGUUCGCAUAUACGGUACUGUUCACGUAUACGGUACUAUUCACGUGAAACGGUGGAAGCGAUCCAAGAAUUUUGCGGUGCAAAGCAGGGAAUAGUGGUGUGAGUAAAGCAACUGUGUGGUUUUGUACAUGUCUAGGAAAGUUCUGUCACAAAGGCGAUAAGAGCUUAAGGAGUCUGGGUUUUAAGUGGGACCAUUGUGACCCCUCCAGUCUUUCCUGGGAACUUUCCUGGUGUGCAUUCUCACACAUACUCACAACUAUUCAAGGUAGUACACUAGCUUGUGUGCGGUAUUUAUCAACAAAAUGGCGGCAAAGUAUGAAAUUGAGAAGUUUAACGGAAAUAAUUUUUCGUUGUAGAAAAUGAAGAUGAAAGCUGUAUUGAGGAAAAAUAAUUGUUUGGCAGCAAUUGGAGAAAGGCCCAUAGAGAUAACUGAUGACAAGUGGAACGAGGUAGACGGCAACGCCAUUUCUGAUCUACACUUGGCACUUGCGGAUGGAGUAUUAUCCAGUGUGGCAGAGAAAAAUACGGCGAAGGAAAUAUGGGAUACUCUCACAAAAUUGUACGAGGCCAAGUCACUACACAACAAAAUCUUCUUGAAGAGGAAACUCUAUACUCUUCGAAUGGCGGAAUCUACAAUAGUGACUGACCACAUCAACACCUUGAAGACUCUAUUUUCACAACUCAUAACGUUGGGUCAUAAUAUAGAGGAAAAUGAAUGUGCAGAGCUUCUACUUCAAAGUCUACCAGAUUCGUAUGAUCAACUCAUCAUCAACCUGACGAACAAUAAUCCAGCGGACAGUCUAGUUUUCGACGAUGUUGCAGCCUCCGUAUUAAAUGAGGAAAGCAUGCGGAAAAAUAAGGAAAACAGACAAGCAAGUUCGCAACAAGCGGAGGCGCUAUCGGUGACGAGAGGGAGAUCAACAGAACGUGGCCCCAGUGGGAGUCAAAAUCAUGGUAGAUCAAAAUCCAGAAGUAAGAAGAAUGUUAAAUGCUACAACUGUGGCAAGAAAGGGCACGUCAAGAAAGAGUGUUGGAGUAACCAGAAGAGAAGAUAGGGCAAAGAACUUGAGUCAUCAAAUGCUCAGGGGUGUGUAGCAAGUACCUCGGAUGAUGGCGAAAUUCUAUACAGUGAGGCAACAACUGUUUCAGAAGGCAGAAAACGACUUUCUGAUGUCUGGCUUAUAGACUCAGGAGCUACCUGGCACAUGACCUCUAGGAGAGAAUGGUUCCACACAUAUGAACCUAUCUUAGGAGAUCUGUAUAUAUGGGUAACGAUCAUGCCUUGGAGAUCGCUGGUAUUGGUAUUAUCAAAAUAAAAAUGUUUGAUCGUACAAUUCGCACAAUUGGUGAGGUACGACAUGUCAACGGCCUGAAGAAAAAUCUAUUGUCUUUGGGACAAAUAGACAAUCAUGGGUGCCAAACUCAUAUGGCGAAUGGAAUUAUGAAGAUCGUUAAAGGCGCGCUUGUAUUGAUGAAGGCAGAAAAGAUCGGUGCUAACCUAUUCAUGCUUAAAGGAGAAACACUACAGGAGGCUGAUGCGUGUGUCGCAUCAAAUGGAGAAGAGUCAACAAUGAUGUGGCAUCUCAAACUUGGCCACAUGUCAGAACAAGGUUUGAAGAUUCUCUCUGAGCGAAAAUUACUUCCGGGGCUCAAAUUGGUAAGUUUACCAUUUUGCGAGCAUUGUGUUACUAGUAAGCAGCAUAGAUUAAAAUUUAGUAGAUCUAUUGCUAGAAGUUUAUGCAUUCUAGACUUAAUUCAUUCUGAUGUUUGGGAAUCACCGGAUAUAUCCAUGGGAGGUGCAAAGUACAUGGUGACUUUCAUUGAUGAUUAUUCCAGAAGAUGUUGGGUGUAUCCAAUUAAGAAAAAGUCAGAUGUAUUUCCAGUGUUUAAAGAAUACAAAGCGCGGGUGGAACUUGAAUUUAGUAAAAAGAUCAAGUGCUUAAGGACGGAUAAUGGUGGAGAGUAUACAGACGGCGAGUUUCUUGCUUUCUGUAAGCAAGAAGGUAUUCAGAGGCAGUUCACGGUGGCAUACACUCCUCAACAAAACAGAGUGGCAGAGCGGAUGAACAGAACUCUUACAGAAAGAAUAAGAGCUAUGUUGAGGACUGCUGGUCUACCCAAUUCAUUCUGGGCAGAAGCAGCCAAAACUGCUUGUUAUAUAGUAAAUCGAUCGCCAUCUACAGCUAUUGGGCUAAAGACAGCAAUGGAGAUGUGGACUGGAAAGCCAACUGAUUAUUCCUACCUACAUGCAUUUGGAUGUCCUGUGUACGUGAUGUACAAUGCCCAAGAAAGAACAAAGUUAGAUGCAAAAUCUAGAAGAUGUAUCUUCUUGGGGUAUGCUGAUGGAGUAAAAGGGUAUCGUCUGUGGGACCCCACUGCCCACAAGAUCGUCAUCAGCAGAGAUGUUAUCUUUGUAGAAAAUCAACUGCAAAGGAGAGAUGAGGAUGAUGACACUACAAAAGAAAAGUCAGAGAUCGUGCUAGUAUAUGUGGAAAAUAAUCUAGAAGAUUCAGAUUCUUCUGAAGCAGCACUAGAGCAUGAGGAACAAGAACCAGUCGAGUCCGAGGCUCAAGAAGUUCGUCGGUCAACUCGUGAGAGACGACCACCAACAUGGCACUCGGAGUAUAUCACAGAGAUCAACGUUGCAUACUGUCUUCUAACAGAGGAUGAAGAGCCUUCAACUUUCCAUGAAGCUUUAGAAAGCUUAGAUAUUGCUUUGUGGAUGACAGCAAUGCAGGAAGAAAUUGAAGCUCUACACAAGAACAAGACAUGGGAACUUGUACCACUACCACGUGGAAGAAAAGCCAUUGGAAACAAAUGGGUCUAUAAGAUCAAGCGUGAUGACAAUGACCAAGUGGAGCGGUAUCGUGCAAGAUUGGUGGUGAAAGGAUAUGCUUAGAAAGAAGGUAUUGACUUCAACGAGAUAUUUUCGCCCGUGGUUCGACUCACAACAGUUAGAAUAGUCUUGGCAAUGUGUGCUACAUUUGACCUACAUCUAGAGCAGUUAGAUGUGAAAACUGCAUUUCUUCAUGGAGAACUUGAAGAAGAAAUAUAUAUGCUCCAACUAGAAGGUUUUGCAGAAACAGGAAAUGAGAACUUGGUUUGCAGGUUGAACAAAUCUCUUUACGGUCUUAAACAGGCGCCGAGGUGUUGGUAUAAGAGAUUUGAUUCAUUCAUCAUGAGCCUUGGAUACAACAGACUCAGUUCAGACCAUUGUACAUAUUACAAGAGGUUUGAAGAUAAUGAUUUCAUUAUUUUGCUAUUGUAUGUGGAUGACAUGUUGGUAGCAGGUCCCAACAAAGAUCGAAUCUAAGAAUUGAAGGCACAGUUGGCUAGGGAGUUUGAAAUGAAGGACUUGGGACCAGCAAACAAGAUUCUAGGGAUGCAAAUUCACCGAGACAGAAAUAACAGGAAGAUUUGGCUUUCGCAGAAGAAUUACUUGAAGAAAAUCUUGCGACGCUUCAACAUGCAAGAUUGUAAGCCAAUUUCUACCCCACUUCCUGUUAAUUUCAAAUUAUCCUCAAGUAUGUGUCCUAGUAAUGAAGUAGAGAGGAAGGAGAUGUCUCGAGUACCGUAUGCAUCAACAGUGGGAAGUUUAAUGUUCGCUAUGAUAUGUACAAGACCGGACAUUGCACAAGCAGUGGGAGCAGUCAGUCGAUAUAUGGCGAAUCCUGGUGGAGAGCAUUGGAUAGCUGUGAAGAGGGUUCUGAGAUACAUCAGAGGAACCUCAGAUGUUGCAUUAUGUUAUGGAGGAUCAGAGUUUACUGUCAGAGGCUAUGUAGAUUCAGAUUUUGCAGGAGACCUUGAUAAAAGGAAAUCCACUACUGGUUAUGUGUUUACACUUACGGGGGCAGCUGUAAGCUGGGUUUCGAAACUGCAGACCGUUGUGGCUUUAUCUACAACAGAAGCAGAGUACAUGGCAGCUACACAAGCUUGCAAGGAAGCUAUUUGGAUACAAAGGUUAUUGGAGGAGCUCGGGCACGGACAAGAGAAAAUUUCUGUAUUUUGUGAUAGUCAGAGUGCCUUGCACAUUGCAAGGAAUCCAGCCUUUCAUUCGAGGACAAAGCACAUAGGAGUCCAGUAUCACUUCGUUCGUGAAGUAGUGGAAGAUGGAAGUGUGGAUUUGCAGAAAAUCCAUACCAAAGAGAAUCUAGCAGAUGUUUUGACCAAGCCGAUUAAUACUGAUAAGUUUGUCUAGAGUAGAUCCUCUUGUGGCCUAGCAGAAACGUAGGCAACAUGUUUAUGGCGAAGCAGAAAGGAUGGUGUGGAGAUUGAUUGCUUCUCAAUCUAAUCUCCAAGUGGGAGAAAUGUCAAAGGCAGCCAUCUAGAUGGUUUAAAGCAGCCAUCUAGAUGGUCAGCAUCCAUGUUGUUCAAAGAAGAGGAAUUUUGCAGCAAGUUGGAAAGGAAAAGGAGCACACGGGUUUGACAUUUGAAAGAAGAAAAAAGAACGUAAAAAUAAUAUAGAAUUGCUGCAUAGUGCCAAAGCUUUCUCUAUAAAUAGAAACAAAGAGAAUGAGCAAAGGCAUUCCAUUCAGAGAGCAAUUUAGGGAGUUGAGAGAGAGUUCAAGAGCUUGCAUUUAUAAGCUCUUGUUACAGUGAUUGAGAGAGUUUGGGUGUAUUGGGGUUUUGGGUAGUGAGCUAAAAUACUACAAUACUUGUAACUCCUUUUCACUAGUAAAAUAUUUCCUUCUGUCUUCGCCCGUGGACAUAGGCUAAAAGCCGAACCACGUAAUUUCUUGUGUCCUCUAUUGUGCUUGUUCUUUAUUUUUCUUACAAUUUAAUCUUAGCUGCGUGUCUGCUUCACCCACCAAUUUCCUAAUAGAAUCAACUUUUAAAUUCAUUUUGAAGUUAAAAAAAAAAAAGUUGACAGUAAAAUACUAUUAACGUAAGGGGAUUUCAGUAAAUUUUAGAACAUGAGAGAUAAAUGACUAAUUUUACUAGACAAAGGGGGUUAAUUUUCUCCUAAAAAAAAUUAGGUAUUGGUUGAUGACUUUUAAAAAACAAACUACUCUUUAUUAUUAUUUUUUUUAAUUUUCUUUUUGUUCGACCAAAACUCGCAUGGUAUUGGGAUAUACCUAAAUUUGAUGUAAAAUUAGGGAUUAGUUAAAUGAAAUAAUUUAAACACUGCAUUAAAUCUGCCUUUGUCGAUGCUAUCUCACUGUCUUAAGGCCUAACUUCUUGAAAUUUUUUCUGAAAGAUACAACAGGAUCACUUAUCCACAAGCCUAGUCAGCAACUUAGACACUAUUUUCAGCAUUAGCAUUGACAUAAGAACAAAACGUACAAUUGAGCUUAUUAAAAAACAUUGCAGUUGAUUGGAUUGUUAAUAAGUAUGGCACCAUAUGGAUGAUAAAAUUAAGCAGGAAGAAAGAAAAAAUAAAUUUUAUUAUGCAAAAAAUAAACUACAAACUAGGCACAAUAAAUAAAUAAAAAUAAAUUUUAUUAUGCAACCCAGAAUUCUCCUUUGCUGUCUGCCUCAAUGUUGUCCUGAAAUUUUUGGAGCUGAGCAAAAGGUUGUGGAGGGCACAUAGCUCUAUGGUCAUGGAGCCAAAACCUCAGAACUCGCAUUGGGGUGGAUUCAGCCACUAAGAGGAACGUCUUGUCCUCGAUUAGGGCAACUCCAUUUGGAAAUGCCAAACCUCUGUACAUGAUUGUCACCUCAUUGCUGUGUGGAUCAUACUUCAAGUAACUUCCCGCUUCUGUCUCCGUUAUCGAUUACAGAAGAAUAUUGCCUACAAGAAUAGUAAUUCGGUGUAAGCAUUGUAAAAUAUUAAUCUGGAAUUGAUGAACAAGAAUUAAGAAAAGAAAAUAUCCUUCUUUGAAAAUACAUGCUACUGUCAGUAAAAUAAACGACUCCAGUACUAGGAUCGAUAUCCAAGGCAUAUACAUGCUACUGUCAAUAAAAAAAGAAAGAAAAAUAUAAAUAAAUUAUCAAAUAAAAAAAUAUAAAUAAAUGGCACGUAAUGUUUAUUUUUCAUUUAUAAUAAAGUUUAAUAUACAAAAUGACUGGUGAGGUACCACCAUACCAGGCGGUGCAUGGAAAGAUGGGGAAUUUGGGACUUCCAGUGCGGCGAGAGACUGAGCAUGAGGGUGCUGCAGCGGCUGGGCAUCACGUAUGAGGUAGCUACUUAAUGACCUGAUCAGUUGAGUUUUGGGGAAUUUGGAUUUUGGAUCAAUUAGUUAGGGAGUUGAGUGAGUUUUGUAACUUUAAGAAAAUAGAAUUUGACUGUAAUUACUAGUUAUAUCUUUUACGAUAAGUUUUAAUAAGAGUAAAUUUACAAUUAACUAUUAUUAUUAAAAAAAAAAACUAUUAGCCUCCUCUUACCUCCGCCCUUGGUACCUGCUAAAACCAAAUACCCAAAUUAUGAAAACGAAGAGCGAGACGAUAUGUUACUGGAUUGUUAUCAAAAUUUGAAGCUAGAACUUAGCAAUUGCCCAAAGAUAAAGAUUUGCUAAGAUUUUAGACCCACAGACUUUUUAGUACCAAUUUAUCUUCUUUCCUUUAAGAAUGAUGGUGAUUUGUAGAGCCAUGCCCUGUAUUCAAAAUAAACAAAUUUGAAGAAUAUAUCUGUUGAUUCCGGUAGGGCAGGAGUCUCAUGCACAAGUUUCUCAUCUAUUUUCUUACCAGAACAAAUUUCUAGUCAAAAUGAGGGUGUGAAAGGAAGAUAAAUAGACGAAAUUUGGCCCACCACUUCAUUCUUCCUAAAUGAAUAGCUUUUUACCCUAUUAAACGAGGAAAAAUGGAUUAGAUUCUCCCUUAAUUUGAUCUGAUUAGUGAUUACUAAAUAAAGACCACACACUUUAUUGUAGUGUGUUUCGUCAUUUAAUACAUUGCAGUUUGUAUGUGGCCCUAGUUUUAGAUCACUUAAUUGGAAAGGGACUUCCCUUUUUUUUUUUUGAUACAUUGGAGUCUAGUAAAACUAGGCUAAAACAGAACGGGAAAUAGAGGUUCCAUAUAUAUCAUUACAUAACUAAUAACCAAGACCCUCGGGGGGGUUUUCAAAGACAUGAAGUCUAAGGGGUAAGGAACCAGCAAGUUUCGCCAUGGAAUCUGCAGCAAAAUUGGCUUCCCGAUAUAUAUACUUUAUAGUAAUGAGCCAUUGUCUAUUUAUCAGUUCCUUUAUGGCAGUUAUAAAAGAAAAAAUGUGCAUUAGGCAUCAAGCUAGUAGAGGAAAUAAGUUGGGAAACACAUUGACUAUCCACCUCUGCAAUUAAAUAACGAAUGCCACGAUCCCAAGCAAUAUUAAGUCCUUGAAAAAGACCCCAAAGUUCUGCAGUAGUCACCGAUCCAAAUCCAAUGUUCAUGCCAAAGCCAAACUGCCACUUUCCAGAGCAAUCCCUCACCAAGCCCCCAGCGCUGGCUGGACCAUUCUUUAAUCGUGAUCCAUCAGUAUUUAAUUUGAAAAAAGAUUCAGGGGGAGCUUGCCAUCUAACAUCUUUGAUGAUCUUAUUACUCUGACCGAAACUAAGAGUUGAUCGUGCAUUUUGAAUGUCCUAAGCCCAAGAUUUAAUUUCAGCAACAACAUGAGUGCAGCAAGGGGAUUUUUGUGAGAAAAGAAAUUGAUUACGCCAAAACCAAAUUUUCCAGAUAGCCACUCUAAAUUAAUUACGCCAAAACAACAUGAGUGCAGCAAGGGGAUUUUUGUGAGAAAAGAAAUUGAUUACGCCAAAACCAAAUUUUCCAGAUAGCCGCUCCAAAUAAACAUGCCCAUUCAUCCCCCACUUCAUUGAUACCAGUCUUUCCCAAGUUGAAACAGAGCCAAUCACGAAUAUUAAAGGAGAAAAAAUGAUGUCUGAAGUUGACCGGAAUUAAACAAUUCCAUAUUCUCUUUGCAACAAAACAGUCCCUAAGUGCAUGCAUCGCGUUUUCUCUCUCAUGGCCACAUCUUUCACAAUUCAUUUUAUCCAGAAUAUGCCUCUUAAAAAGCUCCUCUCUAGUUUUAAUUUUUCCAUGCAUCACCGACCAUAAAAAUUUUUUAACUCGUUGGGGCCCGGAAAGGGACUUCCUUAAUUAUUUUUCAAAAGCACAUCCUAUAAAACUCCAACAGAUGGAGUCCAAGUUCUAGAAUAGAUGAAUAAAUGAUGUCAAUUAAAUGGCAAUAGCCCACCAAAGAAGACAGAGAAACAAGUUAGGAGCGAUUGUAGAGUAUACCAAAAGUAUUACAUCUAAUUAAUAUAUAUAUAUAUAUAUAUAUAUAUAUAUAUAUAUAUAUGUUAUGUGUGUAUUUAUUUUAAAAAAUUAUUAUGUAAUUAAUAAUUAUAUUUAAUUGAACUAUACAUAUCAUAUAUGUAUUAGUUAUAUGUAGCACCUAUAUUAUACUUUAGAAUUUCUCACAAGAUAAUAUGUCAAUAUACCACAAACACAAAGUUUGAAUCCUGCGAAAUAUGUUUAAAAUUGACUCUUGUAGAAAUUAUUAUGUGGUGGUGAAAUGAUUAUGAUAAAUAAUAUAUUAACACAUGUCAAUAUAUAAUUAUGCUACAUCAAUGAGGGUACCAUUGGUUUCACAUUUUUAUUUUACGUCUUAACUUUUGUAUUGACAAUAUUAGUUUUGUAUUAUAUAUAUAUAUAUAUAUAACUACUAAGUUAUUUUUUGCAAUCAAUAAAUAUCUAAUAACUCAAUACUUUUAUAUUUAUGUUCAUAAAGUUUUUACUUUUUAAAUAAAUAUUAAAAUAUCUUUAAAAUAAUAAAUUAUAUUUUUUUAACACUAAUUAAAACAAAUUAUUUUCACAUUUAAUCUUGUUUUAGUUUAUAACAUGGACCAUUCGCUCACCACUUGGCAUAACUUUGUAACCUAGGUCUUGUUUGGAAUCGAAGUAUUAUACCUUUUAAGUUACAACUGCCGUAAAAAUUUUGUAAUUAUAAAACAAAAAAUUAAUAGCUGUGAACUUAAUGAUUGCUUACUAAACUUUAGGUAUUUAUUUAUUUAAUUAAUUGUCUAAAAUUUACUUGUUAAUGUUAUUGACAAUACUUAUGUAUUGAUUAAAAAGAUGAAGUAAGGUAUUGAUCUUAUUGAUCAACAGAAAUAUUUUAUACUAGAUUGACAUAUUUGUGUAUUUAUUUUAACGUUAAAACUUUAAUUUCUCAUUUAUAUUGAUAAAAUUUAGAAAUGGGUAUUAUAUGUAGAGUUUUAAGCUCCUAUUAUAAAUUUAUAGUUUGACUUAUAUAAUUUAAUUUAUUUUUUGUGUUUUUAAAAGUAUUGUUUUAAUAUUUGUGAAGUAAAAACCCAUUGCAGGUUACGCGAGGAUUUAGUAAUUGUUAAAACCUACUGCAGGCGAAUUUUUUUUUAAAUAAAAAACCCAUAGCGAGUUAAGAAUUUACUGAUUUAAUUACUUUUUACAAGUGCAUGUUUGAUAAUGAUAAAAUCACUGCACUGAAAGAAAUUCUAUGAAAGAAUAUAAUUCUUGUUCUGUAUUUUUAAUGAAAUUUACAGAAUUAUUUAUACAAAUAAAGACAAAGUAGCCGUUGAAAGGCUUAAUAAUAUUAAAGGAGAAUAGGUGAAUACUUGCUAAACUAUUGGACAAUAUCUUUAUAAAAUAGGAAUGAAAUAUUCCUACAUGAUAUCGACAUUCAUGUGCAAAAAUCGUGCUGGAGAUAUUUCUUGACAAAUAACUUUGACGGGAGCAAGUCGUGUGGAGUGAUAAACCCGUUCUUGACUUGACCGUUAAUAACUUUCCUUUUGGUAAUCUUGGUCUGCUUGCUUAACAAGUGGUACCCAUAACCCAUCCAUACAGCUAGGCUAGCUAAACAACAUAAAUAAAUGUAUAACGAUUCUUAUAUAAAAAGCCACCACCCCAAGCCAAAAGAAAAAAAAAAUUGUGCUGAAUACAACAAUAUAAUUUCUUCAGUUUUUACUUGGAAACAAGAGAGAUGAAUACGAAGAAGCAGAAGCCAAAAGCUAUUGUAGUUGGAGGAAGCAUUGCUGGGGAAUCAUGCGCAAAAGCACUUAUUUCAGCAGACUGGGCUGUUGUUGUGAUUGAGAAAACUCGUGGACCCCCAACCCAAAACCCAACCGGUGCUGGCCUUGGACUCGAUCCAUUGGCUCAGAAAAUUGUUCAGUCAUGGCUCCAUGAACCUGAACUUCUUUACAACAACACUUUACCUGUCACCAUUACUGAGGUAUAUAAUAUAAUAUAUUUAAUUUCUUUUUUCCCAGUAGAAUCCAGUGAGGGGUUAUGGGAUGAGCCGCAUCUCCAAUUAAGACCACAUUGUCCCAGUAUAAUUGUGUCAAAGGGUCACAAUCAUAUAUAAGGUUAAGGAAAGGCUCCUUUGUUUCUUUUAUUACUCUUCAAACUCAGGAACCCAAAUCUUCUCUGCUUCUUGGUGCAUCUUCUUGAUCAUGUCACUGCUCACUUUCAUUGUAGCUGAAUCUCCCUGAAAUUAUUUAAUCAAUUUAUUAAAGCUAGCUCUGCUAACACGUAUGUAUAUAAAUGAUAAAAUGAAGCAAGUUAGGCAAUCACCUUGAGUUGAAGCUCAGGUUGAGAGAUAAACCAAAUCCAAUUGAGCCUCUUGUACAUAAGCUCAUCAAGGACGGUGUAAGUUCCCGAGGCCAAGUCCAUGUGCACGCCAUUCCCAAGCGUAGGAUAUGCCUUCCGGAUGCCUUGUAUGGUUUCUGAAUUCUCAUUUUCCGAAAAAUCAAAAACCCCCCUCCAAGCACAGUAACCCGUAUACCUGAAAAACAGAAAUGAAAAAUAAACCGUAAAUUUCAAGACAACAGAAAAUAUGAAAAUCUAAUAUAAUUUGUUCAGAAACCUGAGUUUAGAGUCUGGUAAAAAAGUCUGGCGAACUGAUGAGCGGCUCCCGUCAGCCGCAACCAGCAAAUCUCCAGCUAUGUCGAUGACCUCAUCAGUUUUAAGAUUCUUAGCUUUGACAGUGACAGUUGAUUUGUCGUGAGAAAUGCAGAAAGUGAGGUACAAGUGACCCCAAAAAAAUAUUUCCGGAGGCAGAGUAUUGUAUAUAAGACUAUGAAGAUCAGUCCAAUGUGCCUGUAAAUAGUUGAAAUUUUCGUCUCUAGCUAGUACCCGACAGAUGUUCUUUUCCCUAUCUACUGCCCGAUUCUGCACAAAAAGAAAAAUAAAAAAAGUCAACGCAAGAGCUCAAAUUAAAGUAGUUCUGUGUUAUAUAUACAUUACCUGAUCAAUGGUGAGAGGUAAGGUGAUGUUGUGAAGAAGAUCAGGUUGAUGGAGCCAUGACUUAACUAUUUUCUGGGACAAUGGAUGAAGUGCGAUUCCAGCGCCGGUUGGGUUUCCGGUUGGAGGUCCACGUGUCUUCUCGAUCACCACCACAUCCCAACCUGCUAAAAUAAGCGCUUUUGCGCAUGAUAUCCCUGCUAUGCUUCCUCCAACUAUUAUAGCUUUUGGCUUCCGCAUCCUCUCACUCAUGUCUCUCUCUUCCUCUCAAACACCAGUAUGUGUGACACAAAGGGACGCUCGCGCAAAGAUAUAUUUAUAUACCGGGGAAAACUUCCCAUUCUAAAUUCAUAAAUCAGGAUGAGCCGGCAAUCAUAUGAACAUUUUUUUAAAAUAAUUAUUUAAAAUUUUUUUUUAUACUAUUGUUAAUUUGACUCGGAUUUUAAUAAAAUUUAACAUCUCGAACCAAGUCACUACUCUAGAAAUUUUUUUUCAAUCAGAACUUAUAUGUUCCAAUUCAAGAACAAGGUUUAAUAAUGUAAUGACCGUGAAAACUAUUAGACCAUAUGGUUUAACAAUGUAAUGAUAUUAUAUUAUAAAAUCAUUUAAUAACUUUUUGAAUUUUAAUAAUAUUCAGGAUUCUAAACUAGAUCAAUACUAUACACACACAUAUACACAGGCGGUGCCAUGAAUUAUUUUUAACAGGCUCUAAGUUUAAAUAGUAAUUUAAUUUAAAAAAAUAAUUAACAAAUAACAUAUAUCAAAAUAAAAAAUUAUUAAAAUAUUUAAUUUAAUACACUUAUAACUGUUCUUAACUUGGUUUUAUAUGUUAAAACAUUAAAGAAUAAUCUCAUUAUCAAGACUACAAAAUAUGUCUUUUUCUAUGUAUAUAACAAAUCUAUCAUUCAACUAUUGUUCUCCCAUUUGAUUUCACAGAUGAUUUUUUAUAAAAUUUAUCGUUGAAAAUGACCUUUCUACUGUAUCUCUAGGAACUGGUAAAAUCAAUACUAAUGUCACCAAUAAAUAAACUAAUGAAUAUAAUUUACCGUUCUUAGUCUCACCGCAUUGUUAUUUUAUUAUUUAUUUGAAAACUGAUAAUAAAUUAUGAUUAAAUAUGUUCGCAGCAAUUACAAAGUCUUGAUACAAUGUUUCUAUCUCACAUGAUGACGUAACAUCAAUAUCGAUGAUCGCUAAUUAGGGAUUCCAUUAUCCUAUUUUCCCUCUCACAUGAUGAAUAAAUAAACAGUUUUAAAUAAAAUUCAAACUCUACAAACUCAAUAACAUGAUUACGUCUUAUUCUUUCUUAAUUGAAGUUGAUUUUUCAAGGAGGCAAUUUGUCCCGUCAUAUGCAGCCAAGUUAGAACCAAAAAAUGCUUAAUUCAAAUCUCACGGUCUUGAAGAAAUCUUUCUAGUGAAAAUAAAUUCUCAAGUCAGAUUUUUCAAUCUGGCGAUAUGAAAUUUGCCUAAUAAAUCUCUACAUUCAGACAUCACGUUUAUGAAACCCUUGCAUUCAGAAUAAAUUCUUGCAGUGUAUCAAAAAAAAAAAAAAUUCUUGCGGGUAAGGGGGAUCAAAUUCAAGAAUAAAGUUUGAUAAAAAUGAAUAAAAGGAAUAAUUUUGGUAAAAUUAAGUACCAAAAAUAAGAUUUAGCAUAUGUUUGUUGUGGUUUAUUUAAUAACUAAAAGUUUUUACAAGUUUUUUUCAAAAUAUUUACUGUUGUUUGGUAGUAUUUUGGAUAGAGAGCUUUUGAGAAUUAAAUAAAUUAUUUUGCAUCUACCAAUAAAAGUGUAAAUUAAAUAAGUUAUUUUGGGUUUUUGGGAACAAAAGUUGUAGAGCAUUUUUCAAGUGUUAAAUUAUCUAACAUACCUUUUAUUUAUUUUUCAUUUUUAUUCCAUUCUUUCCAUAAUAUGAUUUUAAAUAAAUUGAUCAAUUAAAGUAAUUUUAUAAUUUAAAUUUUUUAAUAAAAGUUCAUAUUGACAACCAAAUAAUUAAAAUAUUUUGGUAAAUCUCCACUUGUAACAACUUAAUUUUAUUAAAAGCUAGAGCAUAGAGUCAGUGACGACGCAGAAAUAUAAAAAGUUGAUUGAUAGAAGAAAUUAGGUUUCUAAAUAAUAAAAGUUUUGUUAGAAAAGUUUAAAUGAACAAAACUAGUGUUUUGAGCUCCUGUUAUAAUAAUCAUAAAUAUCACGAAUUUAUCAUAAUAAAAAAAUUUAAAAUAUCAUUUUAUAAUAAAAGGAAAAUUAUCAUUCGUAUACCCUAUAUUUGCUCUGUUAUAAAAAUUACUACAAUACUUUGAGGGUGUAUCAAUCGUCCACCCUAAGUUGACGAAAUGUAUCAACCGACCACCAAACCAUUAAUUUCCGUUUGAAAGUUAACGGAAUUACAGUGAAUUGACGAUUUUACCCUUGAAAAUUAUCACUUGUAUACCCUUAAAUUAUUUUUUUAUCACUUGUAUACCCUUAAAUUAUCACUUGUAUCAUAUGAAAAGACCAGAUUACCCUUCUGACGUUAUCAUAUUUAAACGGCAACUAACGAUUUGGUGGUCGGCUGAUACAUUUUGUCAACUUAAAGUGGACGAUUGAUACACCCUCAAAGUAUUGUAGUAUUUUUGAUAAUGGAGUAAACUAAGGGUAUACAAAUGAUAAUUUCCCAUAAUAAAAUCUCAUAAUCUAAAUAAAGAAACCAAAAUAAACAGCACCCAAAGCCAAUAUCUAAAAAAAAAAAGAUAAAAUCAUAAAAUUAAUAGGAAAAAUAGAAAAAUAACCUAAUGCUGAAAAAUGAUAAGGAAAGAAGUAAAACUUUUAAAUCGACCACGGGGCAGAACUAUGCAAGCUAUUAUGUUUGGUUUGUCUCGUUGCAGGCUUCGAAACAGUAUAUUAGAUACCUAAAACGGAUCCCUGUAACCUUAGUUAUGACCUCUAGAAAAUAAUCUGCUCAUCUUACGCAACAAUCCUACAUUAGCCAGCCUAGUUUGGGAUUGUGAUGACUGUUGAAAAUGUGAUUUAAAAAAAAAGUGUUAAAAUGAUGGGCAACUAAGCCACCAUCUUUGAAUUCAAAGACGGUGGGUGGCUAAGCCAGCCACCAUCAUUGAACAAGGAAAAUGGGUGGGUGCCGCCCAUGGAAAGAAGAAAAAGAGGAAGAAAAGGAAGCCAAAAUUUGGCUAUAAAUAGAGGGGUUCUCCCCGUCAUUUAGGUAUCCAAGUUUUGGCAAGAAAUUGAGAAAGAGAAAUAUUUUUAAGCACAUAGUUAUAUUGAAGGAGUAUUUGACUCCUCAAUAUGGGUAUUACGGGUUUGCUUUGUUAGGGAAUAUUUAUAAGAAUCAUGUAUUUGGGGCUUGGGUGAGAGAAAAUUAUUUAUGAGAAAGUGGUUGUAAAAAUUUUCACAUAGUGAAUUUUUUUCUCUGAUUGUCUUUUGACAACGGCCGUGGUUUUCCUCCGUAUUUGGAGUUUUCCACGUAAAUCUUGUGUUAUGUGAUUGAUGUAUUCUCCAUUUAAUUUUUCUGUUAAUUUGUUGCUUGACAAAUUGCUUGAAGUGAUCUUGGAGGACGCUCAAUUUCCUAACAAUGACUUGUGAAAUAAACCGCUUCUAUAAAGCGAAUGAAUAAUCUACUUAUUAAAAUAGUAGCUUGGUGUUUAGUAAAGUGUAUUGUUAUAGUGGCUUUGAGUUUGAAAAAAAAUUACAUGUGUUUGAUAGAUUUUAUUGCGAAUGUGAUGUUUUGUUAUAUAAUGACCGAAAUAAUCAUAAUUUAAUUUUUUUUUAUUUAUAGAUUAGGAUGCAUGAAAAAUAACAUGUAAUUGUUUCUUUGUUAAAACACUAAGGUUAUAAUAGGAACUGAAAAAAGGUGUGGUGUCUUAUUUGAUACCUAUUUAUAAAUAGCAACUGUACAUACUUUGAAAAGUUAUUGUAAAAAAAAAAGAAACUUAUGAAAUAAGUGGCUUUUAAAAAAUUUAUCUAACACUAUUUAUUACUAUAAGAGAGCUCUAUAUAUAUUAAAUUCUUUUAGGUAAAUUAAAUUUUGCCCCUUUGAUUUUGAGGUCUGGCUACAUCACCGAUUGAAGCUUGUGAUUUUUUUAUUUACUAGUGCAUGAAAUCUUUAAUUUUGUUAAUAUAUUAGUGGCAUCAAUGAAUUAUUCUCUCUUUCUCUCUAUAUAUAUAUGAGAAAGGUGAUCAGGUCUGCGACUAUAUAUCAAACUCCUAGAUUUUUUUAAUCUUAAUCUUCAAUGAAUUAUUACUAUAAGAGAACUGAUCACGUGCGUGGCUAUAUAUCAAACUCCGAAAUUUUUGGUAUUGUACGCAGUUAUGAUCUUAAUCUUUGGCUAAGGGUAUGAUUGGGAUUGCAUUAGCUUGGUAAAUAAUCCAUCCUCAUAUAAAUUCUCCAAUAAUUAACUUUGCAAAUAAUUUGAUUAGAUGUUUGGUAAAAUUGGAUUAUAAGGAAAUCAAUUAUUAAAUAAUUUACUUAACAUGUUUGUCGUAUUAAUCAAAAAAUUGUGUUGUGUGCAAAUUACCAAGAUGGACAAGUUUUCUUAUAUAGUAAUAUAUAAUGAUAAUUAUUACGAUUUAUUUAUAUUAAUAUAUCAAAUAUUAGUGGUGGUGACGCUAUUUGUUUGCCGUUUCAUGGCUGUAAUUAUUUUAGAGGUGUGCGUGAGCAACCGCCAUUUCUCUGUUGUUGACAUCAUACGUUUUGGAGUUUGAUAGCAGAGGUAUUGUCGCAUAAUGAAGACUUUAGCUAGAUGCAGACGACGGCGCCGAAGACAUUGCCGGACGCCAGCAAUAAUCUAGUUGUUUCCUUUUUUUUUUGUCUUAUUUAAAUGUAAACAUAAAUAUGUUAUUAGUGUAAGGGUGCAUUCGAAAUUGUAUUGUUAAAAUGAGGAAAAUUUUGGUAUUAUGCUUUACAAAAUCAAAUUCUAUAAAAACCCGAAUUUCCAAAUCUACUUUCUCAUGUUUUUAAUGAUUAGUACAAAGAUAAAUUAUUUAAAAAUUCUCUUUCUUAAUUGAAAUUAACUUUUCAAGGAGGCAAUAUGGACUUUGCGUCGUAGGUAAGUUAAAGGCCCUUAAUCCCACGAUGUUCAUGAUGAAACCUUUCUAUUCAAAAUAAAUUCUUCAGUUCGAUUUUUCAAGCUGGCGAGAUGGAAUAUUUGCUAAUACAUAAGUUUGGGAAACUCUGGAUUCAAAUCAUUCGGCUCAAUUUUUAAGAUCCAAUUAAGUGUUUUUUAUUAUAACAUAUGUGUGAUUAACAUUUAUUUUUGUAAUUUAAAGCCAACUAAACGAUGCGCUGUUAUUUCUGCAAAUUUGGGAGUGUCCCAGCCUUCACCUUCCUUGAGAAGCCUUCUUCUUCUUCAAACCUUACCUAUCGUAGGAUGCUUCCAGAGAUAUUUACUCCUCAAAUUGCAAUUGAAUUGAUUAUGGUGUUCAUCAUUCUCAAUGGACACAUAAUGGUUUUUUAACGGUUUCGUCGUGUAUUGAAUUUUACAAAGCUGGGAAUUGUAAUUAAAAUUGAACUUUAGAAAGUUGCAAAAGUGUAAUUGAAAUGUACAAGUCAAUUCUAACCACUCAUCUUUCUAAAUACCAUAUGUCGUUAGAUACUUAAUACACCUUGUGUGCUGGAAUGGAAUAGAUUUUUAGCAGAUACGAUUAGUUAAAUAAAAUUGGAUUGAAUCAUAUUUAGUAUUGUCUUUUGUUUGGCAUUUUAGAUUAUGGUAAUUUUAUAUAUUGUAUGAGAAUUGCGAUGUGAAUAUUUCCGCUGCAAAAUAUUUUAAAACCAAUAAUUGGUAUCAAGCGAUCUCAUAUUAAUAUAUAGAGUUACUGUAUGAAAUCAAACUCUUGUAUUAUGUGUAUAAAAUUGGUGGCACUAAUUUUUAUAUAUUAUUUCAUUACGUGAAUGUAUAUAAUUAUUGACCAUAUUAAAUGUUGUCUCAAUUCAUGGUUAGUUAUUUUUUUUAUAUUAAUUUUAUGGAUUUGUAACAAGAGAGGUGGUCAAUUUUCACCAUGUUUCUCUCUUGAUUAUUUUAAUUCAUUGUUCUUAGAUUCUUUGUAAGCCAUCUAUGGUAUAGGAGUUCUUGUAAAUAUUAAUUUUUAUUAUAUAAUAAUGUAAAGAACCCAAAAAAACAAAGAAAAGUUGAUGGCGGCAAGGAGAAGAAGAAACGACAGCCUCUCUAGAAUUGGCAGCGAACAGCAUGAAGGGACGGAGGGUUUCUUUUGAAUUUUUUCAUUAGACACUCUAUUGUCUCACUAAUUUAUGUUUUCUGGCAAGGCUUGAAAUUAUAUUUCAUUUAAGUCCAACACUAUACGUUGGUGGCGGCUGGAAGAAAAAUAAGUGAUUUAGGGUUUUGGGUUUAUACCCCAUGGCACCCUACAAUUUCACUAUUUUACAGUUCAGCCUAAGUAUUUUGGGUUUUGGGCAGAACAAAAAAAAAUUUAUUUAUAUUGGAUCCAAGCCCAUUAUUGACUAUGAAUUGGAAAAUAUAAAUAUAAAUUUGAUAAGCCCAAUUGUUAUUAUUUGUCCAGAUUUAUUUAUAUUGGUCCCAAGCCCAUUUAAGGGAUUUCAAAAUUGAGUUAUAUAAAUAAAAAUUUAGUAGAUCAAUAAUAAAAUUUAUUUGGCUCAAAAAUUUUUAAAGAUAAAUUUGGGUUUAUUUUAUUAAACUAAUUGGGUCUGGAUUUUUUUUUAAAAACAGGUAUUUAAAAAAAAUAAGAGCCAAUAGAAAUUUUUUUUUUGAAAGGUGCCCAAAUUUAAAUUUAAAAAUUGAACCAGAGAUAAAUUUUAAAAGCCUAAAAGCCCUCAAGGCAAUAGUUAUGUACAAGAGCAAGUACAAGAAAGAGAAAAAAGGAAGAUUGAUGUUGAGUUAAAGCCCAAUAGAUAUUAGGCUUGUAGAUUAAGUCAAUUUUUUCCUUAGGAAAACCAUGAAUUGAGAUUGUUUAAUUGCUUUUAAUUUAUAUGCUAUGUUUGGUUGAUAACAUGCUAUGAUAACAUGUCAUAUAGAAUAGGAAGUGUCACUCUAUGCAUAAUAAUACAUGACAUCUAUAGAUUAUGAAUCUAAAAAUAUAUUGUUUGACAUUUGCAUGUGCUUAAUAAUAUUAGAUUUCAUCUAGAUAAUAUUAUUGUAGGAAGCAUGCAAUUAAAAUACAGGAUAUAAUUUGUAUAUUGGAAAAACUAACUUUAAAAUAUUGAGUAGGAGAGGGAAAAUUCAAGAUAAUUUUUCCCACGAGCUCCAUUAUUAGUUCAAUAAUAAAAUUAUAUAUAUAUCUCGACUUCAUGAUACGGUGAUGCUCUCUACAAAGGGUAUAUAUAUUAGACAUUUUAUUUGAUGAACUUCUUUACAGAUAAGUUCGAAAUAUUUUUCAAUCUGUUGAUCACCCAAACUGUGGCGGCAUGGUAUGGAAGAUACGUAGAUUGAAACAAUGGUUAUACACUCCACUAAAAUUUGUUAUUAACCUUCCAAAUGAAGCUCUGUUAACAAAUUUAGGCCCAAAAGGAUAACGAUAAUUAUUUAUCAUGUCUCUACAUGAAAGUAAAUAAUCCAAUGGAUAAUUGGGUCUAGUAAGUGUAGACAUGACUUCCCCAAUGGAGAGCUUGCCAAAGCAGUACUAGAUUAUUAUUACAAUAAAAUAAAAUGCAUUUAUGGUUUUUUUUGCAUUUUAGAUUAUUAUUGUGAACAUUAUUUGUUUCAAAGUAUUUAUGCAUGUCUAUUUUGUUUUUUCAGAAAAUGUCUUCCAUCAACUCAUUAUUCAUUAUCCUUGUUAAAAAUGAACUCACUGGCGAAAUGUACUUAGAUUGAAAAUACAAUCUAUUUAAUAUUCUCACUGCUAAGGGCUGCAAAUAUGUGUUGACUCAGUCAUUCCCUCUAGAACCAACGUUAUACGAUUAUACACUACUAGAAAAAUGGGCUUUACUGACACUUCGUUACUGACACUUUGCAAAAAGUGUCAGUACUUAUGUACAUAUGCACCAUUUUCCGCUUUUGACAAAUAGGAAUCAGAGAUUAAUGAUACUAGGGUGUCAGUAAACUAAACAUCAAAAAUCACUAACACUAAAGUAUCAAUGAUAAAAAAAAUUCAUAAAAAUUUUGUUUUAGCUCCAACUCGAACCUGGGAGCUCUAAGAUUUAAAGCUUUAAUGUUUGGAGCACAGACCAUCAAAUCUCGAUGAGUCAAAGUCAUAAUAAUAUUUAAAUUAUUAAAAAAUGAAAAUAUAAAUAACAAUAACAUAAAACACACUUGUUCUCCCCAUCUAGACUAUAUCGACUGUCUCUAUCUUGCUUUCAUCAUUCACUUUCGCUUUCGUUUUUCUCUUCUCGAUCUCUUCUGUUUUGCACUAUCCAUUUACAAAUUAAAUUCAAUUAAUUUAGAUAGAUAAUGAAAACCUAAAACUCUGAUUCGUUUUUCCAUUUUCCCCAAAUUGAAACACAAACCAAAAACCUAAUCGCUUGUUAUCGAAGGGGUUUUUCUCCAACUUAACCAUCCAGUGCCUAUACUAGGCAAGCAAGUAAAAGCCAUCGACAAGGGGUGAAGUGGCACCAUCGGUUCGGUAUUCAGGUAAUCUCAUUCUCCCUGACAAGUUAAGUCCAAAGAAAGAACUGUAGAGGAGGUUAUCAGCUGGUAAUGGCAGAAUGUUUUAUUUUUUUGUGCAAUUUAAUUAUUGGGUUUGUUUUAAUUUGGCUUAUGAAUAAUAUUUUUGAAUUUUUAUUUUUGGGUUGUUUCAGAUAUUCAGAAAUUGAACAGUCGUGCAACCCUGGUGGGUUUUGUUUUCCAAAUGUUUUUAUUUAUUUAUUUAUUCGUAACUUGAAAUUUUUGUUCUUAUUUUUCUAUAUCUUCACUCACAUGCAGUCCAAAAAUACAGGCAUUUUAAGUGGUGCAUUACUUAAACUCAAAACACUUGCUGCUGCGACUCUGUUUUUUCUGCCACAUUUGAGGUCAGUUUCAAACUUUUGUUCAUGUGAUUUACUGUCAUUGUUAUUUAAAACUAAGAAUGUGCAUUUUUUUUAGUUUCUGAAAUAAACUGUUAGCUCAGUUUCUUAACUUUGAGCAAUAAGUUAGUUGAUUUUAAAUGUACUAAAAUAUGAAAUUUGAUUUUAGCUUUUGCCUUUGUGAUUAGGAGAUGAUUGUUUGGGUGUUAUAUUGGCUGAAUGACUGUGUAUUUAGUGGUUACAAACUAUUUACAUCUCUGUUUCAUGUAAAGAGAGGCAAAUUUUGUUAUAUAAUCCUACUUGUUUAUUUAUUCUGUUUUGGUUGGACGAUUUGUAAUAGAGACAAUGACUAUGAUAUGAAUUAAUUAAGUUCGUGGUUGUGAGUAUUUUGAGAUUGUAUAAAGUUGAUGAUUUGUGUUUGAUUCAAUAAAGAAAUGCUUGUUUUAAAGUAGUUCUGCAUGUUGUAUUUGAAGUUAAAAAAUGAUUUAUAGAAUCUUAAAAAAUGGCUUGCAAAGUGGUAUGAAGACAUUAUUUAUUUGAACUCUUAACUUUUGUUAGUUACUUGACUUAUGAAUUAGUUCGACUACUUAAAAAGCCAUUAGCACCCAUCUUACCUAUUAAUCUCCUAUUUAAGUUUCAAAACUUAUUUUGUUUCAAUUUCAGGAUUUUGUCUAAAUUAUUAUUAUAAUUAAUGAUUUAUAGGGCUAUUAAUGAUUUUCCAGAAUUAUAAGUUUAUUAUUACAACUAUAAUCAUAAUAACAUUGAACUUUAAAUUAAUCAUGCAAUUUAAUUAAACUUAAACUAACAUUACAUAUGUGAACAGGUAAAAUAUUUGAAAUGGACAGAAGUUGGAUAACUUGUGAUAGAUUGUCUGUAGAGUAUCGUUCUGGAGUUGCUGAUUUCUUAGAUUUUGCCAUUUUGAAUGCUGAAAAUCGAAUGUCAAUUAGAUGUCCUUGCACCUUUUGUUGUAAUAUGGAGUUUCAUACUCCUCAACAAGUGAAGGAUCAUUUAUUUGAAAAAGGUUUUCUCCCAAGAUAUAUUGUUUGGACUUGGCAUGGUGAGACUAACUCUAAAUCUACAUUUACAAACUGUGAAGACCAUUCACAUAGUCAAAGAUUUAGAUGUCAUGAUUACAGUAAUAUAAUUGACAUGGUCGAAGAUGCUUACGAGCAUUGUGAUAGAGAUCCUAGUUCUUUUAAGGAUAUGCUUGAAGAUGCUGAAAAGCCUUUGUACCCGGGUGCAAAACAUUCAAAGUUAUCUAGUUUAAUGAGACUUUACAAUGUGAAAGGGAACUAUGGGUGGUCCGAUAAAGGGUUUUCUGCUUUGUUAGAAGUCCUUGCUGAUAUUUUGCCAAAUAAUAAUACUCUACCUAUGUCAAUGUACGAGGUUAAGAAAACAAUGAAAGUGCUAGGCUUAGAGUAUGAAAAAAUACAUGCAUGUCCAAAUGACUGCAUUUUGUAUAGGAAUGAAUUUGCUGAUCUUGCUGAAUGCCCAAAUUGUGGAGCAUCUAGGUAUAAAAAAAAAAAAAGAUAGCUCAACAAAAUUUAGGAAAGGGGUUCCUAAAAAGGUAUUAUGGUAUUUUCCACCUAUUCCUAGGUUGAAAAGAUUGUUUCAAUCACCACAAACAGCUCAAAAUUUAACAUGGCAUGCUAAUAAAAGAAUUAGAGAUGGCAAACUUCGCCACCCAGCAGACUCACCAGCUUGGCAACUAAUUGACAAUAAGUGGCCAAAAUUUGCACAAGAACCUAGAAAUCUCCGUUUAGCUCUCUCAACUGAUGGGGUUAACCCACAUAGUACACUUAGCACUACUUAUAGUUGUUGGCCUGUUAUAUUAAUAACAUAUAAUCUUCCUCCAUGAUUGUGUAUGAAGAGAAAGUUUUUGAUGUUGUCACUUUUGAUAUCUGGCCCUAAACAACCUGGAAAUGAUCUAGAUGUAUACCUAGCACCUUUGAUUGAGGACUUAAAAACUCUAUGGGAUGUAGGUAUUGAUGUUUAUGAUUCUUAUAGAAAAGAAACCUUUAAUUUACGGGCUGUCUUGAUGUGGACAAUUAGUGACUUUCCAGCAUACGGAAACCUCUCUGGUUGUACUGUUAAGGGCUAUUAUGCUUGCCCAAUUUGUGGGAUAGACACUUGUGCAUGUUGGCUGCCAUAUAGUAGGAAAAUGUCAUAUAUGGGCCAUCGCCGCUUUCUACCACUCGGUCACCUAUUUCGGAAACUGAAAAAGGUUUUUAAUGGGAAGCAAGAGUGGAAUGAGCCUCCUAAAACUUUGUCUGGUGAGGAAAUCUUUAAUAUGGUGGAAGAUAUAGAUAUUAAGUUCGGGAAAAAGAAGGCCAAAAAGCGGAAACAUGAUGGCGGUGGUGGUGGUGGUGGUGAUGAGAACAUAACUGAAAAAUUGUACAAAAAAAAGUCAAUCUUUUUUGAGUUAGAUUAUUGGAAGCAUUUAUUAGUUCGCCAUCAAUUAGAUGUGAUGCACAUUGAAAAAAAUGUGUGCGAAAACAUAUAUGGCACAUUACUUCAUCAACCAGGCAAAACAAAAGAUGGGAUUAAUGCUAGAAAAGAUCUUGAGUCUUUGAAGAUCAGGGGAAAACUAGUUCCUGAUGAAACAAACAAAAAAAACAAAGUCCUACCUCCAGCUCCUUAUACUUUGAGUAAAAAAGAAAAAAAACAGUUUGGUGAAACCUUGCUGAGUGUGAAAGUCCCUGAUGGGUAUUCUUCCAAUGUCCAAAACCUUGUUUCAAUAGACGAUUGUCGGCUUCAAGGCCUUAAGUCCCAUGACUGUCAUACUUUGAUGCAACAAUUUCUACCACUAGCCAUUCGAAACUGUUUGCCUAUAAAUGUGAGAACGGCCAUAAUCAGGAUGUGCUUCUUUUUUAAUACAUUGUGCUGUAAAGUGGUAGAUCUGAUGGGUGUCGAAGCCAACAAAAAUAAAUUCCUACUCUAAAUAAAUUGUGUAUAGUGAUUGAGCAGGGUCGUGUCCACAGAGAUCGGUAAUUAUUUAAAUCCUUUUGAAACGUAAAACAUAAAAUGGGGGAAUUGUUGACAAUAAUAAAAAUCAAAUUGAAAUAAACAAGAAUGCAAAUUAAAGUUGUAAUUCAAAUUGGAGAAAGCUCUGGUUGAAGGAAUUAACUCAGCUUGAUUCGACUACUGAUCAUUGAUUCAAAUAUAGAUUAUUAUUAUUACUUAUGAAUAGAUCGGUUAUAGCUACUGAGACCCUCUAAUAGCCAAUCUCUCCUUAACUAGUCGAUAACCAAGGUACGACCAUUGGUUAUUUCCCUAAUCAAUAGACAACCCUAGAUACGAUCAUAGGAUUUAAUCAAUUGACAGCCUGAGAAACCAGAGAGACCCAAAUCCUAAUCAACACAUAUGAUGAUUCAUUUAAAUUAGAUUGUUUAUUCUCACAACACAACUCUCUGCUAUGUUAUUUGUCACAAACAUUAAAUUCUUCAUACGAUGAAUCCUUUAAUUGACAAUAGAUUAAGUUGAUAAUUAAAUAGUGGCCAAUUACCUAAUUAACAAACAUAAUCAUGAAAAUAAUUCAGAGAAUAAACAAAUACCCAAAAAGUAAUAAAACAAUUAAAGCACAAGAAAGAUCUCACAGUAGUGAUGAAUCAAAGCUUCAUUAACCUUCAACCAGAAAAAUUGGUUUAGUUCCUCAUAGAGAGAAGAGAAAAAUUAGAUCUAGGGUUUCUUUUUCUCCAAUCCAAAAAUCCCCCCUUUUUCACAAUAAAUUCCUCCCUUAAAUACACUCUCUCUCUUCUCUUUUAGAAUUCUAUUUAAAAUAAAAUACUAAUAUCUGAAAUAUUAAAUUCGUAAUUACAAAAAUAACCAAAAAUACAAAACACGUUAAACUAAAAACUGCAGGUCCGCAGUUGACAGCACGCGCCCACGCCUUAUCAACAAAGUUCUUCUGACGCUCAGAAAUUUCUCCAAGAGAACAAUCCUCCUUAAACAUCAUCUUUUAGCUCAAUUUUAUCAUCAAUCAAUAGAAUUGCACCUACAAAAGUAAAACACAAGUAAAACAUUAUUAUUAAAUGCAAAACAUCGAUAUUAAGGGAAGUAAAUAAUGCAAAACUAGUGCAUAAAUUGCACUCUAACAAGAUCCUAAUACUCUUGACCAAUUGCAAGAGGAACUUGUAAUCACUUUAUGCUUACUGCAGCAGUACUUCCCACCUAGCUUUUUUGACAUAAUGAUCCAUUUAACAGUCCACUUAGUUGAACAAGUUAGGUUAUGUGGGCCUGUUUAUCUUCGAUGGAUGUAUCCUUUUGAGAGACAAAUGAAAACUCUCAAGGAUUAUGUUCGUAAUCGCUACCGCCCUGAGGGUUGUAUUGUAGAAAGUUAUAUUGCAGAAGAAGCACUUGCAUUUUGUGCUGAGUACCUCUCAAAUUGUGAUGUUAUUGGGCUGCCUACUGGUUGUCCAACUGAUUUAUCUAUCGAAAAGCCUUUGGGAGGUGCAAACAUAAAGGUGGUUGAUGAUCCUUUGUUGGCACAAGCACACCGGUGUGUUCUAAUGAACACCCCUGAAAUCCAAAUAUAUAUCGAGUAAGUUGUUAAUUUUUCAAAAAAAUAUUACUAUUGUAUUAUUAGAUUAAUAUACUAGUUUUUAAAUCUUAAUAUGUUUCACUGUAGGGAGCAUAUGCAUUAUUUGGCAUCAAGAAACCCUUAUAAGGCAAAAACAAAUUUGUGGUUGCAAAAUGAACACAUACGAACAUUUUCUGGUUGGUUACAAGCAAAGGUUAGAAUUACUUAACUAAAUACAAUAUAGGAUAUAAACUUAACAAGAUUUUUCUACAUGUUACUAAUUACUGUACUUGUUAAAUUAAUUUAUAGGUGGCACAUGAUAAAGCAAAUAAUGUGCCGAUUGACGAAAUAGUGUGCUUGUUAGCAAACAAACCACGCUCAAGCGUGGUGACCUUCUCUGGCUACGAGAUAAAUGGCUUCAAUUUUACAACGAGGGACCGAGACUGUAAUCGUGUGACCCAAAAUAGUGGUGUUAGGGUUGUUGCUAACACUCUACAGAUUUCAAGCUCAAAAGAUAAAAGUCCUCAUUUUGGAGACAUGACGUUUUAUGGAGUCAUUGAUGAGAUUUGGAAGCUUGAUUAUCUAAUGGUUAAAAAGACACUUUUCAAGUGUGAUUGGGUAGAUGAUAGAGGGGUUUGCACUGACAAUUUAGGUUUCACUGUAGUUGAUUUAAAUCGGAUUGGCUAUAAAUCUGAUUGCUUUAUUCUGGCUUGUCAUGCAAAGCAAGUAUUUUAUGUAAAGGACCAGCUAGAGAAUAAUAAAUCAAUAGUUUGUUCAGUGACCGACAAAGCUUAUAAGUUAAAUGGGGAAAGAUGUGAAGACGUGGAUGUAUUUUCUCCAUUAUCUAACAAACUUCCAGUAUGUGAGUUGGAUGAGAAAGAUGAUGAAGGAAUUUAUGACAGAAAAGAUUGUGAUGCUAUUCCAAUAGAUAUUGAUUUAGAAAAUCAGUGAAUGCAUUAUUGUAGUUAGUUUCCAGCACCAAUUUUCAAAGUUUUCCAGUAAGUGAUUUAUUUAUUUCAUUAUAUGCUAUUGCUCUUGUAUUAACUUAUUAAUCUAAAUGAUAUACUUAUUUAUUUUAAUCAUUUUCAAGAUUGUAGGAGAUGGCUGACGAUGUUGAGUUCACUCUUCCGGAGCUCGACGGAAGACCAAGGAGAAGAAAACAAACAAAAAAAAAAAGGUUUGCAAAAACAAGAAGUUAGUCAUGAAGCUGCAAUUGAGUACAAUUCUUAUGGUGUUCCGGUUGGAAAGGGAAGAAAUGAUCUUAGGAGUUACAUUGGAGUCAUUGUACGUGAAACAAUUUCAAUUUUACUUGAUGAUUGGAGGCGUGUGCCACUAGAGAUGAAGGAAACUUUGUGGGUUCAUUUUCAGGUUUUGUUUUCUUGUUUCAUAGUAUGUUUAAAGAUUUUAUAUAACUUCUAGAUUUUUUUAAAGUUGUUGCUAAUCCAUGUUAUUGGUUGACAGAAAAAAUUCAAAUUGAGCUUGAAAUGCAAAAGCCAAGUAUUAAAGUGGAUGGGGGUUGCAUCAAGAAACUUUCGUUGUGAACUGGCAACUGAAUUCGUUCUACCUAACAAGGACGAUCGAAAGUCACUAAGGUUGCCUCCUAUUGAAUAUCCAAGCAUUAAAAAAGCAGAUUGGAAACUUUUUGUUGACAAAGUUUUGUCUGAACAAUUUCAGGUGUGUUGUUUGUUAAUAUUACCUGAUUUAAUUGUUGGUAGUUACUAAUAAUCAGUGGUAACUUUUUGUUCUUCAUAUAAACUGUUUGUGCAGGAAAAAAGUAAGAAGGCAAAAGACAAAAGAGCAAAGAAUGUCUACAACCAUCGCUUGGGUAGCACAGGAUAUGGUGGCAUGUUGUAUAGAAAAGUAAGUGUGGUAAUAUGGAGUAAUUACAGUAACAUAAGUAAUCUAAUGCGUAUAAUAUAAUAGAAUCAAUUAUUUAUGUUUUAUGUCACCUCGUAACAGAAAAAGGAGAGUGGAGUUUCUGAGCGGGAGAUUGAUCGCAGUGAAGCUUGGUUAAUGGCACGAGCAGACCGAGAUGGCAAAUAUGCUUCUGAUGUGACGCCAAUUGCUGAGAAAAUAGUAAGUCACUUGUAUACUUAAUUCUUAUGAAUUUUCUUUAUAAUAUGUGUGUGUGGGGGUAGAUAUUAACGUACAUAUAUACUGCUUUUUGUAAUAAUUGUAUGGCAACAUUUACAAUUGACAGAAACUCAGUAAGAUUUCAUCAGAACUUAUUUCUUCGCAUAUUAAAAAGUUAAAACUUGUUUGAGGUGUUGUCUUGUAAUAUUUUCUGUAGUUUCAAUUUGAAUUGUAUAUGGAUUUGCUCUUUGUUAAAGAUUCAAGAAGGAUAUUAGUUUAGUUUAGCUGAUGUCUUGUUCUUGUAAUUGCGGAUUUACAAUAUUUUUUUUUUGUAGAAUGAGCUGAAGAGUCAUGUUGAACAAGGAACAUUCCAAUCACAAGGGUCACAUGACAUUCUAGGUGAAGCUCUUCAGAAGCAGCCAAAUGGAAGUAGGGUGCAAGGAGUGGGGCAAUUCGUCACCCCAUCUAUGUACUUUCAUGUCCCUGAUGCCACUGAGUUAGCAAGAGAAAGAAAGAUGUAUCAAGAGAGUUUCCAAUUCAUGUCUGCUCAAUUAGAACGCAUGAAUGCAAGGUUAAAUGCGUACAACAAUACUGAAGUUGGAAGUUCUAACUUUCCUAAGCCCAAAACUUCCACUGGUGUUCAGAUUGACAAUGAUCAACAAUCCCCUGAAACUCUUGGAAAAAGAAAGGUAUAUGGCCUGUUACAUGUCAUUAUUUUAUUUCCAUUUGUAUAUGCAUGUAUUACUACUAAUGGUAUGUAUUUUGAUUAUUGCAAAGGCUGAUUUCCCAUCGGGUAAGUCGACUCCAAAAUCUGUGAAGAGUAAAAUCAAGGACAGUCCCACCACAAUUUCCCAAGCAACUCCUCAACAAACCCCCGAAAAAGUAGACUGUGAAAUUACUUCAAAGCCCACACCGAGAAGAUCUCCUCGACUAACUCCUAAAGUACUAGAUAGGCAGUUCUCCUGUCAUGACAAAGUACCCAACAAAGAACCACCAGUCAUCAGACUAGCAGAAGUAGCCAAAAAAGAACCCAGAGUCAUCAUACCAGCAGAAGUAGCCAAAAAAGAACCCAGAGUCAUCAGACCAGCAGAAAUAGCCAAAAAAGAACCCCGAGUCAUCAGACCAGCAGCAAAAGACCUCAAUGUACGUGUGAAGAAUACACAGGCAGCAGCACGAUCAAGAAAGAAUGACAGGAGUGAAUAUAUGAACAUGUUUACCAUGUUCAUCGAGAAUUCUUUACCUCGGUUGAUCAGGAUUCGGCAUGACACAGCAACCUUUGGUGAAAUUUGGGAAACACACUUGGACAAAAUGAUUUGUGCUGAAAUCAUCGAGUUUAAAGAGGUCUCAAACUGCAUCAUUAACAUAUGGAUCAAGUACGGUAAAUCAUAACUUAUGUUUUAGUAAACUUGGCCCUAUUAUUUUGUUUCCUAUAUUCAAACUUACUUCGUUAUAUAUAUUUGUUUCCUCUUAGACACCUGUAUGAGGAGAUGAAGAGCAAUGGAAGUACUAAACCAGUUCAGUUUGGGCUUUUUGAGAAGCUAUAUCCAAGGGUCAGUUUCAAAGACAGGACUCAAUACAUUUCAAAACUGUUAGGCUUGGCAGAAUUGGGACAAGUCAUCGUAUUCCCGUAUAACCCUGGGUAUAACCUUUUUCAUUUGCUAGUAAUAUUCUUUAAUUUGUAGAUUAAUCACUUUUACUUGUAAUUCAUGUGUGAGAACAAUUUUUACUUUGUUUAGUGCCCACUGGGUGUUAUUGGCAAUUGAUAUGGUGAGACGUACAACCUAUUACCUUGAUCCUUUGGAAGGUAGUCCUGAUGAAGAGCUAAUGCAGAUUGUCAAUCAGUUAAGUUUGUUAUUUGUAUCUUUGAUCAUGCUAUUUUAUUUUUAUGUCUUAUGCUAAUUAUUUGCUAACGUUAGCUAUGUCUCUUAAUUGUAGGGGGAUUCGAAUACAUCAGAGUUUAAAUUCUGAUACAAAGGCCAAUGUUCAAUGGAUACCUGUCAAGGUAAAAAUCAGACAAACCUAACUAAUUAUUGUUAACGUACAGUAAAAAAUUAAUGUAAUUUUGAUCUUGUAGUGUCCGAGGCAGCCGAGCAGCUUUGAAUGUGGUUACUAUGUGAUGAAAUACAUGCAAGAUAUCAUCACAAAUGUGAACGUUCUGAAAAAUAAUGUAAGUAUUGAAAAUGAUUUUUACAAUACUGUAUCAUAUUGUUUUAAUUUAUUGUGAAAUGAAUCAGCUCACACACCUGUGUGCUUCUUUACAGUUAUCUUUUUAUUGCGUAUUGUAUGCAUUUUAUAAACUGUGAGGGUACUUAUAAUGGUGACUAUGUUGCAUACUGUUGAAUAGAUUAUAUGAAUAUCCAUAUAGACAUGAAUUAGGAUUUGGGAUAUACACAAUGUACUGCAUAUCCCAACACAAAACAAUUGUUUGGGUUGCAAAGUAGUUGUUAGUGGGGAUGUGCUAUGGUGUCGUUGCUUGUACUUUACUUUGAUGAGGAUAAGUUGUCAUCCUAAUUAAGGUUUUGUAUCUACAUCCAUAUUUGUAUUAAAUCGCGUACUGUUGGGGUUCACAAGUUGCUUCGGCUAUCAAAUAUUGUUGUUGUUGGGGUUCACAAGUUGUUUUUUUUUUUGGAAUUACCAUGAUCAGGAUGUUCAGUAUUUACCUAUAUAAUUUUGGAUAAAACAGUAACAUUGUUGGAGUUUAUUUGUUGGCUUUAAUUGUUAACACACAAAUGUAUUUAAAUGAAUGAUAAUUAAGUAGUUUAGUCAAGGAUUUUCGGUGAAUAACUUGUUGUUUUAAAAUUAAAGUUCAAGGGAGUUGAGGAAUACACUGUCAAGGACCUCUCGCGACUUCGUGAUCAGUGGACUACAUACGUUGCCAAGUUAAUUACAGCCUACAAUCGCGAGGUAACAUACAAGUAAUUUAUGAUUAUUUUUCCUUAAACAAAUCUGUGAUUUAUUUUUUGUGGUGUGCUAAUUGAUUUUAUAUACUUGUAGGUGGAAAAAAAAUGAAGGCAUAUGCGGACUCCAAAAUCAGUGACUCCAAAAUCAGUGACAUUGUUAUCUGUUUUUUCUUCUUGGCUAAAUUUUCUGAAAUUAAUUUAGUACUUUAUCGUGUAUACUACUUGUUCAAAGCUUCAUUUUGUACUUGAACAUGUUUUUUACCCCCAAACAAUGAUGUAUUUGAACUAUUUUAAUUUAACUGAUGUAUUUGAACUAUUUUAAUUUAAUUGAUGUAUUUGAAAUGUGUAUUAUGUGAAUUGCGUUACAAGAUUUGGUAUGUUUAAUAUAUUUUGGGUUUAUUUUAAUUGUAAAAUAAACAUGAAUAAUGUCAUUAAAAAAAAUAAAACACAACCGGUAUAGCACCGUUAAUACUGACACUAAUUAUUUAAAUGACGAUAAGAAUUUUUGAUGUUACUGAGUCAGUGGAUUCCUGAUACUGUAGUCACAUAAAUCAGUGACAUGUAAAUAGUAUCAUUAAAUGCUAACGCGAUUGAGUCACUAUCCUUGUGACUCUCUAGUGACACAAAAUACUGACAUAAAAAUAGUAUCAACUGAUACUAACAUCAUAGUAUCACUAUGGUGGUGAUACUAUAGUGACACAAAAUACUGACGCAAAAAUCACUGACACUAAAGAUUAGUGUCAGUGUGUUCUGGCUUGAGCAUUACUGACACAAUUAACAAGUUUCAGCAAAAGUAAUUACUGACACUAAAUUGGUGUCAGUAAAGCCCAUUUUUCUAGUAGUGAUAGAAAUCAGAGGGAGCCUUAUGAGAAAUUGUGCAAAGCUAACAAAAUGGCUAUGUGAUAUAUAUUGGCUUCGAUUUCUGUGGAAUUGAGUAACAAACAUCAGAGCAUGGAAACAACCACUGAAAUAAUGGCUAGUCUUCAUCAGAUGUUUGGGCAGAAUAUUCAUUUUGCCAGAGAAGCAGCAUUAAAACAUAUUAUGGAUACUAAGAUGGAAGAGGGCAUAAGAGUUCGUGAUCAUGUCCUCAAAAUGAUGGACUAUUUGAAUGAAAUAGAGAUUCAUGAUGUUCAAAUCGAUGCUAAAACAAAGAUUAACACAGUGAUUGAAUCUUUGCUUGAUACAUUCAAAGAGUUUAAGAUCAGUUAUAUCUUAAACAAUAAAGAUAUGACCUUAGUUAAUUAAUGCACGAACUACAUGCUAUAGAAGAAUUUUAUCAUAGUAGGAAACUUCCUGAAAAAGGAUUCUCUUGAAGGUUUAAGUCGAAAGACAAGAAUAAUCAAGAUAGAGUUGGGAUGAGAAAAUUGUCCACUAAAAGAGAUGGCAAGCCAAAAUGCAAGUGUUAUAAAUGUGGGCAGAAGGGUCACUGGAAGAAAGAUUGUCAUAAGAUUAUUAAAAUCAAGUAUAUGAAAUUUUUAAUCUUUCUAAUUAGUUCAUAUUUCUAUUGAUUCAUACAAUAGUGAAUUUUGAGAUAACAAAUCUUAUUUAUAAUUCAUUUAUUUGGUUUUCAGGAAACUAAGAGAUUAAGUGAACAAAGCUUCAAACAGCAACUGAGGACAUGCUAGUUUAUAUCAGUUGAAAAGAUAGAUCAAUUUUACGAGACUUUAGUUUUGAUAUUUGUCUUUAUUAUUCUAAAUAUUAGAGGAAUUUAAUUUCGGUAGCUUGUUUUAAUAAAUAGGAGUACACUGUUAUUUUUUUAUCCUCUGUUUAUUACUUAUUUUGGUUCUUUAUGAUGACAAUUUAUAUCAUAUAAGUUCAUUGAUCUAUUCAAAGUAAGAUAUAAUGAUAAAGAGUAUAUGCAUUUAUCUAAGAAAAGAAAUGUUUCUUCUAACCAAUAUCACCUAUGAUAUUUAUGCUUAAAUCAUAUAAACUAUAAUAAGAUUUUUAAAAAAUGAUUAAUGAUAGGCUUGUUGGCCUAUUAAGAUUAAUAAUUGUCACUCUAUAAAUCUUAUUUAGAAAAGUAAUAUGACAAGGAUGCUUUUUUUGAGCCAAAAGCAUAAUAUUAUAUUGGAUGACUUAGCGCAUACAAAUGUAUACGGAUUAAUCAGUUUACAUGUUAUAAGAGGUUAUGAGUAUUUUAUGAAUUUUAUUGAUGAAUAUUCAUUUCAUUUAUGUUUGUCUAAAUGCAUUAUGAUUCAAUCGCUUUAGAAAUUCAAAGAGUAUAAGGAUGAGACAGAAAGCAAUUAGAUAAGAACAUAAAGAAACUACGAUCUGAUCGAAGUGGUGUAUCUAGCUGAAAAUAGGAUUAUAUCUCAGUUGACUGUCCUGGGAACACCACAACAAAAUGGGGUAGCUAAAAGGAGAAAUAGAACUCUUUUGGAUAUGAUGAGAUAUAUGCUUAGUUAUUCGUCAUUACCAAUCUCUUUUUGGGGAUUAGCAUUGGAAACUGCAGUUUACCUCUUGAACUUAGUUCCAUCUAAGUCAGAGUCUAAAACCCCAAUAAAAUUAUGGUCAGGUCGCAAACCAAGUUUACGACAUGUUUGUAUUUGGAGAUCACCAGCACAUGUGCUGAAACCAAAGACAGAUAAAAUGGAUUCACGUUCUGAGGUUUAUAUGUUUGUGGGGUAUCCUAAAAGAAAAAUGGGAGGAUUAUUUUAUAGUUCUCAAGAUAGGAAAGUGAUCAUGAGCACAUAUUUCACUUUCCUCGAGGAAGACUAUAUGGAUAACUUCAAAUCUAAAAGUAAGGUAAUACUUGAAGAAUUGUCAGGUGAUCAAGUUGAUGCUUAGAUUUUAACACCUGUUAUAGAACAGGAAGAACAACAAUAACUAGCUGAUCAACACAGGAUUAUCCCUGAACAACCAUCAAUUUUAGAAUCUCGUCAUAGUAGGAGGGUAGCUAGGUUACCUGCUAGAUACAUGUUAUUAGGAGAAACAUAUAUGGCUAUCUCAGAUAAACAUGUACAAAAUCCCACUAGCUACAACGAAGCUCUAAUAGACAGAGAUGUUGAACUUUAAAAAAGAUCAUGGAUCAAGAAAUGAAAUCUAUGUGUUCCAAUAAAGUCUAGGAACUUGUAGAGGCACCAAAUGAGGUAAAACAUAUAGGGUGUAAGUGGAUAUACAAGAGAAAAAGAGGAGUAGACGGAAGGGUGAAAACAUUUAAAGCAAGAUUAGUAGUCAAAGGGUUUACUUAGAAAGAGGGAAUCGAUUAUGAGAAAACAUUUUCUCUGGUUGUUAUGCUCUCCAUUAUUGCAGUGCUAGAUUAUAAAAUUUGGUAAAUUGAUGUCAAGGCUGCUUUUCUUAACGAGCAUCUUGAAGAAGACAUCUACAUGUAGCAACCAGAUAGAUUCAUAUAAAAAGGCCAAUAACACAUGGUAUGUAAGUUGCAGAGAUCCAUUUAUGGAUUGAAGCAAGCAUCCCGGUCAUGGAACAUCAGAUUUGAUCAAGCGAUUAAAUCGUUUGGAUUCAUUCAGAAUAUUGAUGAACCAUAUGUGUACAAGAAAAUUCAGGGAAAAUCUGUAGCCUUCCUAGUUCUUCAUAUAGAUGAUAUUCUCCUUAUUGGAAGCGAUAUAAGAGUAUUGACUACAAUAAAGAGUUGGUUAACAAAAUAAUUUGAUAUGAAAAACCUGGGAGAGGCAAGUUAUAUUUUUGGUAUCAAAUUACUACGAGAUUAGAAGAAUAAAACUUUAACCUUGUAUCAUUUGCUUGUAUACUUAGUGGUUUCAAUACAAUAAAUAUUCAAAUUUGACAUAUUGAGAGGAAUACAAUAAAUAUUCCAAAUAUGUUUUUGACAAGUUAUUCCAAAUACAAUAAAUAUUCCAAAAGGAUCUGCCAAAAACAUAUUUGGAACCACAAGAAACAAAAACAUAUUGAGAGGAAGUAUCAUCUUAUAAGGGAUAUAGUGCAAAGAGGUGAUGUGGUAGCUACUCAGAUUGCGUCACAAGAAAACUUGGCAGAUCCUUUUACUAAGGCCAUACCUGGGAAACUUUUUAACUUGCACUUAUAAUCCAUUGGCAUGAGUGAGAUGCCAAAUAUGGUUUGAGAGCUAGUGGGAGAUUGUUGGGAAAAUAUGCUCCUUAAAAACAUAUGUGUUUAUUUAAUUGUAAUGAAUAAUUUUUUUGAUUAAUAUAAUAAAUGAGGUAUUUUAUUCAAGUAUCUUAGUUACAUUAAUAUUUGGAGUAAAGUCCAUUUAAUCAUAUUAUAUGUAUUUACGUGAUCACCAUAUGGAUUCACAGAAGACAUAAAUACAAGUUAUCUUAUGAUUAAAUAAAUUAAGUUUGCAGUUGAUAAAUAAAGUUAGGCACUUUAUUUAGGUAUAGACUGUAAUAAAUUCAUUUAAUGAUUCGUCUUAAUCAUGUAUGAAUUUAUUGAUGUAGUAAGACUAUAUUGAAUUGGAUCACAUAUGAGAUUUAAUUAACUUUGUAAUAACUGUCAGACUUAUUAAAUCUCAUAAGCAUUGAUUUUACUAUAAUCUUAAUCUUCAGUUAGUUAUAAUUUCAUGAUUAUAAUUAUUAUUCCAUUUGAGUUACCAAUUGACAUGACACACACUUGUAGUCAAGAUUACUCAGUAUCUUGAUAGGAGCAAUUAUAAAUAUUAAAGUUAUAGAUUAACAAUAUAGAAUUUGUACAACACAUCUCUUGAUGAGUUUUCGACACUUGAUCAUAAAAUUCUCUGGCCAGAUUGUGUCAACAUAUUUAGUAUGUUGAACAUGAUCAUUAGAGAAAAUCAGUAAGUAUCAAGGAAUAAAAUGUAAUUAAAUUAAUUAGACAGUUGAGAUGUCGAUUUAAUUAACAAGGUGGUACAAAUGAUUAUGCAGUAAAGAAAUCAAUGUGGCAUGGGUCGAAUUAUUAUUCGAGAACACUAUCCUAGAUAACAUACAAUUAUGGAGGUCAGUUCGAAUUUUUUAGUGGAGUAGAUUUGGAAUUAAGUAAUUGGGCUAGUUUAAUGACAGACCUAAUUAUUGUAGCCACUAUUGUAUGUACUCAUAUAAUCCCCGGAUUAGCUCAUUUAAUUGACUGAACCGCUACUGGAUUAAUAAGCAAGAUACAAACUAACUAUUUUGGUUAAAAGCCUAAAUAUAUUAUUUAGUUGGAGGCUCCAUUUAAUAUGCUUGUGUGUAAGGAGUCUUGUGUUAUUUUACAAGAUGGACCCCUAUAACAAGAGCAAGUAACGCCACUUUUAGUUUUAUUUUUUUAAUUUAAAUCAAAUUUGAUUUAAGAGAAUUAAAAAUAUAUAAAUAUGGAGCCUAGGGUUUCCACUAAAUAGAGAUAUAAAGGGACUUGUUUUCUCUAAAAGGGGAGAGGAGCCACCAUAUACAGAUCAGAGAAAAAGAGUUUUUCUGUCUAAUUUUGAGAAAAAUAUUUUCUCUUGCUAGUUGCUUUUAGUGGUGAUAAAGGCGCCCACACGUCAAGUGCAUAUCAAACUUGAGUCAUAACUUGGAAGAUCAUUGGUGACGGAUCGUGAUAUAAAAAGAUUAGUGGUGACAGUUCGUGAUCUAACGGGAGUGGUGGUAACGGAUCGUGAUCUGGGAGCGUAGAUUACUUUAGCAAAAAAGUAAAGGUACGAUUUCUAAAUUAUGGUAAUUUUAUAUAUUGUAUGAGAAUUGCGAUCGAAAUAUUUCCGCUGCAAAAUAUUUUUAAACCAACAAUUAGCAACUUAAUACACUUGGUACGCUGGAACGGAUUGUAAAUAUAAUAUUAUCAUAAAAUUUAUUUAAAUUUAAUUGUAUCAUUUUCAAGAGAAAGUAUCAUUUUUUUUUAUGCAACUAAGUUAUCUAGAGACAAACCUUCUCUUGUGUUCUCACAGCUUUGGGGAAGCUUCAAAGGACACAGCUUGGAUUGUCCAUUAUGCUAAUAUACCUGCCUAUAAAUAGGAGGGUUGACCUCAACUGUGAGUAAAAGAACUGCGAUACUCGUGUUCCUUCCUGUAAUAACGAAAGCGUCUUAAUUAAUUCAGUGUUUCUACUUCAGCAAAAUAAAAAUAAACUCUUGAUUGAAAUAAAACCAACUUUCAUAAUUUUCAAUUCUAAUUUUCUUAUAAAAAUGACGCCAUGAUUGGAUGGCAUUGUCCUUGUGUUGUGUCAUUGAUUUAUCCAUCUUUGUUUUUCCCAAAAACAAUUUCCAUGAAAGAGGAUGUUUUGCUGCUCAUUAGUAAACGCUAUUUAAGCACAAGAAAUGAUUGAGAUUUAUGCAAAGUACGUGGCAGAAUUUAUGUAAGAUGACUGAUGAUUCAUAAGGAAAGCUAAACAUGGGAGUUGGUAACUUUUAGCAUGGUGAUCAACAUGUGUUGUAGAAAAUUUUUAGAAUUUUACUAUAAGUGGUACACAUAAAAGUCAGUAAGUCUAACUUGUACUCAAAUAUUAGCUCAUAUCUUAAUAGUCGCCUUAAGCUUAUGUUAUUAAUCAAUUAACUAAUCUCAGCCCGUCUGAAAAAUCUUUUCUAUCACCUCCAGUACUUGUAGGUCAAUUUUUUGUUUGGUCUUUGUCAAUAAUUCAAGUGAUGGGUUUUUCUUUGCCAAUAACGCACGAUAGUUCCUUGUCAUGAGCUUCUAGGGGUGUUCGCGGAUCGGAUUUUACGGAUUGAACAUCAAUCCAUAUCCGAUCUAUAAUUUUAUGGAUUAUAAAUUUUCAAUCCAAUCCAAUCCAUGGAUUGAUAAAAUUCAAUCCAUAUCCAAUCCAUACGUUUGCGGAUCGGAUGCGGAUUUGACUCAAUCCAUAUGCAAUCCACCAUUUUGCGCAUUAGUUUUCGAAUUAAAAAUUUUUUAGUUCUCUCCAACUAAUGAAAUAAAAAAAAAUCUAAUAUAAAAAUAAUUUUGCUACAAAUUAAAUUUAAAAUUGAAUAAAAUUUAAAUAAAUUAAUUGUUUAAAUAAAGCUAAAAUAAUACAUUUAAAGUUUCAAAAUAUAGCACAUCGAGACUAAUUAUUCAAAUAAAGCUACAAUAAUACGUUCAAAGUUUCAAAAUAUAACAUACCAAGCUUAAUUGUUCAAAUAAAGUUACAAUAAUACGUUAAUAUAACACCGAAAUUAAUUGUUCAAAUAAAGCCACAAUUAAUUGAAAUGGCGAAGUUUCGGAAACCAAACACAGUUUGAUCCUUCACUAGGGCUGUUGCGCCUGUCGAAAAAUGGUGAUUACGGAGCCAUCCACGAUGGGAACCAGGAGAAGCCGUGCAGGUGGCGAUCUUAAAGGUUGUGAUAGUGAAAUUCUUCAGCUGGAACAAGUGAAUGUGAAGUGGCUCGAUGGACUUGGGAAAGAAGAUGGCUUGCUCUCGCCGGAAUCGCGCGGCCGAUGUCCUUUAAAUCCGUAUUGAGAGUGUAUCCAACCAGUAUUGAGUGUUGCUAGUGUGUGUGACGGCGGGAAAGCUUAGGGCUUUUUGUUUGCAAAUUGUUGGUGACUUGGCGUUAUGUUACUUUACUUUUGCUAGUGCGUGCCACUUUGCUUUUAUUUUGUUUUACAAUUUUUACAAGUUAUAUUUGUAUAUUUGAUUAUUUAAUUAUUUUUUAUUUUAUAUUAUUAUUGGGUAAUGGCUAAGAUAUGUUAUAGUGCUUAGUAACUAUGCAAUGCCACAUUUAUAAUUUUUUAAAUUAAAUUUAUAAUAAUUUUUUAAUUAUAUAUAUAUAUAUAUAUUUAUUUUUUUUUGCGAAUUCACGGAUUUCUACGGAUUUACAGAAGUAAAUCCAUAUCCAAUCCAUCGACUGCGGAUUUUUAAAUUUUCAAUCCAUAUCCAAUCCACCAAUCUACGGAUCGGACGGAUUGAGCGGAUCGGAUUGGAUUAUGAACACCCCUAUGAGCUUCUUAUCUUCUGUCUUGAAGGAAGAAAUUGCAAAAGACAAAUGAAACAAUUUCCUUUACACAUCAAUCAGUGCUGCAGCCUUUAUAUCUUUAUUAUUCUCGGAGGGAUGAUAAUGUUGAGAGCCGAAACAAUUACUAGUACUCACUCCUCUUAUGGCCAUGUCUAACUCUCUACAAUAAUUUCGAUAUUCCUGUUCUUCAGUUCUUCCACUACCCAACAAGUACGACGGUAUGUACGGUGGCUUCAUUGCUAGAGCCUCUGUGGGCAUAUUUUAACAACGUGAAGGAAGAGCUAAUUAGAAUUCACACAAUUUUCCUGAAAGUCUACAACUUCCAGGAAAUUCACCACCUCUGUAGAAUUGUAAUAAUAAGACUUGUGGUUUCUGUAAAAGAAUUUAUAAGAGUUAAUAUAAAAGAAUUCGAAAAUGAAUUUUAUAUGGACUAGAAAUACUCUUGAUUAAUUGGUUAUUCAAAUGGUUUAGAAAUCCCCUUAAUAUUAGGAAGUCAUUUAAAAUUCUGAUUGUUGUUGUUCUAAAUAUAUUACUUUGCACUAACUUCCAAUUCCACAAUUACUCUGACAGCCCCGUUUUCACGGAUUUAUUUAUGUAUCUGAAUCUUUUUAUUCAUGAAAGAAUAAUCUCUUGCAAACUCACAACUUCAAUUAUGAAUCAACUAGCUAGCAACCAUUUCUUUAUUUUUAAUUGCUUUGGAAAUUAAGGAUUCGUCCAGCCGCCAGAUUCCGCAGUGAUUCUAUUGCAUUGGAUGUCUUCAAUUUUCUUUUGCAUUAGAUUAUUUGUUGAACUAUUUAUUCACAAGUGAAGGAGGAAUUAUAGAAUAUAUCUGAGAUAAUACAAUCAACUAAUGCAUAUACAACGUGUGUAAUUGAAUUUAGUGUAAACAUCACCUAUAUUUUUGAAAAUAAAUGCACACAAGUUAUAGUAUCAUUUGCUUGUUAUAUGACUUACAGUGUAUUCUAGAAUUUUUCCCAAGUGGAGACCAUGAGUGGUAACAUCCAUCUGACAUAAGAGUAUUACAAAGAGAUAAUCACUUGUCAAAUUUGAAUAUUUAUUGUAUUGAAACCACUAAGUAUAUAAGUUUGGACAACCCUAAAUUCAUGAUGAGAAGUUAAAGACAGUAGUACUCUAAAAGAAAAUGGAACGAAAUGAUCCAUUCAUACCUAUUAUUUGACUUUUAGAUUUGCCCUUCUAAAUUUUAACAAAAUGCACACAUGUUCUCUUGACAAAUUUUUAUUUAUUCAUGUGAACGAAGUAUAACAAAAUUAUUGACCAAUCAGAACCAAGAUGGAAAUAAUCAUCAACAAAAGUAAUCUGCAAGGACGAAUAGAAGCAGAUAGAUUAUUCCAAAAAGAAACUAAGUGCAAGUGGAAUUACUGUAGUACUGAUUAUUCGAGUGUGGCGGGAACGUCAUCGAAGAAGGGUAAACUUCUCUGUUUCAGGAUUUCACAACCCUCAGGACUUGCUGUGUUUGGAUCAAAAAGCUCACGAUCAGGCAGAGGUAAGCCAAGUUUUAUUUGACCCACUCGCCGCGAAUGCAGGACUUGCUUGGUCGUGACAGGUAGCCUAACAGAUUGAUAUUCUUCCAGAGCUGAAUGUAAAUUUUCUUCCCCCAACUUCUCAAGGCAUUUACCUAACACUGCUGCAUCAGCUAUGGCCAUGUUUGUGCUUCUUGCACAGUGAUGGGUUAUGGGAUGAGCCGCAUCUCCAAUAAAGACCACGUUGUUGUUGAAAAGUCAAAGAAGAGCUUGCCAAUUUCAAGGUUGGUAGCACGAUUCAACAAAUUGUUGGUUACACCAACAAUUGUAGAGAUUUUUCAAGCCGAAAAGAAAGAAUGGACAAAGGGGAUGGAUUUGAAAAUAAUAAUAAUUAAAAAUUAUAUUUUUAAUUAUUUUAUUCUUUGCAUAGUAAUUCAUUUCUCCUAUAAAUAUCUAAGGAUUUCAUUCAUUUGAAAUCAUCCCAAAAUUGUUAAGCUUAUAAGUUUCUAAGCUUUUGAGAGAAGUGAGAGAAGUGUGUCUGGAGAAUUUAUCUUUCCUGCAGAGUGUGAGAGUACUGGGUAUAUUUGGGUUUCUGGGAAGUGAGAUUCGUUACUCAAAUAUUGUAUUCUAUUAAUUGUUAAAUAAACAAUUAUUCUUUCUUGCCUCCGUGGAUGUAGGUUUAAUUACCGAACCACGUAAAUUCUUGUGUCCUUUAUUUUUCAGUAAUUUUUGGUGCGCUUGAUUCCGCAUUCCGCGCACAACAAGUGGUAUCAGAGCCGACGGUUCGUACUUGGGGGGAUACGGUAUUGUUCACGUAUACGGUACUAUUCCCGUAUACGGUACUGUUCAUAUACGGUACUGUUCACGAAUACGGUGGAGACGGCCAUUUGUACUUGGGAAACAAUCUAUUGUAAGUAGUGUGUAUUUUUGCAUGUCUAGGAAAGUUCUGUCAACAAAGGCAAUAAGAGUCUAAGGAUUCUGGUUUUUAAUUGGGACCGAGUCCCCGUCCAGUCUCCUGGGAACUUUCCUGGUGCAUUUAUUCACGCGAAAUUAACAUCAUAGAGACUGUUUUUCAAGUGGAAAUAUUUUGUUGAGAAAAUGGUAGAAGGUGAAACUUCCAGAAUUGGGGAGAGAUCUACCGAGACUAUUUCAGGAGACACUUCAGGUGGGAGGCGAGAUUUGUCAAAUCGCUAUUCAGCACCUGUUAUAGGAGGCCAGAAGAUCGAUGUUGAAAAGUUUGAUGGGAAAAUCAACUUCGGCAUGUGGAGGCGCGAAGUUAUGGAUGCCCUUAUUCAAAUCGAUCUCGAUGUUGUUCUGAAAAAUAAAAGACACUUGUAUGAUGAAGAAAUUUGGGAUCGUAUGAACGAGAAAGCCUGUGGUCAGAUCAGAUCUUGUUUGACCAAGGAGGUAAAAUACUUGGUGAAAGAUGAGGAGUGUGCGGUGACUUUGUGGCGUACAUUGGAGGAAAAGUACCUAGUGAAAAGUCCUGAAAAUCGCCUUCAUGCAAUGAGCCAAGUAUAUGGUUUUCGAAUGAAGCCUAUGUUGUCAAUGCACGAUCAUGUUUCAAGAUUUGAAAAGUUACUUGCUGAUUUGAAGAAUCUUGAUGAAGAUAUUAAGGAUGAAGUCAAGGCUAUGAUUCUGUUACACUCACUACCAGAGGAAUAUAGCCAUUUUGUGACUACUUUGAUAUAUGGGAAGAGUGUGAUCGUCUUUAAAGAUGUUUGCACAGCAUUGACUAGCUUAGAGAUUCGAAAUAAUGAUAAAAAUUAUGAACGAGCAUCGUCUGAAGCUUUGGUGAGCAGAGAUUGGGCGAUGGCGAAACAGAAGAAGCGUGGUGGAAAGAAUUCUCGAUCCAAAUCGAGAAGCAGAAAUAUAGCUCGAGAUGAGUGUGCCUUUUGUCAUGAAAAAGGCCAUUGGAGGAAAGAUUGUCCAAAGGCUCAAAAGAGAGAUGGGAAGAAACCAGCAGCAGCAAACAUGGCAUGGAAAGAUGAGGGCUUUGAUUAUUCACUAAGUAUUACUCCUGCAGCAUACGUGGCUAGUUCGAACGAGUGGAUACUUGAUACUGGAGCAACCUAUCAUUUGUGUCCUAUUAAGGAAUGGUUUACGGAUUUUCGUAAUAUGGAAUCCAGUGCAGUUGUGAUGGGGAAUGAUCAACCUUGUCGUACAAUGGGGAUAGGAACAAUUCGGCUCAAAAUGUUUGAUGGAAUGGUCAGAGAACUCAAAGAGGUUAGAUUUGUUCCAGCUUUAAAGAAAAAUCUAAUUUCUGUAGGUGCUUUGGAAGCUAAAGGCUAUAAGGUUACCAUUGAAGAUGGUAUAAUGAAGUUUACACAUGGGGCUAUGGUGAUUCUACAAGGGGUUCAACGUCACAAUCUGUACUAUUUGAAGGGAGGUACAACUGAUGAAGCAAAUAUUGUUGAGGCGCACAGUGACACCACCAAGCUAUGGCAUGUACGACUGGAACAUGUUGGAGAGAAGUCUUUGCAAACUCUGAUGAGGCAUGGACUCUUAAAAGGUACCAAAACCUGUAAAUUAAAUUUCUGUGAGCAUUGUGUAGUAGGCAAGAAAACACGGGUCAAGUUUGGUACAGCUAAUCACGAUACUCAUGAGAUCCUUGAAUAUGUUCAUAGUGAUGUAUGGGGACCAACCAAGACUGCAUCAAUUGGUGGAAGCCAUUAUUUUGUUACAUUUGUUGAUGAUUUCUCUAGACGUGUGUGGGCGUACACCAUGUGAGCAAAGGAUGAAGUUCUAGAGAUUUUCGUGAAAUGGAAGAAAUUGGUGGAGACUCAAACUGGCAGAAAGAUCAAAGUAUUACAAUCUGAUAAUGGGGGUGAAUAUACUUCUGAUCCAUUCUUGCAAGUAUGCCAGAACGAGGGUAUUAAAAGACAUUUCACGGUGAGACAUAUUCCGCAACAGAACGAUGUGGCUGAGCGUAUGAAUCGUACUUUACUGGAGAAGGUACGAUGUAUGUUAUCUAAUGCUGGUUUAGAUAAAAAAAUUUGGGCUGAAGUUGUGAGCUACGCAAGUCACUUGAUAAACCGGUUGCCUUCUGCUGCAAUUGGAGGUAAAACUCCUAUGGAAAUGUGGUAUGGAAAACAUGCACAAGACUAUGAUUCCCUUCAUAUAUUCGGAUGUCCAGCUUAUUAUCAUGUCAAAGAUGGUAAACUGGAUCCUCGUGCUAGAAAAUCUAUCUUUGUGGGAUUCAAAGGUGGAGUAAAGGGCUUCAAGCUUUGGGAUCUCGAAGGCAAAAAGUUUGUGUGUAGCAUAGAUGUCACAUUUGAUGAAGCUUCAAUGAUGAAGGCUUCAAGUUCUCAGCAGGUGGAGAACAAGACUAAAGAGGUAUUGCAGCGGGUGGAGUUUGAUGCAACUCCAUAUGUACCAGUUAGUUCUACAUAAAAAAAGGGUUCAACUAUGGAGGUGACACCUAGAGUUAAAGAAGAGGUUGUUUCUUCUGAUGUCCCACAAAAUGAAGAAACAAUUGAUGAUGUAGAUAAUGAUGAUUUUAUAGCAACAAGGAGGCUAAGAAGAGAGAUAAAGAAACGUGGAUGGCUUACUAAAGAUAUGGUGGUAGCUUAUGCACUUCCAGUUAUUGAUGAUGACAUCCCCAACACUUUCGGUGAAGUAUUACACAGCAGUGAAAGUGAUCAGUGGAAGUUAGCCAUGGAGGAAGAGAUGAAAUCUCUCUAUCAAAACCAGACUUGGGAACUUGUAAAGUUACCAAAGGGGAAAAGGGCUAUUGGCAAUAAAUGGGUCUACACCAAAAAGCAAGGAUCUCCGAAUCAAUCAACUCCUCGAUACAAGGCAAGGCUCGUGGCAAAAGGUUUUGCUCAAAAGGAAGGUAUUGACUAUAAUGAAGUUUUCUCUCCAGUUGUAAAACAUACUUCCAUUCGUAUCCUACUUGCCUUAGUUGCAGAAUAUGAGUUAGAGUUGGCUCAAUUGGAUGUUAAGAUGGCGUUCUUACAUGGAGAUUUGGAGGAAGAAAUCUAUAUGAUUCAACCUUGUGGUUUCAGAGUUGCUGGAAAGGAGAAUCAUGUGUGUAGGUUGAUUAAAUCUUUGUACGGACUGAAGCAAUCGCCAAGGCAGUGGUACAAAAGAUUUGAUCAAUUUAUACAAGGGCAGAAAUUCACUAGAAGUGAACACGAUCAUUGUGUUUACUUUAGAAGACUACCAGAUGAAGCUUUCAUCUAUUUGUUACUCUAUGUUGAUGAUAUGCUUAUAGCUUCGAAGAAUAGAGAUAAGAUCGAAAGAUUAAAGAAGCAGCUGGCUUCUGAGUUCAAGAUGAAAGACUUGGGUGAUGCACAUAGAAUACUUGGGAUGGAGAUUCGUAGAGACAAGAAGAAUGGGAGCGUAUGGUUGACUCAAAAGUCUUAUUUGAAGAAAGUGCUAAAAAGAUUCGGUAUGGAUAACAAAACUAAACCGGUAUGUACACCUCUAGCUCCUCAUUUCAAAUUAAGCUCUUCUUCAUGUCCUAGAUCUCAAGAGGAGAGCAAUUACAUGGCUCGUGUUCCAUAUGCUAGUGCUGUGGGUAGUCUUAUGUAUGCUAUGGUAUGCAUAAGGCCCGAUAUAUCUCAAGCAGUGAGCAUGGUUAGUAGAUACAUGCACAAUCCGGGUAAAAAUCAAUGGCUUGUGGUAAAGUGGAUUCUCCGAUAUCUGUAUGGGACAGUUGAUGUUGGGUUAUUGUUCAAGAAGGAUUGUGGUCAACAAUGUGUUGGGUAUUGUGAUUCUGAUUUCCCUGGAGACCUUGACAAGCGAAGAUCAACAACGGGCUACGUAUUCACAUUGGGUGAAGGUCCGGUUAGCUGGAGGUCGAUUCUACAAUCGACAAUUGCUCUGUCCACUACGGAAGCAUAGUAUAUGGCAGCAACUGAAGCUGUAAAAGAAGCUAUCUGGUUGAAAGGCUUGUUAGGUGACUUGGGAGUAAUCCAGGAGAACAUUGCAGUCUUCUGUGAUAAUCAAAGUGCGAUAUUCCUUGCGAAGAAUCAAACAUAUCACGCUCGGACGAAGCACAUAGAUGUGAAAUAUCAUUAUGUGAGAGAGAUUAUCGAGAGCGGUGUUGUGUGGUUGAGAAAUAUCGAUACCAAAGAUAAUCCAUCAGAUAUGUUGAUGAAUGUAGUUUCUGGAGUUAAGUUUCAACAUUGCUUGAAAUUAAUUCAAAUCCUUCGAUUGUGUUAAGAUAUGUCCUUCGGGAAUUUUGAAUUACGGUUGGCUUGAUCUCAAAUUUUGGGUACGUAGGCAGUCAUAGAGAUGCAGCCACUUUGGGGAUGAUGGCUCAUUGGUAGUCGGCUCAGAUUUGAAAAAUUUUCACCGAGGUGGAGAUUUGUUGAAGUCAACAAAUUGUUGAAAAAUAAUAAUAAUUAAAAAUUAUAUUUUUAAUUAUUUUAUUCUUAGCAUAGUAAUUCAUUUCUCCUAUAAAUAGCUAAUGAUUUCAUUCAUUUGAAAUCAUCCCAAAAUUGUUAAGCUUAUAAGUUUCUAAGCUUUUGAGAGAAGUGAGAAAAGUGUGUUUGGGGAAUUUAUCUUUCCUGCAGAGUGUGAGAGUACUGGGUAUAUUUGGGUUUCUGGGAAGUGAGAUUCGUUACUCAAAUAUUGUACUCUAUUAAUUGUUAAAUAAACAAUUAUUCUUUCUUGCCUCCGUGGACGUAGGUUUAAUUACCGAACCACGUAAUUCUUGUGUCCUUUAUUUUUCUAUAAUUAUUUGGUACGCUUGAUUCCGCAUUCCGCGCACAACACUCUUUCUGUAUUUCUGAAGACAAAUUAACUGUCAAAGUUAGAGCUAAGGAUCUUGAGACUGAUGAAAUAAUCGAGAUAGUAGGAGAUUUGCUCGUCGGAGCAGAUGGGAUCCUCUCAUCAAUUGGUCAGAGCAUUCUACCUGACUUCAAAUUAAGGUUUGUGCUUGCUUGUGAAUAUCAAUAAAAGUAAUUAAUUUUUGAGUAUUUUGUUUCAUAAAUUUCAAUGUGUUUUUAAUAGGUACACAGGAUACUGUGCGUGGAGAGGUGUUUUUAAUUUUUCAGAAAACGAUUCAGAAACCAUCUUAGGCAUUCGAAAAUCGUAUCCUGAUAUUGGGAAAUGCCUUUACACGAAUAUUGGUUCAGGAUCUCACAUCAUAGUCACUGAACUUAAGAAAGAGAAGUUCAAUUGGGUUUGGUAUGUCAACCAACCUGAGCCCGAGCUCAAGGUAACUGCUUACUUUUGUUUCAUCUUUUUACUUUGUUUACGGGGGUUUGGGUUGAGUGCUAAAAUCUAAUUUUUGCAAACGAUCAACACAGCUCAGACCAUCACUGGAUCCAAUUUUUUUUUUUAAUUUUAAUUUUCCGGUUUAUCAAUGCAGUAUGACCUGACAUUGGGAAACAAAUUAUUUUAUUCUCUUCAGGGAAAUACAACUUCUGUGAAAGUAAGCAGUGACAUGAUCGAGGAGUUGCACCAAAGAGCAGAGCAGGUUUGGUUACCUGAAUUGUCAAGAAUGAUCAAAGAAACAAAGGAUCCUUUCCUUAAUGCUAUAUAUGAUUGCGAUCCUUUGGAGAAAAUCAUCUGGGACAGAGUGGUGCUAACAGGAGAUGCAGCUCACCCGACAACUCCACACUCUGCCAGAAGCACAAACAUGGCGAUAAUAGAUGCAGCAGUGUUAGGAAAAUGCCUCGAGAAGUGGGGGCCGGAUCAUUUAUACUCUGCUCUGGAAGAAUAUCAAUCCAUUAGGAAGCCUGUAACUUCAGCACAAGUUCUACAUUCGCGACGAUUGGGUCAAAUGAAACAAGGGUUAAGUAUUCCUGGAAGGGAGCGGCCUUUUGAUCCAAAGACAGCAAGUCUAGAGGACUGGGAAUUCAUCGUUGACAUAAAUGUGCCUCUUUUCGACGUUGUUCCUCCGAUUCUUGAUUCAAUUUUUCGUUCUGCUUGAUAACUUCAAAGGACACGGCUUGGUCUGUUCAUUAUGCUAACUAUAGCUGCCUAUAAAUAAGAGGGUUGACCACAAUUGUGUGAGUAAAAGAACUGCUAUACUUAUGUUCCUUCCUGUAAUAACGAAAGCCUCUUACUUAAUUCAGUGUCUCUACUUCUUCAGCAAAAUAAAAAUAAAUUCUUGAUCGAAAAACACCCAACUUUUCCAAUUUUCUUAUAAAAAUGACACCACGAUAGGAUGGGAUUGUCCUUGUGUUGUGUCAUUGAUCUAGUAACUAAUAUUAGCGAUAUCAAACAUUUUUUCUAUCAUCUUCCAUCACAUGUGUGUAGGUCAAUAUUUUUGUUUGGUCCUUGUCUAGUGAUAAGAUAAUGUGAGUGAUUUUGAGAGAAAAUAUGAAAAACACAAACAAUGAAAAUGCCCUUUUACUUAAACUAUGACAGAUAUUUUUACACUGAAGUUGAUAGAAGACACUCGAAUGCGCAGGAGUGAAAUCUUGACAAAUUAAAGCGAGAACUAAGACAUGCUAGUCCUUUCUCGCGCAUUUAGUUGACAUUAUUUUGCUUUGCAAAUAAAUGCGGGCAUGGUUGAAGGCAUUUUAUCUUUCCGGAAGUGGAUGGAGAAAAAAAUAUAAUUAAAAGGGAUGCGAAUAAUAAAUGCCAGUUUUUUCUUAAUAACGAAGAAUAUAUUAGAAAUAAAUUGAAAUGUAACAAAAUACUUGAAAUAAUUCAAGUGAUGGGUUUUUUCUCUGUCAAUAACGCGCGAUAGUUCCUUGUCACGAGCUUCUUAUCUUCUGUCUUGAAGGAAGAAAUUGCAAAGGACGAAUAAAACGAUUUCCUUUACACAUUCAAUCAAUGCUGCUGCCUUUAUAUCUUUAUUAUUCUCGGAGGGAUGAUACUGUUGAGAGCCGAAACCAUUACCCAUACUCACUCCUCUAAUAGCCAUGUCUAACUCUCUACAAUAAUUUUGAUAUUGCUGUUCUUCAGUUCUUCCACUACUCAACAAAUGCGAAGGUAUGCGAUGGCUCCACUCAUUCAAGUUGAUUUUACAUUUGUUACAAUCUACUCCCGCCAUUGCUAGAGCCUCUAUGGACAUGUUUUAACAAGGUGAAGGAGGAGCUAAAUAAAAUUCACAAUUUUCCUGAAAGUUUACAGCUUCCAGGAAAUUCACCACCUCUAUAGAAUUGUAAUAAUAAGACUUGUGGUUUCCGUAAAAGAAUUUAUAGGAGUUAAUAUAAAAGAUUUGUUUAGGAGAAUGAAUUUUAUACGGACUAGAAAUACUCAUGAUUAAUUGGUUAUUCAGAUGGUUUAGAAAUCCUCUCGAUAUUAGGAAGCCAUUUAAGAUUCUGAUUAUUGUUGUUCUAAAUAUAUUAGUUUGCAUCAACUUCCAAUUCCACAAUUACUCUGACAGCGGUUUUCACGGACUUAUUUAUGUAUCUGAAUCUUUUUAUUCAUGAAAGAAUAAUCUCUUGCAAACUCACAACUUCAAUUAUGAAUCAACUAGCUAGCAACCAUUUCUUUACUUUUAAUUGCUUUGGAAAUUAAGGAUUCGUCAGCCGCCAGAUUCCGCAGUGAUUCUGUUGCAUUCCAUUAUUUGUUGAACUAUUUAUGCACUAGUGGAGGAGGAAUUCUAGAAUACAUUUGAAAUAAUACAAUCAACCAAUGCAUGCACACCACUGGUAUGGAGAUUUUUCAAAAAUAAAUACACACAUGUCAUAACGUUAUCUAUUUGUUAUAUGACUGACAUGAUAUUUUUUAUGUAUUCUAAAAUUUUUUUGAGUGGAGACCAUGAGUGGUAACAUCCACGUGACAAAAGAGUAUUACAAAGAGAUAGUCUCUUGUCAAUUUGAAUAUUUAUUGUAUUGAAACUACUAAGUAUAUAAGCUCGGCCAACCCUAAUUUCAUGAUGAGGGGUUAAAGACAAUACUAUUCUAAAAGAAAAUGGAACGAAAUUGUCCAUCCGUAGCCAUCAUUUGACUUUUAGAUUUGCCCUUCCAAAUUUUAACAAAAUACGCAGACGAUUUUUAAUUUAUUCAUGUGAACGAAGUACAACAAAAUUAUUGAACCAAUCAGAACCAAGAUGGAAAUGAUCAUAAGCAAAAGCAAUUUGCAAGGACGAAUGGAAGUAGAUAAAUUAUUCUAAUUAAGAGACUAAGUGCAAGUGAAAUAACUGUAGCACUGAUUAUUCGAGUAUGGAGGGAACGUCGUCGAAGAAGGGUAAACUUCUCUGUUUCAGGAUUUCACAAUCCUCAGGACUUGCUGUGUUUGGAUCAAAAGGCUCACGAUCAGGGGGAGGUAAGCCAAGUUUUAUUUGACCCACUCGCCGCGAAUGCAGGACUUGCUUGGUAGUGACAGGUAGCCUAACAGAUUGAUGUUCUUCCAGAGCUGAAUGUAAAUUUUCUGGCCCCCACCUCCUAAAACUGCUGCAUCAGCUAUGGCCAUGUUUGUGCUUCUUGCACAGUGAGGGGUUAUGGGAUGAGCCGCAUCUCCAAUUAAGACCACAUUGUCCCAGUAUAUUUGUGUCAAAGGGUCACAAUCAUAUAUAAGGUUAAGGAAAGGCUCCUUUGUUUCUUUUAUCACUCUUGCAAACUCAGGAACCCAAAUCUUCUCUGCUUCUUGGUGCAUCUUCUUGAUCAUGUCACUGCUCACUUUCAUUGUAGCUGAAUCUCCCUGAAAUUACUUAAUCAAUUUAUUAAAGCUAGCUCUGCUAACACGUAUGUAUAUAAAUGAUAAAAUGAAGCAAGUUAGGCAAUCACCUUGAGUGGAGGCUCAGAUUGAGAGAUAAACCAAAUCCAAUUGAGCCUCUUGUACAUAAGCUCAUCAAGGACGGUGUAAGUUCCAGAGGCCAAGUCCAUGUGCACGCCACUCCCAAGCGUAGGAUAUGCCUUCCGGAUGCCUUGUAUGGUUUCUGAAUUCUCAUUUUCCGAAAAAUCAAAAACCCCCCUCCAAGCACAGUAACCUGUAUACCUGCAAAACAGAAAUGAAAAAUAAACCGUAAAUUUCAAGACAACAGAAAAUAUGAAAAUAUAAUAUAAUUUGUUCAGAAACCUGAGUUUAGAGUCUGGUACAAAAGUCUGGCGAACUGAUGAGCGGCUCCCGUCAGCCGCAACCAGCAAAUCUCCAGCUAUGUCGAUGACCUCAUCAGUUUUAAGAUUCUUAGCUUUGACAUUGACAGUUGAUUUGUCGUGAGAAAUGCAGAAAGUGAGGUACAAGUGACCCCAAAAAAAUAUUUCCGGAGGCAGAGUAUUGUAUAUAAGACUAUGAAGAUCAGUCCAAUGUGCCUGUAAAUAGUUGAAAUUUUCAUCUCUAGCUAGUAUCCGACAGACGUUCUUUUCCUGAUCUACUGCCCGAUUCUGCACAGAAAGAAAAAUUAAAAAAAUCAGCACAACUUGUGGGAACAUCAGUUGAAAUUAAAGCAGUUCCGUGUAGACACAUACAUUACCUGAUCAAUGGUGAGAGGUAAGGUGAUGUUGUGAAGAAGAUCAGGUUGAUGGAGCCAUGACUUAACUAUUUUCUGGGACAAUGGAUGAAGUGCGAUUCCAGCGCCGGUUGGGUUUCCGGUUGGAGGUCCACGUGUCUUCUCGAUCACCACCACAUCCCAACCUGCUAAAAUAAGCGCUUUUGCGCAUGAUAUCCCUGCUAUGCUUCCCCCAACUAUUAUUGCUUUUGGCUUCCGCCCUCUCCCUCAUGUCUCUCUCUUCCUCUCAAACACCAGUAUGUGUGACACAAAGGGACGCUCGCGCAAAGAUAUGUUUAUAUACAGGGGAAAACUUCCCAUUCUGAAUUCAUAAAUCAGGAUGAGCCGGCAAUCAUAUAAACAUUUUUUUAAAAUAAAUAUUUUAAAUUUUUUUUAUACUAUUGUUAAUUUGACUCGGAUUUUAAUAAAAUUUAACAUCUCGAACCAAGUCACUACUCUAGAAAUUUUUUUCAAUCUGAACUUAUAUAUUCCAAUUCAAGAACAAGGUUUAAUAAUGUAAUGACUGCGAAAACUAUUAGACCAUAUGGUUUAACAAUGUGAUGAUAUUAUACUAUAAAAUCAUUUAAUAACUUUUUGAAUUUUAAUAAUAUUUAGGAUUCUAAACUAGAUCAGUACUAUAUACACACACAUACACAGGCGGUGCCAGGAAUUAUUUUUAACAGGCUCUAAGUUUAAAUAGUAAUUUAAUUUAAAAAAAUAAUUAACAAAUAACAUAUAUCAAAAUAAAAAUUUAUUACAAUAUUUAAUUCAAUACACUUAUAACUGUUCUGGACUUGGUUUUAUAUGUUAAAAACAUUAAAGAAUAAUCUCAUUAUCAAGACUACAAAAUAUGUCUUUUUCUAUGUAUAUAACAAAUCUAUCAUUCAACUAUUGUUCUCCCAUUUGAUUUCACAGAUGAUUUUUUAUAAAAUUUAUAAUUGAAAAUGCCCUUUCUACUGUAUCUCUAGUAACUGGUAAAAUCAAUACUAAUGUCACCAAUAAAUAAACUAAUGAAUAUAAUUCAUCCUUCUUAGUCUCACCGCAUUGUUAUUUUAUUAUUUAUUUAAAAACUGAUAAUAAAUUAUGAUUAAAUAUGUUCACAGCAAUUACAAAGUCUUGAUACAAUGUUUCUAUCUCACAUGAUGACGUAACAUCAAUAUCGAUGAUCGCUAAUUAGGGAUUCCAUUAUCCUAUUUUCCCUCUCACAUGAUGAAUAAAUAAACAGUUUUAAAAUCUCGCGUCACCCAAUGUCUAGCAUGUAUCCAGAGGCCGCAGCCUCAAAAGUAGUUAAAUUAAAUUCAAACUCUACAAACUCAAUAACAUGAUUACGUCUUAUUCUUUCUUAAUUGAAGUUGAUUUUUCAAGGAGGCAAUUUGUCCCGUCAUAUGCAGCCAAGUUAGAACGAAAAAAUGCUUAAUUCAAAUCUCACGGUCUUGAAGAAAUCUUUCUAGUCAAAAUAAAUUCUUAAGUCAGAUUUUUCAAUCUGGCGAUAUGAAAUUUGCCUAAUAAAUCUCUACAUUCAAACAUCACGUUUAUGAAACCCUUGCAUUCAGAAUAAAUUCUUGCGGGAUAUAAAAAAUAAAAAUAAAAAUCUUGCGGGUAAGGAGGAUCAAAUUUAAGAAUAAAGUUUGAUAAAAAUGAAUAAAAGGAAUAAGGUAAAAGGUUGAAUAAUUUUGGUAAAAUUAGGUACCAAAAAUAAGAUUUAGCAUAUGUUUGUUGUGGUUUAUUUAAUAACUAAAAGUAUUUAUAAGCUCUUUUCAAAAAUUUUACUGUUGUUUAGUAGUAUUUUGGAUAGAGAGUUUUUAAGAAUUAAAUAAAUUAUUUUGCAUCUACCAAUAAAAUCAUAAAUUAAAUAAAUUAUUUUGGGUUUUUGGGAACAAAAGUUGUAGAGCAUUUUUCAAGUGUUAAAUUAUCUAACAUACCUUUUAUUUAUUUUACACUUUUAUUCCAUUCUUUUCAUAAUAUGAUUUUAAAUAAAUUGGUCAAUUAAAGUAAUUUUAUAAUUUAAUUUUUUUAAUAAAAGUUCAUAUUGACAACCAAAUAAUUAAAAUAUUUUGGUAAAUCUCCAAUUGUAACAACUUAAUUUUAUUAAAAGCUAGAGCAUAGAGUCAGUGACGACGCGGAAAUAUAAAAAGUUGAUUGAUAGAAGAAAUUAGGUUUCUAAAUAAUAAAAGUUUUGUUAGAAAAGUUUAAAUGAACAAAACUAGUGUGUUGAGCUCCUGUUAUAAUAAUCAUAAAUAUCGCGAAUUUAUCAUAAUAAAAAAAUCUAAAAUAUCAUUUUAUAAUAAAAUCUCAUAAUCUAAAUAAAGAAACCAAAAUAAACAGCACCCAAAGCCAAUAUCUAAAAAAAAAGAUAAAAUCAUAAAAUUAAUAGGAAAAAUAGAAAAGUAACCUAAUGCUGAAAAAUGAUAAGGAAAGAAGUAAAACUUUUAAAUCGACCACGGGGCAGAACUAUGCAAGCUAUUAUGUUUGGUUUGUCCCGUUGCAGGCUUCGAAACGAUAUAUUAUAUACCUAAAACGGAUCCCUGUAACCUUAGUUAUGACCUCUAGAAAAUAAUCUGCUCAUCUUACCCAACAAUCCUGCAUUAGCUAGCCCAGUUUGGGAAUGUGAUGACUGUUGAAAAUAUGAUUAAAAAAAAAGUGUUAAAAUGAUGGGCAGCUGAGCCACCAUCUUUGAAUUCAAAGACGGUGGGUGGCUGAGCCAGCCACCAUCAUUGAACAAGGAAAAUGGGUGGGUGCCGCCCAUGCAAAGAAGAAAAAGAGGAAGAAAAGGAAGCCAAAAUUUGGCUAUAAAUAGAGAGGUUCUCCCUGUCAUUUAGGUAUCCAAGUUUUGGUGAGAAAUUGAGAAAGAGAAAUAUUUUUAAGCACGUAGUUAUAUUGAAGGAGUAUUUGACUCCUCAAUAUGGGUAUUACGAGUUUGUUUUGUUAGGGAAUAUUUAUAAGAAUCAUGUAUUUAGGGCUUGGGUGAGAGAAAAUUAUUUAUGAGAAAGUGGUUGUAAAAAUUUUUCACAUAGUGAAUAUUUUUUCUCUGGUUGUCUUUUGACAACGGCCAUGGUUUUUCUCCGUAUUUGGAAUUUUCCACGUAAAUCCCAUGUUAUGUGAUUGUUGUAUUCUCCAUUUAAUUUUUCUGUUAAUUUGUUGCUUGACAAAUUGCGUGGAGUGAUCUUGGGAGGAAGCUCAAUUUCCUAACAGUGGUACCAGAGCCAACGGUUCGUACUUGGGGUAUACGGUAUUGUUCACGUAUACAGUACUGUUUACGUGAAGUAGUGAGGCCAAUCCAAAUAGUUUACGAUGAAGAGCAAAGACUGAUCUAUAAAGCAAAUAUGUCAGCAGCUGGUGUUUUUCAAACUUGGUGGAGUUUGAUGUUGUUGAAAAAUUAAUGGGAGAAUGAUUUUUUGUUAGCUUGUGGAGAAUUCAAGUCAAAUGUGUAUCCAAUCUAGUAUGCACAAGAACUUGAAGGUGUGACAAUUUGGCAUCUCAAGAAAAUUGUCAAGAAGGUGGAGCGGGCUCGGCAAAUUGCUCCAGAAUCAAUAAAGGAGAUAUUGAUAUUCUCGCAAAUGGUGAGUUUUUUUUUUUUAAUAAGAGGCUGGGUUAGGUCAUUUGACAUAUAGAUCUCCAAAUUGCUAUAAAGGAGAACAUGUUAUUAUCAAUGGAGUCCACAAGUUUGCACGAAGGCAUUGGCUUGGUAUAAAUGUAAGGUGUGUGGUGGAAAAGUUAUGUCAUGGCUGAAGAAUUCUCAGUGAAACCAAGCAUGAGAAUUGCACCAUAAAUUUCAGCAGGAUAUUUUGACAUGUACCAAGAAAAACCUUAGAACGGUUGUUCUAAGUGGUAUACUCUUUAUAAUGGAGUAUGAUAAUUCUCUAUGUUGAGAAUUAUGACUGUUGGUGAAGACAGUAUUUUGUAGCGAUAGUUGUAAUUUUUUUAAAUCAUGGUGGAGAUUGUUGAAAAUGUGAUUUAAAAAAAAAAGUGUCAAAAUGGUGGAUGGCUGAGCCAACCAUCAUCAUUGAACAAGGAAAAUGGAUGGGUGCCUCCCAUGCAAAAAAGAAAAAAAGGAAGAAAAGGAAGCCAAAAUUUGGCUAUAAAUAGAGGGGUUCUCCCCCUCAUUUAAGUAUCCAAGUUUUGGUGAGUAAUUGAAAAAGAGAAAUAUUUUUAAGCACGUAGUUAUAUUGAAGGAGCAUUUGGCUCCUCAAUAUGGGUAUUACGAGUUUGCUUUGUUAGGGAAUAUUUAUAGAAACCAUGUAUUUAGGGUUUGGGUGAGAGAAAAUUAUUUAUGAGAAAGUGAUUGUAAAAAUUUUCCACAUAGUAAAUAUUUUUUCUCUGGUUAUCUUUUGACAACGGCCGUGGUUUUUCUCUGUAUUUGGAGUUUUCCACGUAAAUCUUGUGUUAUGUGAUUGAUGUAUUCUCCAUUUAAUUUUUCUGUUAAUUUGUUGCUUGACAAAUUGCUUGAAGUGAUUUUGGGAGGAAGCUCAAUUUCCUAAAAAUGACUUGUGAAAUAAACCGCUUCUAUAAAGCGAAUGAAUAAUCUACUUAUUAAAAUAGUAGCUUGGUGUUUAGUAAAGUGUGUUGUUAUAGUUGCUUUGAGUUUGAAAAAAAAGUACAUGUGUUUGAUGAAUUUUAUUGCGAAUGUGAUGUUUCGUUAUAUAAUGACCGAAAUAAUCAUAAUUUAAUUUUUUUAUUUAUAUAUUAGGAUGCAUGAAAAAUAAGAUGUAAUUGUCUCUUUGUUAAAACACUAAGGUUAUAAUAGGAACUUAAAAAAUUUGUGGUGUCUUAUUUGAUACCUAUUUAUAAAUAGUAACUGUACAUACUUUGAAAAGUUAUUGUCAAAAAAAAGAAACUUAUGAAAUUUAUCUAACACUAUUUAUUACUAUAAGAGAGCUCUAUAUAUAUUAAUUUCUUUUAGGUAAAUUAAAUUUUGCCCCUUUGAUUUUGAGGUCUGGCUACAUCACCGAUUGAAGCUUGUGAUUUUUUUAUUUACUAGUGCAUGAAAUCUUUAAUUUUGUUAAUAUAUUAGUGGCAUCAAUGAAUUAUUCUCUCUUUCUCUCUAUAUAUAUGAGAAAGGUGAUCAGGUGUGCGACUAUAUAUCAAACUCCUAGAUUUUUUUAAUCUUAAUCUUCAAUGAAUUAUUACUAUAAGAGAACUGAUCAAGUGCGUGGCUAUAUAUCAAACUCCGAAAUUUUUGGUAUUGUACGAAGUUAUGAUCUUAAUCUUUGGCUAAGGGUAUGAUUGGGAUUGCAUUAGCUUGGUAAAUAAUCCAUCCUCAUAUAAAUUCUCCAAUAAUUAACUUUGCAAAUAAUUUGAUGAGAUGUUGGUAAAAUUGGAUUAUAAGGAAAUCAAUUAUUAAAUAAUUUACUUAACAUGUUUGUCGUAUUAAUCAAAAAAUUGUGUUGUGUGCAAAUUACCAAGAUGGACAAGUUUUCUUAUAUAGUAAUAUAUAAUGAUAAUGAUUACGAUUUAUUUAUAUUAAUAUAUCAAAUAUUAGUGGUGGUGACGCUAUUUGUUUGCCGUUUCAUGGCUGUAAUUAUUUUAGAGGUGUGCGUGAGCAACCGCCAUUUCUCUGUUAUUGACAUCAUACGUUUUGGAGUUUGAUGGCAGAGGUAUUGUCGCAUAAUGAAGGCUUUAGCUAGAUGCAGACGACGGCGCCGAAGACAUCGCCGGACGCCAGCAAUAAUCUAGUUGUUUCCUUUUUUUUUUUGUCUUAUUUAAAUGUAAACAUAAAUAUGUUAUUAGUGUAAGGGUGUAUUCGAUCGAAAUUGUAUUGUUAAAAUGAGGAAAAUUUUGGUAUUAUGCUUUACAAAAUCAAAUUCUAUAAAAACCCGAAUUUCCAAAUCUACUUUCUCAUGUUUUUAAUGAUUAGUACAAAGAUAAAUUAUUUAAAAAUUCUCUUUCUUAAUUGAAAUUAACUUUUCAAGGAGGCAAUAUGGACUUUGCGUCGUAGGUAAGUUAAAGGCCCUUAAUCCCACGAUGUUCAUGAUGAAACCUUUCUAUUCAAAAUAAAUUCUUCAGUUCGAUUUUUCAGGCUGGCGAGAUGGAAUAUUUGCUAAUACAUAAGUUUGGGAAACUCUGGAUUCAAAUCAUUCGGCUCGAUUUUUAAGAUCCAAUUAAGUGUUUUUUAUUAUAACAUAUGUGUGAUUAACAUUUAUUUUUGUAAUUUAAAGCCAACUAAACGAUGCGCUGUUAUUUCUACAAUUGCUACAAAUUUGGGAGUGUCCCAGCCUUCACCUUCCUUGAGAAGCCUUCUUAUUCUUCAAACCUUACUUAUCGUAGGAUGCUUCCAGAGCUAUUUACUCCUCAAAUUGCAAUUGAAUUGAUUAUGGUGUUCAUCAUUCUCAAUGGACACAUAAUGGGUUUUUAACGGUUUCGUCGUGUAUUGAAUUUUACAAAGCUGGGAAUUGUAAUUAAAAUUGAACUUUAGAAAGUUGCAAAAGUGUAAUUGAAAUGUACAUGUCAAUUCUAACCACUCAUCUUUCUAAAUACCAUAUGUCGUUAGAUACUUAAUACACCUUGUGUGCUGGAAUGGAAUAGAUUUUUAGCAGAUACGAUUAGUUAAAUAAAAUUUGAUUGAAUCAUAUUUAGUAUUGUCUUUUGUUUGGCAUUUUAGAUUAUGGUAAUUUUAUAUAUUGUAUGAGAAUUGCAAUGCGAAUAUUUCCGCUGCAAAAUAUUUUAAAACCAAUAAUUGGUAUAAGAGCGAUCUCAUAUUAAUAUAUAGAGUUACUGUAUGAAAUCAAACUCUUGUAUUAUGUGUAUAAAAUUGGUGGCACUAAUUUUUAUAUAUUAUUUCAUUACGUGAAUGUAUAUAAUUAUUGACCAUAUUAAAUGUUGUCUCAAUUCAUGGUUAGUUAUUUUUUUGUAUUAAUUUUAUGGAUUUGUAACAAGUGAGGUGGUCAAUUUUCACCAUGUUUCUCUCUUGAUUAUUUUAAUUCAUUGUUCUUAGAUUCUUUGUAAGCCAUCUAUGGUAUAGGAGUUCUUGUAAAUAUUAAUUUUUAUUAUAUAAUAAUGUAAAGAACCCAAAAAAACAAAGAAAAGUUGAUGGCGGCAAGGAGAAGAAGAAACGACAGCCUCUCUAGAAUUGGCAGCGAACAGCAUGAAGGGACGGAGGGUUUCUUUUGAAUUUUUUCAUUAGACACUCUAUUGUCUCACUAAUUUAUGUUUUCUGGCAAGGCUUGAAAUUUUAUUUCAUUUAAGUCCAACACUAUACGUUGGUGGCGGCUGGAAGAAAAAUAAGUGAUUUAGGGUUUUGGGUUUAUACCCCAUGGCACCCUACAAUUUCACUAUUUUACAGUUCAGCCUAAGUAUUUUGGGUUUUGGGCAGAACAAAAAAAAAAUAUUUAUAUUGGAUCCAAGCCCAUUAUUGACUAUGAAUUGGAAAAUAUAAAUUUGAUAAGCCCAAUUGUUAUUAUUUGUCCAGAUUUAUUUAUAUUGGUCCCAAGCCCAUUUAAGGGAUUUCAAAAUUGAGUUAUAUAAAUAAAAAUUUAGUAGAUCAAUAAUAAAAUUUAUUUGGCUAAAAAAAUUUUAAAGAUAAAUUUGGGUUUAUUUUAUUAAACUAAUUGGGUCUGGAUUUUUUUAAAAAAAUAGGUAUUUAAAAAAAUAAGAGCCAAUAGAAAUUGUUUUUUUGAAAGGUGCCCAAAUUUAAAUUUAAAAAUUGAACCAGAGAUAAAUUUUAAAAGCCUAAAAGCCCUCAAGGCAAUAGUUAUGUCCAAGAGCAAGUACAAGAAAGAGAAAAAAGGAAGAUUGAUGUUGAGUUAAAGCCCAAUAGAUAUUAGGCUUGUAGAUUAAGUCAAUUUUUUCCUUAGGAAAACCAUGAAUUGAGAUUGUUUAAUUGCUUUUAAUUUAUAUGCUAUGUUUGGUUGAUAACAUGCUAUGAUAACAUGUCAUAUAGAAUAGGAAGUGCCACUCUAUGCAUAAUAAUACAUCACAUCUAUAGAUUAUGAAUCUAAAAAUAUAUUGUUUGACAUUUGCAUGUGCUUAAUAAUAUUAGAUUUCAUCUAGAUAAUAUUAUUGUAGGAAGCAUGCAAUUAAAAUACAGGAUAUAAUUUGUAUAUUGGAAAAACUAACUUUAAAAUAUUGAGUAGGAGAGGGAAAAUUCAAGAUAAUUUUUCCCACAGGCUCCAUUAUUAGUUCAAUAAUAAAAUUAUAUAUAUACCUUGACUUCAUGAUACGGUGAUGCUCUCUAAGAAGGGUAUAUAUAUAUCAGACAUUUUAUUUGAUGAACUUCUUUACAGAUAAGUUCGAAAUAUUUUUCAAUCUGUUGAUCACCCAAACUGUGGCGGCAUGGUAUGGAAGAUACGUAGAUUGAAACAAUGGUUAUACACUCCACUAAAAUUUGUUAUUAACCUUCCCAAUGAAGCUCUGUUAACAAAUUUAGGCCCAAAAGGAUAACGAUAAUUAUUUAUCAUGUCUCUACAUGAAAGUAAAUAAUCCAAUGAAUAAUUGGGUCUAGUAAGUGUAGACAUGAUUUCCCCAAUGGAUAGCUUGCCAAAGCAGUACUAGAUUAUCGUUACAAUAAAAUAAAAUGCAUUUAUGAUUUUUUUUUGCAUUUUAGAUUAUUUAUUGUGAACAUUAUUUGGUUCAAAGUAUUUAUGCAUGUCUAUUUUGUUUUUUCAGAAAAUGUCUUCCAUCAACUCAUUAUUCAUUAUCCUUGUUAAAAAUGAACUCACUGGCGAAAUGUACUUAGAUUGAAAACACAAUCUAUUUAAUAUUCUCACUGCUAAGGGCUGCAAAUAUGUGUUGACUCAGUCAUUCCCUCUAGAAUCGACGUUAUACGAUUAUAGAAAUCAGAGGGAGCCUUAUGAGAAAUUGUGCAAAGUUAACAAAAUGGCUAUGCGCUAUAUAUUGGCUUCGAUUUCUUUGGAACUGCGUAACAAACAUCAGAGCAUGGAAACAACCACUAAAAUAAUUGCUAGUCUUCAUCAGAUGUUUGGGCAGAAUAUUCAUUUUGCCAGAGAAGCAGCAUUAAAACGUAUUAUGGAUACUAAGAUGGAAGAGGGCAUAAGAGUUCGUGAUCAUGUCCUCAAAAUGAUGGACUAUUUGAAUGAAGUAGAGAUUCAUGAUGUUCAAAUCGAUGCUAAAACAAAGAUUAACAUAGUGAUUGAAUCUUUGCCUGAUACAUUCAAAGAGUUUAAGAUCAGUUAUAUCUUAAACAAUAAAUAUAUGACCUUAGUUAAUUAAUGCACGAACUACAUGCUAUAGAAGAAUUUUAUCAUAGUAGGAAACUUCCUGAAAAAGGAUUCUCUUGAAGGUUUAAGUCGAAAGACAAGAAUAAUCAAGACAGAGUUGGGAUGAGAAAAUUGUCCACUAAAAGAGAUGGCAAGCCAAAAUGCAAGUGUUAUAAAUGUGGACAGAAGGGUCACUGGAAGAAAGAUUGUCAUAAGAUUAUUAAAAUCAAGUAUAUGAAAAUUUUAAUCUUUCUAAUUAGUUCAUAUUUCUAUUGAUUCAUACAAUAGUGAAUUUUGAGAUAACAAAUCUUAUUUAUAAUUCAUUUAUUUGGUUUUCAGGAUACUAAGAGAUUAAGUGAACAAAGCUUCAAACAGCAGUUGACGACAUGCUAGUUUAUAUCAGUUGAAAAGAUAGAUCAAUUUUACGAGACUUUAGUUUUGAUAUUUUUCUUUAUUAUUCUAAAUAUUAGAGGAAUUUAAUUUUGGUAGCUUGUUUUAAUAAAUAGGAGUACACUGUUAUUGUUUUAUCCUCUGUUUAUUACUUAUUUUGGUUCUUUAUAAUGACAAUUUAUAUCAUAUAAGUUCAUUGAUAUAUUCAAAGUAAGAUAUAAUGAUAAAAAGUAUAUGCAUUUAUCUAAGAAAAGAAAUGUUUCUUCUAACCAAUAUCACCUCUGAUAUUUAUGCUUAAAUCAUAUAAACUAUAAUAAGAUUUUAAAAAAAUGAUUAAUGAUAUGCUUGUUGGCCUAUUAAGAUUAAUCAUUGUCACUCUAUAAAUCUUAUUUAGAAAAGUAAUAUGACAAGGAUGCUCUUUUUGAGCCAAAAGCAUAAUAUUAUAUUGGAUGACUUAGCGCAUACAAAUGUAUACGGAUUAAUCAGUUUACAUGUUAUAAGAGGUUAUGAGUAUUUUAUGAAUUUUAUUGAUGAAUAUUCAUUUCAUUUAUGUUUGUCUAAAUGCAUUAUGAUUCAAUCGCUUAAGAAAUUCAAAGAGUAUAGGGUUGAGACAGAAAGCAAUUAGAUAAGAACAUAAAGAAACUACGAUAUGAUCGAAGUGGUGAAUUUCUCUCAGGAGAUUUCAGAGAGUAUCUAGUUGAAAAUAAGAUUAUAUCUCAGUUGACUGUCCUGGGAACACCACAACAAAAUGGGGUAGCUAAAAGGAGAAAUAGAACUCUUUUGGAUAUGAUGAGAUAUAUGCUUAGUUAUUCGUUAUUACCAAUCUCUUUUUGGGGAUUAGCAUUGGAAACUGAAGUUUACCUCUUGAACUUAGUUCCAUCUAAGACAGUGUCUAAAACCCUAAUAAAAUUGUGGUCAGGUCGCAAACUAAGUUUACGACAUGUUUGUAUUUUGAGAUCACCAGCACAUGUGCUGAAACGAAAGAUAGAUAAAAUGAAUACACGUUCUGAGGUUUAUAUGUUUGUGGGGUAUCCUAAAAGAAAAAUGGGAGGUUUAUUUUAUAGUUCUCAAGAUAGGAAAGUGAUCAUGAGCACAUAUUUCACUUUCCUCGAGGAAGACUAUAUGGAUAACUUCAAAUCUAAAAGUAAGGUAAUACUUGAAGAACUGUUAGGUGAUCAAGUUGAUGCUCAGAUUUCAACACCUGUUAUAGAACAUGAAGAACAACAAUAACUAGCUGAUCAACACAGGAUUAUCCCUGAACAACCAUCAAUUUUAGAAUCUCGUCAUAGUAGGAGGGUAACUAGGUUACCUGCUAGAUACAUGUUAUUAGGAGAAACAUAUAUGGCUAUCUCAGAUAAACAUGUACAAAAUCCCACUAGCUACAACGAAGCUCUAAUAGACAGAGAUGUUGAACUUUAAAAAAAGACCAUGGAUCAAGAAAUGAAAUCUAUGUAUUCCAAUAAAGUCUAGGAACUUGUAGAGGCACCAAAUGAGGUAAAACAUAUAGGGUGUAAGUGGAUAUACAAGAGAAAAAGAGGAGUAGACGGAAGGGUGAAAACAUUUAAAGCAAGAUUAGUAGUCAAAGGGUUUACUUAGAAAGAGGGAAUCGAUUAUGAGAAAACAUUUUCUCUGGUUGUUGUGCUCUCCAUUAUUACAGUGCUAGAUUAUAAAAUUUGGCAAAUUGAUGUCAAGGCUGCUUUUCUUAAUGGGUAUCUUGAAGAAGACAUCUACAUGUAGCAACCAGAUAGAUUCAUACAAAAAGGCCAAUAACACAUGGUAUGUAAGUUGCAGAGAUCCAUUUAUGGAUUGAAGCAAGCAUCCCGGUCAUGGAACAUCAGAUUUGAUCAAGCGAUUAAAUUGUUUGGAUUCAUUCAGAAUAUUGAUGAACCAUAUGUGUACAAGAAAAUUCAGGGAAAAUCUGUAGCCUUCCUAGUUCUUUAUGUAGAUGAUAUUCUCCUUAUUGGAAACGAUAUAGGAGUAUUGACUACAAUAAAGAGUUGGUUAACAAAAUAAUUUAAUAUGAAAAACCUGGGAGAGGCAAGUUAUAUUUUUAGUAUCAAAUUACUACGAGAUUGGAAGAAUAAAACUUUAACCUUGUAUCAUUUGGUUGUAUACUUAGUGGUUUCAAUACAAUAAAUAUUCAAAUUUGACAUAUUGAGAGGAAUACAAUAAAUAUUCCAAAUAUGUUUUUGACAAGUUAUUCCAAAUACAAUAAAUAUUCCGAAAGGAUAUGCCAAAAACAUAUUUGGAACCACAAGAAACAAAAACAUAUUGAGAUGAAGUAUCAUCUUAUAAGGGAUAUAGUGCAAAGAGGUGAUGUGGUAGCUACUCAGAUUGCGUCACAAGAAAACUUGGCAGAUCCUUUUACUAAGGCCAUACCUGGGAAACUUUUUAACUUACACUUAUAAUCCAUUGGCAUGAGUGAGAUGCCAAAUAUGGUUUGAGAGCUAGUGGGAGAUUGUUGGGAAAAUAUGCUCUUUAAAAACAUAUGUGUUUAUUUAAUUGUAAUAAAUAAUUUUUCUGAUUAAUAUAAUAAAUGAGGUAUUUUAUUCAAGUAUCUUAGUUACAUUAAUAUUUUGAGUAAAAUCCAUUUAAUCAUAUUAUAUGUAUUUACGUGAUCACCAUAUGGAUUCACAGAAUUUGUACAACACAUCUCUUGAUGAGUUUUCGACACUUGAUCAUAAAAUUCUCUGGCCAGAUUGUGUCAACAUAUUUAGUAUGUUGAACAUGAUCAUUAGAGAAAAUCAGUAAGUAUCAAGGAAUAAAAUGUAAUUAAAUUAAUUAGACAGUUGAGAUGUCGAUUUAAUUAACAAUGUGGUACAAAGGAUUAUGCAGUAAAGAAAUCAAUGUGGCAUGGGUCGAAUUAUUAUUCGAGAACACUAUCCUCGAUAACAUACAAUUAUGGAGGUCAGUUCGAAUUUUUUAGUGGAGUACAUUUGGAAUUAAGUAAUUGGGCUAGUUUAAUGACAGACCUAAUUAUUGUAGCCACUAUUGUAUGUACUCAUAUAAUCUCCGGAUUAGCUCAUUUAAUUGACUGAGCCGCUACUGGAUUAAUAAGCAAGAUACAAACUAACUAUUUUGGUUAAAAGCCUAAAUAUAUUAUUUAGUGGGAGGCUCCAUUUAAUAUGCUUGUGUGUAAGGAGUCUUGUGUUUAUUUUACAAGAUGGGCCCCUAUAAUAAGAGCAAGAAACGCCACUUUUAGUUUUAUUUUUUUAAUUUAAAUCAAAUUUGAUUUAAGAGAAUUAAAAAUAUAUAAAUAUGCAGCCUAGGGUUUCCACUAAAUAGAGAUAUAAAGGGACUUGUUUUCUCUAAAAGGGGAGAGGAGCCACAAUAUACAGAUAAGAGAAAAAGAGUUUUUCUCUCUAAUUUUGAGAGAAAUAUUUUCUCUUGCUAGUUGCUUUUAGUGGUGAUAAAGGCGCCCACACGUCAAGUGCAUAUCAAACUUGAGUCAUAACUUGGAAGAUCAUUGGUGACGGAUUGUGAUAUAAAAAGAUUGGUGGUGACAGUUCGUGAUCUAACGGGAGUGGUGGUAACGGAUCGUGAUCUGGGAGCGUAGAUUACUUCAGCAAAAAAGUAAAGGUACGAUUUCUAAAUUAUGGUAAUUUUAUAUAUUGUAUGAGAAUUGCGAUCGAAAUAUUCCGCUGCAAAAUAUUUUUAAACCAACAAUUAGCAACUUAAUACACUUGGUACGCUGGAAUGGAUUGUAAAUAUAAUAUUAUCAUAAAAUUUAUUUAAAUUUAAUUGUAUCAUUUUCAAGAGAAAGUAUCAUUUUUUUUUUAUGCAACUAAGUUAUCUAGAGACAAACCUUCUCUUGUGUUCUCACAGCUUUGGGGAAGCUUCAAAGGACACAGCUUGGAUUGUCCAUUAUGCUAAUAUACGGUAUACCUGCCUAUAAAUAGGAGGGUUGACCUCAACUGUGAGUAAAAGAACUGCGAUACUCGUGUUCCUUCCUGUAAUAACGAAAGCGUCUUAAUUAAUUCAGUGUUUCUACUUCAGCAAAAUAAAAAUAAACUCUUGAUUGAAAUACAACCAACUUUCAUAAUUUUCAAUUCUAAUUUUCUUAUAAAAAUGACGCCAUGAUUGGAUGGCAUUGUCCUUGUGUUGUGUCAUUGAUUUAUCCAUCUUUGUUUUUCCCAAAAACAAUUUCCAUGAAAGAGGAUGUUUUGCUGCUCGUUAGUAAACGCUAUUUAAGCACAAGAAAUGAUUGAGAUUUAUGCAAAGUACGUGGCAGAAUUUAUGUAAGAUGGCUGAUGAUUCAUAAGGAAAGCUAAACAUGGGAGUUGGUAACUUUUAGCAUGGUGAUCAACAUGUGUUGUAGAAAAUUUUUAGAAUUUUACUAUAAGUGGUACACAUAAAAGUCAGUAAGUCUAACUUGUACUCAAAUAUUAGCUCAUAUCUUAAUAGUCGCCUUAAGCUUAUGUUAUUAAUCAAUUAACUAAUCUCAGCCCGUCUGAAAAAUCUUUUCUAUCACCUCCGGUACUUGUAGGUCAAUUUUUUGUCUGGUCUUUGUCAAUAAUUCAAGUGAUGGGUUUUUCUUUGCCAAUAACGGGCGAUAGUUCCUUGUCAUGAGCUUCUAGGGGUGUUCGCGGAUCGGAUUUGACGGAUUGAACAUCAAUCCAUAUCCGAUCUAUAAUUUUAUGGAUUAUAAUUUUUCAAUCCAAUCCAAUCCACUGAUUGAUAAAAUUCAAUCCAAAUCCAAUCCAUACAUCUGCGGAUCGGAUGCGAAUUUGACUCAAUCCAUAUCCAAUCCAUACGUUUGCGGAUCGGAUGCGGAUUUGACUCAAUCCAUAUGCAAUCCACCAUUUUGCGCAUUAGUUUUCGAAUUAAAAUUUUUUUUGUUCUCUCCAACUAAUGAAAUAAAAAAAAAUCUAAUAUAAAAAUAAUUUUGCUACAAAUUAAAUUUAAAAUUGAAUAAAAUUUAAAUAAAUUAAUUAUUUAAAUAAAGCUAAAAUAAUACAUUUAAAGUUUCAAAAUAUAGCACAUCGAGACUAAUUAUUCAAAUAAAGCUACAAUAAUACGUUCAAAGUUUCAAAAUAUAACACACCAAGCUUAAUUGUUCAAAUAAAGUUACAAUAAUACAUUAAUAUAACACUGAAAUUAAUUGUUCAAAUAAAGCCACAAUUAAUUGAAAUGGCGAAGUUUCGGAAACCAAACACAAUUUGAUCCUUCACUUGGGUUGUUGCGCCUGUCGAAAAGUGGUGAUUACGGAGCCAUCCACGAUGGGAACCAGGAGAAGCCGUACGGGUGGCGAUCUUGAAGGUUGUGAUAGUGAAAUUGUUCUACUGGAACCAGUGAAUGUGAAGUGGCUCGAUGGACUUGGGAAAGAAGAUGGCUUGCUCUCGCUGGAAUCGCGCGGCCGAUGUCCUUUAAAUCCAUAUCGAGAGUGUAUCCAAUCAGUAUUGAGUGUUGCUAGUGUGUGUGACGGCGGGAAAGCUUAGGGUUUUUUGUUUGCAAAUUGUUGGUGACUUGGCGUUAUGUUACUUUGCUUUUGCUAGUGCGUGUCACUUUGCUUUUAUUUUGUUUUACAAUUUUUACAAGUUAUAUUUGUAUAUUUGAUUAUUUAAUUAUUUUUUAUUUUUUAUUAUUAUUGGGUAAUGGCUAAGAUAUGUUAUAGUGCUUAGUAACUAUGCAAUGUCACAUUUAUAAUUUUUUAAAUUAAAUUUAUAAUAAUUUUUUAAUUAUAUAUAUAUAUAUUUUUUAUUUUUUUUUGCGGAUUCACGGAUUUCUGCGGAUUUACAAUAGUAAAUCCAUAUCCAAUCCAUUGACUGCGGAUUUUUAAAUUUUCAAUCCAUAUCCAAUCCACCAAUCUACGGAUCGGAUUUAUACAGAUCGGAUUCAGCGGAUCGGACGGAUUGAGCGGAUCGGAUUGGAUUCUGAACACCCCUAUGAGCUUCUUAUCUUCUGUCUUGAAGGAAGAAAUUGCAAAAGACAAAUGAAACAAUUUCCUUUACACAUCAAUCAGUGCUGCAGCCUUUAUAUCUUUAUUAUUCUUGGAGGGAUGAUAAUGUUGAGAGCCGAAACAAUUACUAGUACUCACUCCUCUUAUGGCCAUGUCUAACUCUCUACAAUAAUUUCGAUAUUCCUGUUCGUCAGUUCUUCCACUACCCAACAAGUACGACGGUAUAUGCGGUGGCUUCAUUGCUAGAGCCUCUGUGGGCAUAUUUUAACAACGUGAAGGAAGAGCUAAUUAGAAUUCACACAAUUUUCCUGAAAGUCUACAGCUUCCAGGAAAUUCACCACCUCUGUAGAAUUGUAAUAAUAAGACUUGUGGUUUCCGUAAAAGAAUUUAUAAGAGUUAAUAUAAAAGAAUUCGAAAAUGAAUUUUAUAUGGACUAGAAAUACUCUUGAUUAAUUGGUUAUUCAAAUGGUUUAGAAAUCCCCUUAAUAUUAGGAAGUCAUUUAAAAUUCUGAUUGUUGUUGUUCUAAAUAUAUUACUUUGCACUAACUUCCAAUUCCACAAUUACUCUGACAGCCCCGUUUUCACGGAUUUAUUUAUGUAUCUGAAUCUUUUUAUUCAUGAAAGAAUAAUCUCUUGCAAACUCACAACUUCAAUUAUGAAUAAACUAGCUAGCAACCAUUUCUUUAUUUUUAAUUGCUUUGGAAAUUAAGGAUUCGUCCAGCCGCCAGAUUCCGCAGUGAUUCUAUUGCAUUGGAUGUCUUCAAUUUUCUUUUGCAUUAGAUUCUUUGUUGAACUAUUUAUGCACAAGUGAAGGAGGAAUUAUAGAAUAUAUCUGAGAUAAUACAAUCAACUAAUGCAUAUACAACGUGUGUAAUUGAAUUUAGUGUAACCAUCACUUACGUAGAUAUUUUUCAAAAUAAAUGCACACAUGUUAUAGUAUCAUUUGCUUGUUAUAUGACUUACAGUGUAUUCUAGAAUUUUUCCCAAGUGGAGACCAUGAGUGGUAACAUCCAUCUGACAUAAGAGUAUUACAAAGAGAUAAUCACUUGUCAAAUUUGAAUAUUUAUUGUAUUGAAACCACUAAGUAUAUAAGUUUGGACAACCCUAAAUUCAUGAUGAGAAGUUAAAGACAGUAGUACUCUAAAAGAAAAUGGAACGAAAUGAUCCAUUCAUACCUAUUAUUUGACUUUUAGAUUUGCCCUUCUAAAUUUUAACAAAAUGCACACAUGUUCUCUUGACAAAUUUUUAUUUAUUCAUGUGAACGAAGUAUAACAAAAUUAUUGACCAAUCAGAACCAAGAUGGAAAUGAUCAUCAACAAAAGUAAUCUGCAAGGACGAAUAGAAGCAGAUAGAUUAUUCCAAAAAGAAACUAAGUUCAAGUGGAAUUACUGUAGUACUGAUUAUUCGAGUGUGGCGGGAACGUCGUCGAAGAAGGGUAAACUUCUCUGUUUCAGGAUUUCACAAUCCUCAGGACUUGCUGUGUUUGGAUCAAAAAGCUCACGAUCAGGCAGAGGUAAGCCAAGUUUUAUUUGACCCACUCGCCGCGAAUGCAGGACUUGCUUGGUCGUGACAGGUAGCCUAACAGAUUGAUAUUCUUCCAGAGCUGAAUGUAAAUUUUCUUCCCCCAACUUCUCAAGGCAUUUACCUAACACUGCUGCAUCAGCUAUGGCCAUGUUUGUGCUUCUUGCACAGUGAGGGGUUAUGGGAUGAGCCGCAUCUCCAAUAAAGACCACGUUGUCGCAGCAUACUUGUGUCAAAGGGUCGCAAUCAUAAAUAAGGUUCAGGAAAGGCUCCUUUGUUUAUUUUAUGACUCUUGCAAGCUCAGGAACGCAAAUCUUCUCUACUUCUUGGUGCAUCUUCUUGAUCAUGUCACUGCUCACUUUCAUUGUAGCUGAACCUCCCUGAAAUUACUUAAUUAAUUAAUUGAAGCUAGCUCUGCUACACGUAUGCAUAUAAAUGGUAAAAUGAAGCAAGUUAGGCAAUCACCUUGAGUUCAGGCUCAGGUUGAGUGAUAUACCAAAUCCAAUUGAGCCUCUUGUACAUAAGCUCAUAAAGGACGGUGUGAGUUCCAGGGCCCAAGCCCGCGUGCACGCCAUUCCCAAGCUCAGGAUAUGCCCUUCCGGAUGCCUUGUAUGGUUUCAGAAUUCUCAUUUUCCGAAAAAUCAAAAGCACCCCUCCAAGCACAGUAACCUGUAUACCUGAAAAACAGAAAUGAAAAAUAAACCGUAAAUUUCAAGACAACCGAAAAUAUGAAAAUAUAAUAUAAUUUGUUCAGAAACCUGAGUUUAGAGUCUGGUAAAAAAGUCUGGCGAACUGAUGAGCGGCUCCCGUCAGCUGCAACCAGCAAAUCUCCAACUACGUCGAUGAUCUCAUCAGUUCUAAGAUUCUUAGCUUUGACAUUGACGGUUGAUUUGUCGUGAGAAAUGCAGAAAGUGAGGUACAAGUGACCCCAAAAAACUAUUUCGACAGGCAGAGUAUUGUAUAUAAGACCAUGAAGAUCAGUCCAAUGUGCCACUAAAUAGUUGAAAUUUUCGUCUCUAGCUAGUACCCGACAGAUGUUCUUUUCCCUAUCUACUGCCCGAUUCUGCACAAAAAGAAAAAUAAAAAAAGUCAACGCAAGAGCUCAAAUUAAAGUAGUUCUGUGUAUAUGCAUACAUUACCUGAUCAAUGGUGAAAGGUAAGGUGAUGUUGUGAAGAAGAUCAGGUUGAUGGAGCCAUGACUUAACUAUUUUCUGGGACAAUGGAUGAAGUGCGAUUCCAGCGCCGGUUGGGUUUCCGGUUGGAGGUCCACGUGUCUUCUCGAUCACCACCACAUCCCAACCUGCUAAAAUAAGCGCUUUUGCGCAUGAUAUCCCUGCUAUGCUUCCCCCAACUAUUAUAGCUUUUGGCUUCCGCAUCCUCUCCCUCAUGUCUCUCUCUCUUCCUCUCAAACACCAGUAUGUGUGACACAAAGGGACGCUCGCGCAAAGAUAUAUUUAUAUACAGGGGAAAACUUCCCAUUCUGAAUUCAUAAAUCAGGAAGAGCCGGCAAUCAUAUAAACAUUUUUUUAUAUUAUUGUCAAAAAAUUUUUAUACUAUUGUUAAUUUGACUCGGAUUUUAAUUAAAUUUAACAUCUCGAACCAAGUUACUACUCUAGAGAAAAAUUUCAAGAAUAUAUCUGUUGAUUUCAAAAAUUUCUCAUCUAUUUUCUUACCAGAACAAAUUUCUAGUCAAAAUGAGGGUGUGAAAGGAAGAUAAAUAGACGAAAUUUGGCCCACCACUUCAUUCUUCCUAAAUGAAUAACUUUUUACCCUAUUAAACGAGGAAAAAUGGAUUAGAUUCUCCCUUAAUUUGAUCUGAUUAGUGAUUACUAAAUAAAGACCACACACUUUAUUGUAGUGUGUUUCGUCAUUUAAUACAUUGAAGUUUGUAUGUUUUUAAAUUGGCCCUAGUUUUAGAUCACUUAAUUGGAAAGGGACUUCCUUAAUUAUUUUUCAAAAGCACAUCCUAUAAGACUCGAACAGAUGGAGUCCAAGUUCUAGAAUAGAUGAAUAAAUGAUGUCAAUUAAAUGGGAAUAGCCAACCAAAGAAGACAAAGAAAACAAGUUAGGAGAGAUUCUAGGGUAUACCAAAAGUACUACACUUAAUUAAUACAUAUAUGCUAUAUGUGUAUUUAUUUUAAAAAACUUAUCAUGUAAUUAAUAGUUAUAUUUAAUUGAACUAUACAUAUCAUAUAUGUAUUAGUUAUAUGUAGCACCUAUAUUAUACUCUAGAAUUUCUCACAAGAUAAUAUGUCAAUAUACCACAAAGUUUGAAUCCUGUAAAAUAUGUUUAAAAUUGACUCUUGUAGAAAUUUUUAUGUGGUAGUGAAAUGAUUAUGAUAAAUAAUAUAUUAACACAUGCCAAUAUAUAAUUAUGCUACAUCAAUUAGGGUACCAUUGGCUUCACUUUUUUAUUUUACGUCUUAACUUUUGUAUUGACAAUAUUAGUUAUAUAUAUAUAUAAUUACUAAGUUAUUUUUUGCAAUCAAUAAAUAUCUAAUAACUCAAUACGUUUAUAUUUAUGCUCAUCAAAUUUUUACUUAUUAAAUAAAAUUAAAAUAUCUCAAAAAUAAUAAAUUAUAUUUUUUAACACUAAUUAAAACAAAUAAUUUUCACAUUUAAUCUUGUUUUAGUUUAUAAUAUGGACCAUUCGUUCACCACUUGGCAUAACUUUAUAACCUAGGUCCUGUUUGGAAUCGAAGUACUAUACUUUUUAAGUUACAACUGUUGUAAAAAAAAUUGUAAUUGUAAAAAAAAAAUUAAUAGCGGUGAACUUAAUGAUUGCUUACUAAAGUUUAGGCAUUUAUUUAUUAGUUAAUUGUCUAAAAUUUACUUGUGAAUGUUAUUGACAAUACUUAUGUAUUGAUUAAAAAGUUGAAGUAAGGCAUUGAUCUUAGUGAUGAUGAUUUUCCUUCAAUAGAAAUAUUUUAUACUAGAUUGACAUAUUUGUGUAUUUAUUUUAAUGUUAAAACUUUAAUUUCUCAUUUAUACUAAUAAAAUUUAGAAAUGGGUAUUAUAUGUAGAUUUUUAAGCUCCUAUUAUAAAUUUAUAGUUUGACUUAUAUAAUUUAUUUUUUUUUUUGUGUUUUUAAAAGUAUUGUUUUAAUAUUUGUGAAGUAAAAACCCAUUGCAGGUUACACGAGGCUUUAGUAAUUGUUAAAACCUACAGAGGGUGAAUUUUUUUUUUUUAAAUAAAAAAACCAAUAGCGAGUUAAGAAUUUACAAAUUUAAUUAUCUUUUACAAGUGCAAGUUCGAUAAUGAUAAAAUCACUGCACUGAAAGAAAUUCUAUGAAGAAUAUAAUUCUUGUUCUGUAUUUUUAAUGAAAUUUUCAGAGUUAUUUAUACAAAAUAAAGACAAAGUAGCCGUUGAAAGGCUUAAUAAUAUUAAAGGAGAAUAAGUGAAUACUUCCUCAACUAUUGCACAAUAUCUUUAUAAAAUAGGAAUGAAAUAUUCCUACAUGAUAUUGACAUUCAAGUGCAAAAAUCGUGCCGGACAUAUUCCUUGACAAAUAACUUUGACGUGAACAAGUCGUGUGGAGUGAUAAACCCGUUCUUGACUUGACCGUUGAUGACAUUCCUUUUGGUAAUCUUGGUCAGCUUGCUUAACAAGUGGUACCCAUAACCCAUCCAUACAGCUAGGCUAGCUAAACAGCAUAAAUAAAUGUAUAACGAUUCUUAUAUAAAAAGCCACCACCCCAAGCCAAAAGAAAAAAAAAAUUGUGCUGAAUACAACAAUAUAAUUUCUUCAGUUUUUACUUGGAAACAAGAGAGAUGAAUAUGAAGAAGCAGAAGCCAAAAGCUAUUGUAGUUGGAGGAAGCAUUGCUGGGGAAUCAUGCGCAAAAGCACUUAUUUCAGCAGGCUGGGAUGUUGUUGUGAUUGAGAAAACUCGUGGACCCCCAACCCAAAGCCCAACCGGUGCUGGCCUUGGACUCGAUCCAUUGGCUCAGAAAAUUGUUCAGUCAUGGCUCCAUGAACCUGAACUUCUUUACAACAACACUUUACCUAUCACCAUUACUGAGGUAUAUAAUAUAAUAUAUUUAAUUUCUUUUUUCCCAGUAGAAUCCAGUAGUGCUUUGAAUUAUACUGAUCUCUUAAAGAUAUUAGUUGCACACGUGUAUAUACAAUGGUGUCUGGUUAAGAUUUGAUAAAAGUAUAUUUUGCUCUGCACAAAGUACAAUUUAGAAUGGAAUCUCAUUGGGAAAAAAAUAUCUGUAUAUGUUGAAUAGAUAAAAUUUCAAUUUGUGUUUAAUUGCAGAACCUAGCAACAGAGGGGGAAAAGAAGAUCAGCUGGGUAAUAGGAAGAGAAGAAGGCGGUAAGUAUCUGACAGCAUAUUGGGCUGAUCUUCAUGGCCUGAUAUACAAUACUCUGCCACCUGAAAUAUUUUUAUGGGGUCACCAGUACCUCUCUUUCUGUAUUUCUGAAGACAAAUUAACUAUCAAAGUUAGAGCUAAGGAUCUUGAGACUGAUGAAAUAAUCGAGAUAGUAGGAGAUUUGCUCGUCGGAGCAGAUGGUAUCCUCUCAUCAAUUGGUCACAGCAUUCUACCGAACUUCAAAUUGAGGUUUGUGCUUGCUUGUGAAUAUCAAUAAAAGUAAUUAAUUUUUGAGAAUUUUGUUUCAUAAAUUUCAAUGUGUUUUUAAUAGGUACACAGGAUACUGUGCGUGGAGAGGUGUUUUUAAUUUUUCAGAAAACGAUUCAGAAACCAUCUUAGGCAUUCGAAAAUCGUAUCCUGAUAUUGGGAAAUGCUUUUACACGAAUAUUGGUUCAGGAUCUCACAUCAUACUCACUGAGCUUAAGAAAGAGAAGUUCAAUUGGGUUUGGUAUGUCAAUCAACCUCAGCCCGAGCUCAAGGUAACUGCUUACUUUUGUUUCAUCUUUCUAUUUUGGUUUCGGGGUUUGAGUUGAGUGCUAAAAUCUAAUUUUUGCAAACGAUCAACACAGCUCAGACCAUCACUGGAUCCAUUUUUUUUUUUUAAUUUUAAUUUUCCGGUUUAUCAAUGCAGUAUGACGUGACAUUGGGAAACAAAUUAUUUUAUUCUCUGCAGGGAAAUACAACUUCUGUGAAAGUAAGCAGUGACAUGAUCGAGGAGUUGCACCAAAGAGCAGAGCAGGUUUGGUUACCUGAAUUGUCAAGAAUGAUCAAAGAAACAAAGGAUCCUUUCCUUAAUGCUAUCUAUGAUUGCGAUCCUUUGGAGAAAAUCAUCUGGGACAGAGUGGUGCUAACAGGAGAUGCAGCUCACCCGACAACUCCACACUCUGCCAGAAGCACAAACAUGGCGAUAAUAGAUGCAGCAGUGUUAGGAAAAUGCCUCGAGAAGUGGGGGCCGGAUCAUUUAUACUCUGCUCUGGAAGAAUAUCAAUCCAUUAGGAAGCCUGUAACUUCAGCACAAGUUCUACAUUCGCGACGAUUGGGUCAAAUGAAACAGGGGUUAAGUAUUCCUGGAAGGGAGCGGCCUUUUGAUCCAAAGACAGCAAGUCUAGAGGACUCGGAAUUCAUCCUUAACAAAAAUGUGCCUCUCGUCGACGUUGUUCCUCCGAUUCUUGAUUCAAUUUUUCGUUCUGCUUGAUAAUUUUCAAGGGAGAAAGUAACAUUUUCAUUUUUAUGCAACAAAGUCAUCUAGAGACAAACCUUCUCUUGUGUUCUCACAGCUUUGGGGAAACUUCAAAGGACACGGCUUGGUCUGUUCAUUAUGCUAACUAUAGCUGCCUAUAAAUAAGAGGGUUGACCUCAAUUGUGUGAGUAAAAGAACUGCUAUACUUAUGUUCCUUCCUGUAAUAACGAAAGCCUCUUACUUAAUUCAGUGUCUCUACUUCUUCAGCAAAAUAAAAAUAAAUUCUUGAUCGAAUACACCCAACUUUUCCAAUUUUCUUAUAAAAAUGACACCACGAUAGGAUGGGAUUGUCCUUGUGUUGUGUCAUUGAUCUAUCCAUAUUUGUUUUUCCCAAAAACAAUUUCCAUGAAGGAGGAUGUUUUGCUGCUUGUUAGUGCACGCUAUUUAAGCACAAGACAUGAUUGAGAUUUAUGCAAGGUAUGUGGUAGAAUUUAUGUAAGACGACCGAUGAAGCUAAACAUGAGAGUUAGUAACUUUUACUAUGGUGAUCAACGCGUUGAAGAAAAAUUUUAGAAUUUUUAUUAUAAGUGGUGCAUACAAAAGUUGGUGAGUCGAACUUGUACUCAAAUACUAGCUCAUGUAUUAGGAGUUGUCUUAGGCUUACGUUAUUAGUCUAGUAACUAAUAUUAGCGAUAUGAAAUAUUUUUUCUAUCAUCUUCCAUCACAUGUGUGUAGGUCAAUCUUUUUGUUUGGUCCUUGUCUAGUGAUAAGAUAGUGUGAGUGAUUUUGAGAAAAAAUAUGAAAAACACAAACAAUGAAAAUUCCCUUUUACUUAAACUAAGACAGAGAUUUUUUUACACUGAAGUUGGUAGAAGACACUCGAAUGCGCAGGAGUGAAAUCUUGACAAAUUAAAGCGAGAACUAAGCCAUGCUAGUCCUUUCUCGCGCAUUUAGUUGACAUUAUUUUGCUUUGCAAAUAAAUGCGGGCAUGGUUGAAGGCAUUUUAUCUUUCCGGAAGUGGAUGGAGAAAUAAAGAUAAUUAAAAGGGAUGCGAAUAAUAAAUGCCAGUUUUUCUUAAUAACGAAGAAUAUAUUAGAAAUAAAUUGAAAUGUAACAAAAUACUUGAAAUAAUUCAAGUGAUGGGUUUUUUCUCUGUCAAUAACGCGCGAUAGUUCCUUGUCAUGAGCUUCUUAUCUUCUGUCUUGAAGGAAGAAAUUGCGAAAGACGAAUAAAACGAUUUCCUUUACACAUUCAAUCAAUGCUGCUGCCUUUAUAUCUUUAUUAUUCUCGGAGGGAUGAUACUGUUGAGAGCCGAAACCAUUACCCAUACUCACUCCUCUAAUAGCCAUGUCUAACUCUCUACAAUAAUUUUGAUAUUGCUGUUCUUCAGUUCUUCCACUACUCAACAAAUGUCAUAACGUUAUCUAUUUGUUAUAUGACUGACAUGAUAUUUCAGUUCUUCCUUUACACAUUCAACCAAUGCAUGCACACCACUGGUAUGGAGAUUUUUCAAAAAUAAAUACACACAUGUCAUAACGUUAUCUAUUUGUUAUAUGACUGACAUAAUCAUAACGUUAUCUAUUUGUUAUAUGACUGACAUGAUAUUUUUUAUGUAUUCUAAAAUUUUUCAGAGUGGAGACCAUGAGUGGUAACAUCCACGUGACAAAAGAGUAUUACAAAGAGAUAGUCUCUUGUCAAUUUGAAUAUUUAUUGUAUUGAAACUACUAAGUAUAUAAGCUCGGACAACCCUAAUUUCAUGAUGAGGGGUUAAAGACAAUACUAUUCUAAAAGAAAAUGGAACGAAAUCGUCCAUCCAUAGCCAUUAUUUGACUUUUAGAUUUGCCCUUCUAAAUUUUAACAAAAUGCGCAGACAAUUUUUAAUUUAUUCAAGCGAACGAAGUACAACAAAAUUAUUAAACCAAUCAGAACCAAGAUGGAAAUGAUCAUAAGCAAAAGUAAUUUGCAAGGACGAAUGGAAGCAGAUAAAUUAUUCUAAUUAAGAGAUUAAGUGCAAGUGAAAUAACUGUAGCACUGAUUAUUCGAGUGUGGAGGGAACGUCGUCGAAGAAGGGUAAACUUCUCUGUUUCAGGAUUUCACAAUCCUCAGGACUUGCUGUGUUUGGAUCAAAAGGCUCACGAUCAGGGGUAGGUAAGCCAAGUUUUAUUUGACCCACUCGCCGCGAAUGCAGGACUUGCUUGGUAGUGACAGGUAGCCUAACAGAUUGAUGUUCUUCCAGAGCUGAAUAUAAAUUUUCUGGCCCCCACCUCUCAAGGCAUUUACCUAAAACUGCUGCAUCAGCUAUGGCCAUGUUUGUGCUUCUUGCACAGUGAGGGGUUAUGGGAUGAGCCGCAUCUCCAAUUAAGACCACAUUGUCCCAGUAUAUUUGUGUCAAAGGGUCACAAUCAUAUAUAAGGUUAAGGAAAGGCUCCUUUGUUUCUUUUAUUACUCUUGCAAACUCAGGAACCCAAAUCUUCUCUGCUUCUUGGUGCAUCUUCUUGAUCAUGUCACUGCUCACUUUCAUUGUAGCUGAAUCUCCCUGAAAUUACUUAAUUAAUUUAUUAAAGCUAGCUCUGCUAACACGUAUGUAUAUAAAUGAUAAAAUGAAGCAAGUUAGGCAAUCACCUUGAGUUGAGGCUCAGGUUGAGAGAUAAACCAAAUCCAAUUGAGCCUCUUGUACAUAAGCUCAUCAAGGACGGUGUAAGUUCCAGAGGCCAAGUCCAUGUGCACGCCAUUCCCAAGCGUAGGAUAUGCCUUCCGGAUGCCUUGUAUGGUUUCUGAAUUAUCAUUUUCCGAAAAAUCAAAAACCCCCCUCCAAGCACAGUAACCUGUAUACCUGCAAAACAGAAAUGAAAAAUAAACCGUAAAUUUCAAGACAACAGAAAAUAUGAAAACAUAAUAUAAUUUGUUCAGAAACCUGAGUUUAGAGUCUGGUAAAAAAGUCUGGCGAACUGAUGAGCGGCUCCCGUCAGCCGCAACCAGCAAAUCUCCAGCUAUGUCGAUGACCUCAUCAGUUUUAAGAUUCUUAGCUUUGACAUUGACAGUUGAUUUGUCGUGAGAAAUGCAGAAAGUGAGGUACAAGUGACCCCAAAAAAAUAUUUCCGGAGGCAGAGUAUUGUAUAUAAGACUAUGAAGAUCUGUCCAAUGUGCCUGUAAAUAGUUGAAAUUUUCAUCUCUAGCUAGUAUCCGACAGAUGUUCUUUUCCUGAUCUACUGCCCGAUUCUGCACAGAAAGAAAAAUUAAAAAAAUCAGCACAACUUGUGGGAACAUCAGUUGAAAUUAAAGCAGUUCUGUGUAGACACAUACAUUACCUGAUCAAUGGUGAGAGGUAAGGUGAUGUUGUGAAGAAGAUCAGGUUGAUGGAGCCAUGACUUAACUAUUUUCUGGGACAAUGGAUGAAGUGCGAUUCCAGCGCCGGUUGGGUUUCCGGUUGGAGGUCCACGUGUCUUCUCUAUCACCACCACAUCCCAACCUGCUAAAAUAAGCGCUUUUGCGCAUGAUAUCCCUGCUAUGCUUCCCCCAACUAUUAUAGCUUUUGGCUUCCGCAUCCUCUCACUCAUGUCUCUCUCUUCCUCUCAAACACCAGUAUGUGUGACACAAAGGGACGCUUGCGCAAAGAUAUAUUUAUAUACAGGGGAAAACUUCCCAUUCUGAAUUCAUAAAUCAGGAUGAGCCGGCAAUCAUAUGAACAUUUUUUUAAAAUAAAUUUUUUUAAAAAUUUUUAUACUAUUGUUAAUUUGACUCGGAUUUUAAUAAAAUUUAACAUCUCGAACCAAGUCACUACUCUAGAAAUUUUUUUCAAUUUGAACUUAUAUAUUCGAAUUCAAGAACAAGGUUUAAUAAUGUAAUGACCGUGAAAACUAUUACACCAUAUGGUUUAACAAUGUAAUGAUAUUAUACUAUAAAAUCAUUUAAUAGCUUUUUGAAUUUUAAUAAUAUUUAGGAUUCUAAACUAGAUCAGUACUAUAUACACACACAUACACAGGCGAUGCCAGGAAUUAUUUUUAACAGGCUCUAAGUUUAAAUAGUAAUUUAUUUUAAAAAAAUAAUUAACAAAUAACAUAUAUAAAAAGAAAAUUUAUUAAAAUAUUUAAUUCAAUACACUUAUAAUUGUUCUUGCCUUGGUUUUAUAUGUUAAAAACAUUAAAGAAUAAUCUCAUUAUCAAGACUACAAAAUAUGUCUUCUUCUAUGUAUAUAACAAAUCUAUCAUUCAACUAUUGUUCUCCCAUUUGAUUUCACAGAUGAUUUUUUAUAAAAUUUAUAGUUGAAAAUAUCCUUUCUACUGUAUCUCUAGUAACUGGUAAAAUUAAUGCUAAUGUCACCAAUAAAUAAACUAAUGAAUAUAAUUUACUUUUCUUAGUCUCACCGCAUUGUUAUUUUAUUAUUUAUUUGAAAUCUGAUAAUAAAUUAUGAUUAAAUAUGUUCGCAGCAAUUACAAAGUCUUGAUACAAUGUUUCUAUCUCACAUGAUGACGUAACAUCAAUAUCGAUGAUCGCUAAUUAGGGAUUCCAUUAUCCUAUUUUCCCUCUCACAUGAUGAAUAAAUAAACAGUUUUAAAAUCUCGCGUCACCCAAUGUCUAGAAUGUACCCGGAGGCCGCAGCCUCAAAAGUAGUUAAAUUAAAUUCAAACUCUACAAACUCAAUAACAUGAUUACGUCUUAUUCUUUCUUAAUUGAAGUUGAUUUUUCAAGGAGGCAAUUUGUCCCGUCAUAUGCAGCCAAGUUAGAACGAAAAAAAAUGCUUAAUUCAAAUCUCAAGGUCUUGAAGAAAUCUUUCUAGUCAAAAUAAAUUCUCAUGUCAGAUUUUUCAAUCUGGCGAUAUGAAAUUUGCCUAAUAAAUCUCUAUAUUCAGACAUCACGUUUAUGAAACCCUUGCAUUCAGAAUAAAUUCUUCCGGUAUAUCAAAAAAAAAAAAAAAUUCUUGCGGGUAAGGAGGAUCAAAUGCAAGAAUAAAGUUUGAUAAAAAUGAAUAAAAGGAAUAAGGUAAAAGGAUGAAUAAUUUUGGUAAAAUUAAGUACCAAAAAUAAGAUUUAGCAUAUGUUUGUUGUGGUUUAUUUAAUAACUAAAAGUUUUUACAAGUUUUUUUCAAAAUUUUUACUGUUGUUUGGUAGUAUUUUGGAUAGAGAGCUUUUGAGAAUUAAAUAAGUUAUUUUGCAUCUACCAAUAAAAGUGCAAAUUAAAUAAGUUAUUUUGGGAACAAAAGUUGUAGAGCAUUUUUCAAGUGUUAAAUUAUCUAACAUACCUUUUAUUUAUUUUACAUUUUUAUUCCAUUCUUUUCAUAAUAUGAUUUUAAAUAAAUUGGUCAAUUAAAGUAAUUUUAUAAUUUAAAUUUUUUAAUAAAAGUUCAUAUUGACAACCAAAUAAUCAAAAUAUUUUGGUAAAUCUCCACUUGUAACAACUUAAUUUUAUUAAAAGCUCUAUCUGAAUUAACUUAAUUGAAAAGUUGUACCAUAUAGAGCAUAGAGUCAGUGACGAUGCGGAAAUAUAAUAAGUUGAUUGAUAGAAGAAAUUAGGUUUCUAAAUAAUAAAAGUUUUGUUAGAAAAGUUUAAAUGAACAAAACUAGUGUUUUGAGCUCCUAUUAUAAUAAUCCUAAAUAUCACAAAUUUAUCAUAAUAAAAAAAUCUAAAAUAUUAUUUUAUAAUAAAAUCUCAUAAUCUAAAUAAAGAAACCAAAAUAAGCAGCACCCAAAGCCAAUAUCUAAAAAAAAAGAUAAAAUCAUAAAAUCAAUAGAAAAAAAGAAAAAUAACCUAAUGCUGAAAAAUGAUCAGGAAAUAAGUAAAACUUUUAGAUCGACCACGAGGCAGAACUAUGCAAGCUAUUAUGUUUGGUUUGUCUCGUUGCAGGCUUCGAAACGGUAUAUUAUAUACCUAAAAUGGAUCCCUGUAAUCUUAGUUAUGACCUCUAGAAAAUAAUCUGCUCAUCUUACGCAACGAUCCUACAUUAGCUAGCCCAGCUUGGGAUUGUGAUGACUAUUGAAAAUGUGAUUAAAAAGUUAAAAUGAUGGGUGGCUGAGCCACCGUCUUUGAAUUCAAAGACGGUGGAUGGCUGAGCCAACCACCAUUAUUGAACAAGGAAAAUGGGUGGGUGCUACCCAUGCAAAUAAGAAAAGGACCGUGGUUUUUCUCCGUAUUUGGAGUUUUCCACGUAAAUCUUGUGUUGUGUGAUUGGUGUAUUCUCCAUUUAAUUUUUCUGUUAAUUUGUUGCUUGACAAAUUGCUUGAAGUGAUCUUGAGAGAAAACUCAAUUUCCUAACAAUGGUAUUAGAGCCAACGGUUCGUACUUUGGGUUAUACGGUAUUGUUCACGUAUACAGUACUGUUUACGUGAAGCAGUGAGGCCAAUCCAAAUAGUUUGUGGUGAAGAUCAAAGACUGAUCUAUAAAGCAAAUAUGUCAGCAGCUGGUGUUUUUCAAACUUGGUGGAGUUUGAUUUUUUAUUGGCUUGUGGAAAAUUCAAGUCAAAUGUGUAUCCAAUCUAGUAUGCACAAGAAUUUGAAGGUGUGGCAAUUUGGCACCUCAAGGAAAUUGUUAAGAAGGUGGAGUGGGCUCGGCAAAUUGCUCCAGAAUUGAUAAAGGAGAUAUUGAUAUUCUUGCAAAUGGUGAGUUUCUUUUUAUAAGAGACUGGGUUAGAUCUUUUGGCAUGUAGAUCUCCAAGUUGCCAUAAAGGAGAACAUGUUAUUAUCAGCGGAGUCCACAAGUUUGCACGAAGGCAUUGGCUUGGUAUAAAUGCAAGGUGUGUGUGAUGGAAAAGUUAUAUCAUGGCUGAAGAAUUCUCAGUGAAACCAAGCAUGAGAAUUGCACUAUAAAUUUCAGUAGGAUAUUUUGACAUGUACCAAGAAAAACCUUAGAACGGUUGAUUCUAAGUGGUAUACUCUUUAUGGUGGAGUAUGAUAAUUCUCUAUGUUGAGAAUUAUGACUGUUGGUGAAGACGGUGUUUUGUAGCGAUAGCUACAAAUUUUUUUUUUUAAUCAUGGUGGAGAUUAUUGAAAAUGUGAUUUAAAAAAAAUGUGUCAAAAUGAUGGGUGGCUGAGCCAACCACCAUCAUUGAACAAGGAAAAUGGGUGGGUGCCGCCCAUGCAAAGAAGAAAAAAAGGAAGAAAAGGAAGCCAAAAUUUGGUUAUAAAUAGAAGGGUUCUCCCCCUCAUUUAGGUAUCCAAGUUUUGGUGAGAAAUUGAGAAAGAAACAUAUUUUUAAGCACGUAGUUAUAUUGAAGGAGGAUUUGGUUCCUCAAUAUGGGUAUUACGAGUUUAAUUUGUUAGGGAUAUUUAUAGGAAAUUAGGAAUCAUGUUUUUGGGACUUAGGUGAGAGAAAAGUAUUUAUGAGAAAGUGGUUGUAAAAAUUUUCCACAUAGUGAAUAUUUUUUCUCUAGUUGUCUUUUGACAACAACCGUGGUUUUUCUCCGUAUUUAGAGUUUUCCACGUAAAUCUUGUGUUGUGUGAUUGGUGUAUUCUCCAUUUAAUUUUUAUGUUAAUUUGUUGCUUGACAAAUUGCUUGAAGUGAUCUUGGGAGGAAGCUCAAUUUCCUAAUAAUGACUUGUGAAAUAAACCGCUUCUAUAAUGCGAAUGAAUAAUCUACUUAUUAAAAUAGUAGCUUCGUAUUUGGUAAAGUGUGUUGUUAUGGUUGCUUUGAGUUUGAAAAAAAUAGUACAUGUGUUUGAUAGAUUUUAGUGCGAAUGUGAUGUUUUGUUAUAUAUUGACCGAAAUAAUUAUAAUUUAAAUUUUUUAUUUAUAUAUUAGGAUGCAUGAAAAAUAAGAUUUAAUUGUCUCUUUGUUAAAACAUUAAGGUUAUAAUAGGAACUUAAAAAAGGUGUGGUGUCUUAUUUGAUACCUAUUUAUAAAUAGCAACUGUACAUACUUUGAAAAGUUAUUGUCAAAAAAAAAAAACUUAUGAAAUAGUGGUUUUUAAAAAAUUUAUCUAACACUAUUUAUUAAUAUAAGAGAGCUCUAUAUAUAUUAAAUUCUUUUAGGUAAAUUAAAUUUUGCCCCUUUGAUUUUGAGGUCUGGCUACAUCACCGAUUGAAGCUUGUGAUUUUUUUAUUUACUAGUGCAUGAAAUCUUUAAUUUUGUUAAUAUAUUAGUGGCAUCAAUGAAUUAUUCUCUCUUUCUCUCUAUAUAUAUAUGAGAAAGGUGAUCAGGUCUGCGACUAUAUAUCAAACUCCUAGAUUUUUUUAAUCUUAAUCUUCAAUGAAUUAUUACUAUAAGAGAACUGAUCAAGUGCGUGGCUAUAUAUCAAACUCCGAAAUUUUUGGUGUUGUACGCAGUUAUGAUUAGAGAUGGCAAAAGUCCGGGUCGGGUCCGGGUUUGGGGCUGCCCGGGACCGACCCGGAUGUCAAACGUAGCUACCCGGACCCGCACCGUGCCCGGAAUUUUUCUAUGCGGGCCGGGCACAUGCCCGGCACUAUCCGGGCACGGAUUUUUUUCUGGGUUUUCUCUACCCGGAUUUGAGUGAUGAUGACAGAAUCAGAAAAAUUGUUUCAACUGACCCCAAUGCCCCUUUCAAUCAAUCCCAGGUCCCUUCACUCUCUAACCUCCCCUUUUUAUUGUUAUCAUCACACUAGCUACCUCCCUGUUACCUAUGUAAAAGUAGAUUCCGUUAACUAAUUUAUAUUUGUUAUAUGUUUUUUAUUUGUUAUAUUUUUUUUUUUCAAUUAUGGUAUAUAGAUAUCAGACCUGCGAAGCAGCAUGCAAAAGAACUGGCCAACACUGGCUUGCCCAAGCGGGAAUGGCAUAACAUUUUAGAAUGCUUACAUCACUCACCUCCACAUAACAAAUGUCGAACAUUAUUCAUUAAAAAAAUAAAUUCAACGAAUACCACCUGAAGAGCGCGAUCAAGAGCAUCGGAGCCAACGGGAUGAGGGCCCAGUUCAGUCAACGCUUUGACGUGCUUGAUAGCCUCAAACUCGGAGAAUCCUCUUUUGCCGGCCUGGUCAGCGGUGAGAGGAGGAGGCAUAUGCUCGUACUGAUAGUAGUAAACGCCGUAAGUGGCGUAGACGAAGGCCCCAAACGCAACCGUCCAUGCGAGCCCCGAUCGCUUGGCGCUUCUCACGUCAACUGUCAAUACUGCAUCGCCAUCGGUGAAGGAUGGAUGGUGGCUGUUGGUGGAGAGACGGAGGGAGGAGGUGCCGAUUCUGAGACUUGUUGCGAAUUCGCGAUUUAGGGUUGGUCGGUUGGGUUUGGGGGAAAUUGGGCAAAGGAAAAUGUAAUUUUUGUUUUUAUAUUUUCCUUUCUUUUUUUACUUAAUAAAAAAGCGGGCACGGGUCCGAGUUCCGGGUUCUUGGUGUUGUGACCGGACCCGUGCCCGGAAACAGCCGGGUAUUGAAAAUCAAUGCCCGGAACCGCUUUUUUUAUGCAUCCGGUCCGGGUUUUACCCGGACCGGAUGUGCCGGGUCCGGUCCGGGUCCGGUCCGGGCGGGCUUUUCUGUCAUCUCUAGUUAUGAUCUUAAUCUUUGGCUAAGGGUAUGAUUGGGAUUGCAUUAGCUUGGUAAAUAAUCCAUCCUCAUAUAAAUUCUCCAAUAAUUAACUUUGCAAAUAAUUUGAUGAGAUGUUUGGUAAAAUUGGAUUAUAAGGAAAUCAAUUAUUAAAUAAUUUACUUAACAUGUUUGUCGUAUUAAUCAAAAUAUUGUGUUGUGUGCAAAUUACCAAGAUGGACAAGUUUUCUUAUAUAGUAAUAUAUAAUGAUAAUUAUUACGAUUUAUUUAUAUUAAUAUAUCAAAUAUUAGUGGUGGUGACGCUAUUUGUUUGCCGUUUCAUGGCUGUAAUUAUUUUAGAGGUGUGCGGGAGCAACCGCCAUUUCUCUGUUAUUGACAUCAUACGUUUUGGAGUUUGAUAGCAGAGGUAUUGUCGCAUAAUGAAGACUUUACCUAGAUGCAGACGACGGCGCCGAAGACAUCGCCGGACGCCAGCAAUAAUCUAGUUGUUUCCUUUUCUUUUUUUUGUCUUGUUUAAAUGUAAACAUAAAUAUGUUAUUAGUGUAAGGGUGUAUUCGAAAUUGUAUUGUUAAAAUGAGGAAAAUUUUGGUAUUAUGCUUUACAAAAUCAAAUUCUAUAAAAACCCGAAUUUCCAAAUCUACUUUCUCAUGUUUUUAAUGAUAAAUUAUUUAAAAAUUCUCUUUCUUAAUUGAAAUUAACUUUUCAAGGAGGCAAUAUGGACUUUGCGUCGUAGGUAAGUUAAAGGCCCUUAAUCCCACGAUGUUCAUGAUGAAACCUUUCUAUUCAAAAUAAAUUCUUCAGUUCGAUUUUUGAGGCCGGCGAGAUGGAAUAUUUGCUAAUACAUAAGUUUGGGAAACUCUGGAUUCAAAUCAUUCGGCUAAAUUUUUAAGAUCCAAUUAAGUGUUUUUUAUUAUAACAUAUGUGUGAUUAACAUUUAUUUUUGUAAUUUAAAGCCAACUAAACGAUGCGCUGUAAUUUCCACAAUUGCUACAAAUUUGGGAGUGUCCCAGCCUUCACCUUCCUUGAGAAGCCAUCUUCUUCUUCAAACCUUACUUAUCGUAGGAUACUUCCAGAGAUAUUUACUCCUCAAAUUGCAAUUGAAUUGAUUAUGGUGUUCAUCAUUCUCAAUGGACACAUAAUGGUUUUUUAACGGUUUCGUCGCGUAUUGAAUUUUACAAAGCUGGGAUUUGUAAUUAAAAUUGAACUUUAGAAAGUUGCAAAAGUGUAAUUGAAAUGUACAAGUCAAUUCUAACCACUCAUCUUUCUAAAUACCAUAUGUCGUUAGAUACUUAAUACACCUUGUGUGCUGGAAUGGAGUAGAUUUUUAGCAGAUACGAUUAGUUAAAUAAAAUUGGAUUGAAUCAUAUUUAGUAUUGUCUUUUGUUUGGCAUUUUAGAUUAUGGUAAUUUUAUAUAUUGUAUGAGAAUUGCGAUGCGAAUAUUUCCGCUGCAAAAUAUUUUAAAACCAAUAAUUGGUAUAAGAGCGAUCUCAUAUUAAUAUAUAGAGUUACUGUAUGAAAUCAAACUCUUGUAUUAUGUGUAUAAAAUUGGUGGCACUAAUUUUUAUAUAUUAUUUCAUUACGUGAAUGUAUAUAAUUAUUGAGCAUAUUAAAUGUUGUCUCAAUUCAUGGUUAGUUAUUUUUUUGUAUUAAUUUUAUGGAUUUGUAACAAGAGAGGUGCUCAAUUUUCACCAUGUUUCUCUCUUGAUUAUUUUAAUUCAUUGUUCUUAGAUUCUUUGUAAGCCAUCUAUGGCAUAGGAGUUCUUGUUUAUAUUAAUUUUUAUUAUAUAAUAAUGUAAAGAACCCAAAAAAACAAAGAAAAGUUGAUGGCGGCAAGGAGAAGAAGAAACGACAGCCUCUCUAGAAUUGGCAGCGAACAGCAUGAAGGGACGGAGGGGUUUCUUUUGAAUUUUUUCAUUAGACACCCUAUUGUCUCACUAAUUUAUGUUUUCUGACAAGACUUGAAAUUUUAUUUCAUUUAAGUCCAACACUAUACGUUGGUGGCGGCUGGAAGAAAAAUAAGUGAUUUAGGGCUUUGGGUUUAUACCCCAUGGCACCGUACAAUUUCACUAUUUUACAGUUCAGCCUAAGUAUUUUGGGUUUUGGGCAGAAAAAAUCAAAUUUAUUUAUAUUGGAUCCAAGCCCAUUAUUGACUAUGAAUUGGAAAAUAUAAAUAUAAAUUUGAUAAGCCCAAUUGUUAUUACUUGUCCAGAUUUUUUUAUAUUGGUCCCAAGCCCAUUUAAGGGAUUUCAAAAUUGAGUUAUAUAAAUAAAAAUUUAGUAGAUCAAAAAUAAAAUUUAUUUGGCUCAAAAAAUUUUAAAGAUAAAUUUGGGUUUAUUUUAUUAAACUAAUUGGGUCUGGAUUUUUUAAAAAAAACAGGUAUUUAAAAAAAAUAAGAGCCAAUAGAAAUUUUUUUUUUUGAAAGGUGCCCAAAUUUAAAUUUAAAAAUUGAACCAGGGAUAAAUUUUAAAAGCCUAAAAGCCCUCAAGGCAAUAGUUAUGUACAAGAGCAAGUACAAGGAAGAGAAAAAAGGAAGAUUGAUGUUGCGUUAAAGCCCAAUAGAUAUUAGGCUUGUAGAUUAAGUCUAUUUUUUUCCUUAGGAAAACCAUGAAUAGAGAUUGUUUAAUUGCUUUUAAUUUAUAUGCUAUGUUUGGUUGAUAACAUGCUAUGAUAACAUGUCAUAUAGAAUAUGAAGUGCCACUCUAUGCAUCAUAAUACAUGACAUCUAUAGAUUAUGAAUCUAAAAAUAUAUUGUUUGACAUUUGCAUGUGCUUAAUAAUAUUAGAUUUCAUCUAGAUAAUAUUAUUAUAGGAAGCAUGCAAUUAAAAUACAUGAUAUAAUUUGUAUAUUGGAAAAACUAACUUUAAAAUAUUGAGUAGGAGAGGGAAAAUUCAAGAUAAUUUUUCCCACGGACUCCAUUAGUAGUUCAAUAAUAAAAUUAUAUAUAUACCUCGACUUCAUGAUACGGUGAUGAUCUCUACGAAGGGUAUAUAUAUUAGACAUUUUAUUUGAUGAACUUCUUUACAAAUAAGGUCAAAAUAUUUUUCAAUCUGUUGAUCACCCAAACUGUGGCGGCAUGGUAUGGAAGAUACGUAGAUUGAAACAAUGAUUAUACACUCCACUAAAAUUUGUUAUUAACCUUCCCAAUGAAGCUCUGUUAACAAAUUUAGGCCCAAAAGGAUAACGAUAAUUAUUUAUCAUGUCUCUACAUGAAAGUAAAUAAUCCAAUGGAUAAUUGGGUCUAGUAAGUGUAGACAUGAUUUCCCCAAUGGAUAGCUUGCCAAAGUAGUACUAGAUUAUCGUUACAAUAAAAUAAAAUGCAUUUAUGAUUUUUUUUUGCAUUUUAGAUUAUUUAUUGUGAACAUUAUUUGUUUCAAAGUAUUUAUGCAUGUCUAUUUUGUUUUUUCAGAAAAUGUCUUCCAUAAACUCAUUAUUCAUUAUCCUUGUUAAAAAUGAACUCACUGACGAAAUGUACUUAGAUUGGAAACACAAUCUAUUUAAUAUUCUCACUGUUAAGGGCUGCAAAUAUGUGUUGACUCAGUCAUUCCCUCUAGAACCAACGUUAUACGAUUAUAGAAAUCAGAGGGAGCCUUAUGAGAAAUUGUGCAAAGCUAACCAAAUGGCUAUGCGCUAUAUAUUGGCUUCGAUUUAUGUGGAACUGCGUAACAAACAUCAGAGCAUGGAAACAACCACUGGAAUAAUUGCUAGUCUUCAUCAGAUGUUUGGACAGAAUAUUCAUUUUGCCAGAGAAGCAGCAUUAAAACGUAUUAUGGAUACUAAGAUGGAAGAGGGCAUAAGAGUUCGUGAUCAUGUCCUCAAAAUGAUGGACUAUUUGAAUGAAGUAGAGAUUCAUGAUGUUCAAAUCGAUGCUAAAACAAAGAUUAACAUAGUGAUUGAAUCUUUGCCUGAUACAUUCAAAGAGUUUAAGAUCAGUUAUAUCUUAAACAAUAAAGAUAUGACCUUAGUUAAUUAAUGCACGAACUACAUGCUAUAGAAGAAUUUUAUCAUAGUAGGAAACUUCCUGAAAAAGGAUUCUCUUGAAGGUCUAAGUCGAAAGACAAGAAUAAUCAAGACAGAGUUGGGAUGAGAAAAUUGUCCACUAAAAGAGAUGGCAGGCCAAAAUGCAAGUGUUAUAAAUGUGGACAGAAGGGUCACUGGAAGAAAGAUUGUCAUAAGAUUAUUAAAAUCAAGUAUAUGAAAUCUUUAAUUUUUCUAAUUAGUUCAGAUUUCUAUUGAUUCAUACAAUAGUGAAUUCUGAGAUAACAAAUCUUAUUUAUAAUUCAUUUAUUUGUUUUUCAGGAAACUAAGAGAUUAAGUGAACAAAGCUUCAAAGAGCAGUUGAGGACAUGCUAGUUUAUAUCAGUUGAAAAGAUAGAUCAAUUUUACGAGACUUUAGUUUUGAUAUUUGUCUUUAUUAUUCUAAAUAUUAGAGGAAUUUAAUUUCGGUAGCUUGUUUUAAUAAAUAUGAGUACACUGUUAUUUUUUUAUCCUCUGUUUAUUACUUAUUUUGGUUAUUUAUAAUGACAAUUUAUAUCAUAUAAGUUCAUUGAUCUAUUCAAAGUAAGAUAUAAUGAUAAAGAGUAUAUGCAUUUAUCUAAGAAAAGAAAUGUUUCUUUUAACCAAUAUCACCUCUGAUAUUUAUGCUUAAAUCAUAUAAACUAUAAUAAGAUUUUAAAAAAAUGAUUAAUGAUAGGCUUGUUGGCCUAUUAAGAUUAAUCAUUGUCACUCUAUAAAUCUUAUUUAGAAAAGUAAUAUGACAAGGAUGCUCUUUUUGAGCCAAAAGCAUAAUAUUAUAUUGGAUGACUUAGCGCAUACAAAUGUAUACGGAUUAAUCAGUUUACAUGUUAUAAGAGGUUAUGAGUAUUCUAUGAAUUUUAUUGGUGAAUAUUCAUUUCAUUUAUGUUUGUCUAAAUGCAUUAUGAUUCCAUCGCUUUAGAAAUUCAAAGAGUAUAGGGCUGAGACAGAAAGCAAUUAGAUAAGAACAUAAAGAAACUACGAUCUGAUCGAAGUGGUGAAUUUCUCUCAGGAGAUUUCAGAGAGUAUCUAGUUGAAAAUAGGAUUAUAUCUCAGUUGACUGCCCUGGGAACACCACAACAAAAUGGGGUAGCUAAAAGGAGAAAUAAAACUCUUUUGGAUAUGAUGAGAUAUAUGCUUAGUUAUUCGCCAUUACCAAUCUCUUUUUAGGGAUUAGCUUUGGAAACUGCAGUUUACCUCUUAAACUUAGUUCCAUCUAAGUCAGUGUCUAAAACCCCAAUAAAAUUAUGGUCAGGUCGCAAACCAAGUUUACGACAUGUUUGUAUUUGGAGAUCACCAGCACAUGUGCUGAAACCAAAGACAGAUAAAAUAGAUUCACGUUAUGAGGUUUAUAUGUUUGUGGGGUAUCCUAAAAGAAAGAUGGGAGGUUUAUUUUAUAGUUCUCAAGAUAGGAAAGUGAUCAUGAGCACAUAUUUCACUUCCCACGAGGAAGACUAUAUGGAUAACUUCAAAUCUAAAAGUAAGGUAAUACUUGAAGAACUGUCAGGUGAUCAAGUUGAUGCUCAGAUUUCAACACUUGUUAUAGAAGAUGAUGAACAACAAUAACUAACUGAUCAACACAUGAUUAUCCCUGAACAAUCAUCAAUUUUAGAAUCUCGUCAUAGUAGGAGGGUAACUAGGUUACCUACUAGAUACAUGUUAUUAGGAGAAACAUAUACGGCUAUCUCAGAUAAACAUGUACAAAAUCCCACUAGCUACAACAAAGCUCUAAUAAACAGAGAUGUUGAACUUUAAAAAAAGACCAUGAAUCAAGAAAUGAAAUCUAUGUAUUCCAAUAAAGUCUAGGAACUUGUAGAGGCACCAAAUGAGGUAAAACAUAUAGGGUGUAAGUGGAUAUACAAGAGAAAAAGAUGAGUAAACGGAAGGGUGAAAAUAUUUAAAGUAAGAUUAGUAGUCACAGGGUUUACUCAGAAAGAGGGAAUCGAUUAUGAGAAAACAUUUUCUCUGGUUGUUAUGCUUAAAUCUAUUAGGAUUUUGCUCUCCAUUAUUGCAGUGCUAGAUUAUAAAAUUUGGCAAAUUGAUGUCAAGGAUGCUUUUCUUAACGGGCAUCUUGAAGAAGACAUCUACAUGUAGCAACCAGAUAGAUUCAUACAAAAAGGCCAAUAACACAUGGUAUGUAAGUUGCAGAGAUCCAUUUAUGGAUUGAAGCAAGCAUCCCGGUCAUGGAACAUCAGAUUUGAUCAAGCGAUUAAAUCGUUUGGAUUCAUUCAGAAUAUUGAUGAACCAUAUGUGUACAAGAAAAUUCAGGGAAAAUUUGUAGCCUUCCUAGUUCUUUAUGUAGAUGAUAUUCUCCUUAUUGGAAACGAUAUAGGAGUAUUGACUACAAUAAAGAGUUGGUUAACAAAAUAAUUUGAUAUGAAAAACCUGGGAGAGGCAAGUUAUAUUUUUGGUAUCAAAUUACUACGAGAUUGGAAGAAUAAAACUUUAACCUUGUAUCAUUUGCUUGUAUACUUAGUGGUUUCAAUACAAUAAAUAUUCAAAUUUGACAUAUUGAGAGGAAUACAAUAAAUAUUCCAAAUAUGUUUUUGACAAGUUAUUCCAAAAACAAUAAAUAUUCCAAAAGGAUCUGCCAAAAACAUAUUUGGAACCACAAGAAACAAAAACAUAUUGAGAGGAAGUAUCAUCUUAUAAGGGAUAUAGUGCAAAGAGGUGAUGUGGAAGUUACUCAGAUUGCGUCACAAGAAAACUUGGCAGAUCCUUUUACUAAGGCCAUACCUGGGAAACUUUUUAACUUGCACUAAUAAUCCAUUGGCAUGCGUGAGAUGUCAAAUAUGGUUUGAGAGCUAGUGGGAGAUUGUUGGGAAAAUAUGCUCUUUAAAAACAUAUGUGUUUAUUUAAUUGUAAUAAAUAAUUUUUCUGAUUAAUAUAAUAAAUGAGGUAUUUUAUUCAAGUAUCUUAGUUACAUUAAUAUUUUGAGUAAAGUCCAUUUAAUCAUAUUAUAUGUGUUUACGUGAUCACCAUAUGGAUUUACAGAAGACAUAAAUACAAGUUAUCUUAUGAUUAAAUAAAUUAAGUUUGCAGUUGAUAAAUAAAGUUAGGCACUUUAUUUAGGUAUAGACUGUAAUAAAUUCAUUUAAUGAUUCAUCUUAAUCAUGUAUGAAUUUAUUGAUGUAGUAAGAGUAUAUUGAAUUGGAUCACAUAUGAGAUUUAAUUAACUUUGUAAUAACUGUCAGACUUAUUAAAUCUCAUAAGCAUUGAUUUUACUAUAAUCUUAAUCUUUAGUUAGUUAUAAUUUCAUGAUUGUAAUUAUCAUUCCAUUUGAGUUACCAAUUGACAUGACACACACUUGUAGUCAAGAUUACUCAGUAUCUUGAUAGGAGCAAUUAUAAAUAUUGAAGUUAUAGAUUAACAAUAUAGAAUUUGUACAACACAUCUCUUGAUGAGUUUUCAACACUUGAUCAUAAAAUUCUCUGGCCAGAUUAUGUCAACAUAUUUAGUAUGUUGAACAUGAUCAUUAGAGAAAAUUAGUAAGUAUCAAGGAAUAAAAUGUAAUUAAAUUAAUUAGACAGUUGAGAUAUCGAUUUAAUUAAUAAUGUGGUACAAAAGAUUAUGCAGUAAAGAAAUCAAUGUGGCAUGGGUCGAAUUAUUAUUCGAGAACACUAUCCUAGAUAACAUACAAUUAUGGAGGUCAGUUCGAAUGUUUUAGUGGAGUAGAUUUGGAAUUAAGUAAUUGGGCUAGUUUAAUGACAGACCUAAUUAUUGUAGCCACUAUUGUAUGUACUCAUAUAAUCCCCGAAUUAGCUCAUUUAAUUGACUGAGCCGCAACUGAAUUAAUAAGCAAGAUACAAACUAACUAUUUUGGUUAAAAGCCUAAAUAUAUUAUUUAGUGGGAGGCUCCAUUUAAUAUGCUUGUGUGUAAGGAGUCAUAUGUUAUUUUACAAGAUGGGCCCCUAUAACAAGAGCAAGUAACGCCACUUUUAGUUUUAUUUUUUAAAUUUAAAUCAAAUUUGAUUUAAGAGAAUUAAAAAUAUAUAUAAAUAUGGAGCCUAGGGCUUCCACUAAAUAGAGAUAUAAAGGGACUUGUUUUCACUAAAAGGGGAGAGGAGCCACAAUAUACAGAUCAGAGAAAAAGAGUUUUUCUCUCUAAUUUUGAGAGAAAUAUUUUCUCUUGCUAGUUGCUUUUAGUGGUGAUAAAGGCGUCCACACGUUAAGUGCAUAUCAAACUUGAGUCAUAACCUGGAAGAUCAUUGGUGACGGAUCGUGAUAUAAAAAGAUUGGUGGUGACAGUUCGUGAUCUAAUGGGAGUGGUGGUAACGGAUUGUGAUCUGGGAGCGUAGAUUACUUCAGCAAAAAAGUAAAGGUACGAUUUCUAAAUUAUGGUAAUUUUAUAUAUUGUAUGAGAAUUGCGAUCUAAAUAUUUCCGCUGCAAAAUAUUUUUAAACCAACAAUUAGCAACUUAAUACACUUGGUACGCUGGAAUGGAUUGUAAAUAUAAUAUUAUCAUAAAAUGUAUUUAAAUUUAAUUGUAUCAUUUUCAAGAGAAAGUAUCAUUUUUUUUUAUGCAACUAAGUUAUCUAGAGACAAACCUUCUCUUGUGUUCUCACAACUUUGGGGAAGCUUCAAAGGACACAGCUUGGAUUGUCCAUUAUGCUAAUAUACCUGCCUAUAAAUUGGAGGGUUGACCUCAACUGUGAGUAAAAGAACUGCGAUACUCGUGUUCCUUCCUGUAAUAACGAAAGCGUCUUAAUUAAUUCAGUGUUUCUACUUCAACAAAAUAAAAAUAAACUCUUGAUUGAAAUACAACCAACUUUCAUAAUUUUCAAUUCUAAUUUUCUUAUAAAAAUGACGCCAUGAUUGGAUGGCAUUGUCCUUGUGUUGUGUCAUUGAUUUAUCCAUCUUUGUUUUUCCCAAAAACAAUUUCCAUGAAAGAGGAUGUUUUGCUGCUCGUUAGUAAACGCUAUUUAAGCACAAGAAAUGAUUGAGAUUUAUGCAAAGUAUGUGGCAGAAUUUAUGUAAGAUGACUGAUGAUUCAUAAGGAAAGCUAAACAUGGGAGUUGGUAACUUUUAGCAUGGUGAUCAACAUGUGUUGUAGAAAAUUUUUAGAAUUUUACUAUAAGUGGUACACAUAAAAGUCAGUAAGUCUAACUUGUACUCAAAUAUUAGCUCAUAUCUUAAUAGUCGCCUUAAGCUUAUGUUAUUAAUCAACUAACUAAUCUCAGCCCAUCUGAAAAAUCUUUUCUAUCACCUCCAGUACUUGUAGGUCAAUUUUUUGUCUGGUCUUUGUCAAUAAUUCAAGUGAUGGGUUUUUCUUUGCCAAUAACGCGCAAUAGUUCCUUGUCAUGAGCUUCUAGGGGUGUUCGCGGAUCGGAUUUUACAGAUUGAACAUCAAUCCAUAUCCGAUCUAUAAUUUUAUGGAUUAUAAUUUUUCAAUCCAAUCCAAUCCACAGAUUGAUAAAAUUCAAUCCAAAUCCAAUCCAUACAUCUACGGAUCGGAUGCGGAUUUGACUCAAUCCAUAUCCAAUCCAUACGUUUGCGGAUCGGAUGCGGAUUUGACUCAAUCCAUAUGCAAUCCACCAUUUUGCGCAUUAGUUUUCGAAUUAAAAAUUUUUUAGUUCUCUCCAACUAAUGAAAUUAAAAAAUCUAAUAUAAAAAUAAUUUUGCUACAAAUUAAAUUUAAAAUUGAAUAAAAUUUAAAUAAAUUAAUUGUUUAAAUAAAGCUAAAAUAAUACAUUUAAAGUUUCAAAAUAUAACACAUCGAGACUAAUUAUUCAAAUAAAGCUACAAUAAUAAGUUCAAAGUUUCAAAAUAUAACACACCAAGCUUAAUUGUUCAAAUAAAGUUACAAUAAUACGUUAAUAUAACACCGAAAUUAAUUGUUCAAAUAAAGCCACAAUUAAUUGAAAUGGAGAAGUUUCGGAAACCAAACACAGUUUGAUCCUUCACCAGGGCUGUUGCGCCUGUCGAAAAGUGGUGAUUACGGAGCCAUCCACGAUGGGAACCAGGAGAAGCCGUACGGGUGGCGAUCUUGAAGGUUGUGAUAGUGAAAUUGUUCAGCUGGAACCAGUGAAUGUGAAGUGGCUCGAUGGACUUUGGAAAGAAGAUGGCUUGCUCUCGCCGGAAUCGCGCGGCUGAUGUCCUUUAAAUCCGUAUUGAGAGUGUAUCCAAUCAGUAUUGAGUGUUGCUAGUGUGUGUGACGGCGGGGAAGCUUAGGGUUUUUUGUUUGCAAAUUGUUGGUGACUUGGCGUUAUGUUACUUUGCUUUUGCUAGUGCGUGUCACUUUGCUUUUAUUUUGUUUUACAAUUUUUACAAGUUAUAUUUGUAUAUUUGAUUAUUUAAUUAUUUUUUAUUUUAUAUUAUUAUUGGGUAAUGGCUAAGAUAUGUUAUAGUGCUUAGUAACUAUGCAAUGUCACAUUUAUAAUUUUUUAAAUUAAAUUUAUAAUAAUUUUUUAAUUAUAUAUAUAUAUAAUUUUUUUUUUUUGCGGAUUCACGGAUUUCUGCGGAUUUACAGAAGUAAAUCCAUAUCCAAUCCAUCGACUGCGGAUUUUUAAAUUUUCAAUCCAUAUCCAAUCCAUGGAUCGGAUUUAUAUAGAUCGGAUUCAACGGAUCGGACGGAUUGAGCGGAUCGGAUUGGAUUCUGAACACCCCUAUGAGCUUCUUAUCUUCUGUCUUGAAGGAAGAAAUUGCAAAAGACAAAUGAAACAAUUUCCUUUACACAUUAAUCAGUGCUGCAGCCUUUAUAUCUUUAUUAUUCUCGGAGGUAUGAUAAUGUUGAGAGCCGAAACAAUUACUAGUACUCACUCCUCUUAUGGCCAUGUCUAACUCUCUACAAUAAUUUCGAUAUUCCUGUUCUUCAGUUCUUCCACUAACCAACAAGUACGACGGUAUAUGCGGUGGCUUCAUUGCUAGAGCCUCUGUGGGCAUAUUUUAACAACGUGAAGGCAGAGCUAAUUAGAAUUCACACAAUUUUCCUAAAAGUCUACAGCUUCCAGGAAAUUCACCACCUCUGUAGAAUUGUAAUAAUAAGACUUGUGGUUUCCGUAAAAGAAUUUAUAAGAGUUAAUAUAAAAGAAUUCGAAAAUGAAUUUUAUAUGGACUAGAAAUACUCUUGAUUAAUUGGUUAUUCAAAUGGUUUAGAAAUCCCCUUAAUAUUAGGAAGUCAUUUAAAAUUCUGAUUAUUGUUGUUCUAAAUAUAUUACUUUGCACUAACUUCCAAUUCCACAAUUACUCUGACAGUCCCGUUUUCACGGAUUUAUUUAUGUAUCUGAAUCUUUUUAUUCAUGAAAGAAUAAUCUCUUGCAAACUCAACUUCAAUUAUGAAUCAACUAGCUAGCAACCAUUUCUUUAUUUUUAAUUGCUUUGGAAAUUAAGGAUUCGUCCAGCCGCCAGAUUCCGCAGUGAUUCUAUUGCAUUGGAUGUCUUCAAUUUUCUUUUGCAUUAGAUUCUUUGUUGAACUAUUUAUGCACAAGUGAAGGAGGAAUUAUAGAAUACAUAUGAGAUAAUACAAUCAACUAAUGCAUAUACAACGUGUGUAAUUGAAUUUAGUGUAACCAUCACCUACGUAGAUAUUUUUCAAAAUAAAUGCACACAAGUUAUAGUAUCAUUUGCUUGUUAUAUGACUUACAGUGUAUUCUAGAAUUUUUCCCAAGUGGAGACCAUGAGUGGUAACAUCCAUCUGACAUAAGAGUAUUACAAAGAGAUAAUCACUUGUCAAAUUUGAAUAUUUAUUGUAUUGAAACCACUAAGUAUAUAAGUUUGGACAACCCUAAAUUCAUGAUGAGAAGUUAAAGACAGUAGUACUCUAAAAGAAAAUGGAACGAAAUGAUCCAUUCAUACCUAUUAUUUGACUUUUAGAUUUGCCCUUCUAAAUUUUAACAAAAUGCACACAUGUUCUCUUGACAAAUUUUUAUUUAUUCAUGUGAACGAAGUAUAACAAAAUUAUUGACCAAUCAGAACCAAGAUGGAAAUGAUCAUCAACAAAAGUAAUCUGCAAGGACGAAUAGAAGCAGAUAGAUUAUUCCAAAAAGAAACUAAGUGGAAGUGGAAUUACUGUAGUACUGAUUAUUCGAUGGCGGGAACGUCGUCGAAGAAGGGUAAACUUCUCUGUUUCAGGAUUUCACAAUCCUCAGGACUUGCUGUGUUUGGAUCAAAAAGCUCACGAUCAGGCAGAGGUAAGCCAAGUUUUAUUUGACCCACUCGCCGCGAAUUCAGGACUUGCUUGGUCGUGACAGGUAGCCUAACAGAUUGAUAUUCUUCCAGAGCUGAAUGUAAAUUUUCUUCCCCCAACUUCUCAAGGCAUUUACCUAACACUGCUGCAUCAGCUAUGGCCAUGUUUGUGCUUCUUGCACAGUGAGGGGUUAUGGGAUGAGCCGCAUCUCCAAUAAAGACCACGUUGUCGCAGUAUACUUGUGUCAAAUGGUCGCAAUCAUAAAUAAGGUUCAGGAAAGGCUCCUUUGUUUCUUUUAUGACUCUUGCAAGCUCAGGAACGCAAAUCUCCUCUACUUCUUGGUGCAUCUUCUUGAUCAUGUCACUGCUCACUUUCAUUGUAGCUGAACCUCCCUGAAAUUACUUAAUUAAUUAAUUGAAGCUAGCUCUGCUAACACGUAUGCAUAUAAAUGGUAAAAUGAAGCAAGUUAGGCAAUCACCUUGAGUUCAGGCUCAGGUUGAGUGAUAUACCAAAUCCAAUUGAGCCUCUUGUACAUAAGCUCAUAAAGGACGGUGUGAGUUCCAGGGCCCAAGCCCGCGUGCACGCCAUUCCCAAGCUCAGGAUAUGCCCUUCCGGAUGCCUUGUAUGGUUUCAGAAUUCUCAUUUUCCGAAAAAUCAAAAACACCCCUCCAAGCACAGUAACCUGUAUACCUGAAAAACAGAAAUGAAAAAUAAACCGUAAAUUUCAAGACAACCGAAAAUAUGAAAAUAUAAUAUAAUUUGGUCAGAAACCUGAGUUUAGAGUCUGGUAAAAAAGUCUGGCGAACUGAUGAGCGGCUCCCGUCAGCUGCAACCAGCGAAUCUCCAACUACGUCGAUGAUCUCAUCAGUUCUAAGAUUCUUAGCUUUGACAUUGACGGUUGAUUUGUCGUGAGAAAUGCAGAAAGUGAGGUACAAGUGACCCCAAAAAACUAUUUCGACAGGCAGAGUAUUGUAUAUAAGACCAUGAAGAUCAGUCCAAUGUGCCACUAUAAUGUGUAUAUGCAUACAUUACCUGAUCAAUGGUGAGAGGUAAGGUGAUGUUGUGAAGAAGAUCAGGUUGAUGGAGCCAUGACUUAACUAUUUUCUCGGACAAUGGAUGAAGUGCGAUUCCAGCGCCGGUUGGGUUUCCGGUUUGAGGUCCACGUGUCUUCUCGAUCACCACCACAUCCCAACCUGCUAAAAUAAGCGCUUUUGCGCAUGAUAUCCCUGCUAUGCUUCCCCCAACUAUUAUAGCUUUUGGCUUCCGCAUCCUCUCCCUCAUGUCUCUCUCUUCCUCUCAAACACCAGUAUGUGUGACACAAAGGGACGCUCGCGCAUAGAUAUAUUUAUAGACAGGGGAAAACUUCCCAUUCUGAAUUCAUAAAACAGGAAGAGCCGGCAAUCAUAUGAACAUUUUUUUAUAUUAUUGUCAAAAAAUUUUUAUUCUAUUGUUAAUUUGACUCGGAUUUUAAUAAAAUUUAACAUCUCGAACCAAGUCACUACUCUAGAGAAAAAUUUCAAGAUUAUAUCUGUUGAUUCCGGUAGGGCAGGAGUCUCAUGCAGAAGUUUCUCAUCUAUUUUCUUACCAGAACAAAUUUCUAGUCAAAAUGAGGGUGUGAAAGGAGGAUAAAUAGACGAAAUUUGGCCCACCACUUCAUUCUUCCUAAAUGAAUAGCUUUUUACCCUAUUAAACGAGGAAAAAUGGAUUAGAUUCUCCCUUAAUUUGAUCUGAUUAGUGAUUACUAAAUAAAGACCACACUUUAUUGUAGUGUGUUUCGUCAUUUAAUACAUUGAAGUUUGUAUGUGGCCCUAGUUUAGUUGGGUAUUAGAUCACUUAAUUGGAAAGGGACUUCCUUAAUUAUUUUUCAAAAGCACAUCCUAUAAGACUCCAACAGAUGGAGUCCAAGUUCUAGAAUAGAUGAAUAAAUUAUGUCAAUUAAAUGGCAAUAGCCCACCAAAGAAGACAGAGAAACAAGUUAGGAGAGAUUCCAGAGUAUACCAAAAGUAUUUCAUCUAAUUAAUAUAUAUAUAUAUAUAUAUAUAUAUAUAUAUAUAUAUAUAUGUUAUGUGUGUAUUUAUUUUAAAAAAUUAUUAUGUAAUUAAUAAUUAUAUUUAAUUGAACUAUACUUAUUAUAUAUGUAUUUGUUAUAUGUAGCACCUAUAUUAUACUCUAGAAUUUCUCACAAGAUAAUAUGUCAAUAUACCACAAACACAAAGUUUGAAUCCUGUGAAAUAUGUUUAAAAUUGACUCUUGUAGAAAUUAUUAUGUGGUGGUGAAAUGAUUAUGAUAAAUAAUAUAUUAACACGUGUCAAUAUAUAAUUAUGCUACAUCAAUGAGGGUACCAUUGGUAUCACAUUUUUGUUUUACGUCUUAACUUUUGUAUUGACAAUAUUAGUUUUGUAUUAUAUAUAUAUAUAACUACUAAGUUAUUUUUUGCAAUCAAUAAAUAUCUAAUAACUCAAUACUUCUAUAUUUAUGCUCAUAAAAUUUGUACUUUUUAAAUAAAUAUUAAAAUAUCUUAAAAAUAAUAAAUUAUAUUUUUUAACACUAAUUAAAACAAAUAAUUUUCACAUUUAAUCUUGUUUUAGUUUAUAACAUGGACCAUUCGCUCACCACUUGGCAUAACUUUGUAACCUAGGUCCUGCUUGGAAUCGAAGUAUUAUACCUUUUAAGUUACGACUGCCGUAAAAAAGUUGUAAUUAUAAAACAAAAAAUUAAUAGCUGUGAACUUAAUGAUUGCUUACUAAACUUUAGGCAUUUAUUUAUUUAAUUAAUUGUCUAAAAUUUACUUGUUAAUGUUAUUGACAAUACUUAUAUAUUGAUUAAAAAGAUGAAGUAAGGUAUUGAUCUUAUUGAUCAACAAAAAUAUUUUAUCCUAAAUUGACAUAUUUGUGUAUUUAUUCUAAUGUUAAAACUUUAAUUUCUCAUUUAUGCGGAUAAAAUUUAGAAAUCGGUAUUAUAUGUAGAUUUUUAAGCUCCUAUUAUAAAUUUAUAGUUUGACUUAUAUAAUUUACUUUAUUUUUUGUGUUUUUAAAAGUAUUGUUUUAAUAUUUGUGAAGUAAAAACCCAUUGCAGGUUACACGAGGAUUUAGUAAUUGUUAAAACCUACAGCAGGUGAAUUUUUUUUUAAAUAAAAAACCCAUAGCGAGUUAAGAAUUUACUGAUUUAAUUACUUUUUACAAGUGCAUGUUUGAUAAUGAUAAAAUCACUGCACUGAAAGAAAUUCUAUGAAGAAUAUAAUUCUUGUUUUGUAUUUUUAAUGAAAUUUACAGAAUUAUUUAUACAAAAUAAAGACAAAGUAGCCGUUGAAAGGCUUAAUAAUAUUAAAGGAGAAUAAGUGAAUACUUCCUAAACUAUUGGACAAUAUCUUUAUAACAUAUGAAUGAAAUAUUCCUACAUGAUAUUGACAUUCAUGUGCAAAAAUCGUAGUGGAGAUAUUUCUUGACAAAUAACUUUGACGGGAGCAAGUCGUGUGGACUCCACAACUGUGGAGUGAUAAACCCGUUCUUGACUUGACCGUUAAUGACUUUCCUUUUGGUAAUCUUGGUCAGCUUGCUUAACAAGUGGUACCCAUAACCCAUCCAUACAGCUAGGCUAGCUAAACAGCAUAAAUAAAUGUAUAACGAUUCUUAUAUAAAAAGCCACCACCCCAAGCCAAAAGAAAAAAAAAAUUGUGCUGAAUACAACAAUAAAAUUUCUUCAGUUUUUACUUGGAAACAAGAGAGAUGAAUAUGAAGAAGCAGAAGCCAAAAGCUAUUGUAGUUGGAGGAAGCAUUGCUGGGGAAUCAUGCGCAAAAGCACUUGUUUCAGCAGGCUGGGAUGUUGUUGUGAUUGAGAAAACUCGUGGACCCCCAACCCAAAACCCAACCGGUGCUGGCCUUGGACUCGAUCCAUUGGCUCAGAAAAUUGUUCAGUCAUGGCUCCAUGAACCUGAACUUCUUUACAACAACACUUUACCUGUCACCAUUACUGAGGUAUAUAAUAUAAUAUAUUUAAUUUCUUUUUUCCCAGUAGAAUCCAGUAGUGCUUUGAAUUAUACUGAUCUCCUAAAGAUAUUAGUUGCACACGUGUAUAUACAAUGGUGUAUGGUUAAGAUUUGAUAAAAGUAUAUUUUGCUCUGCACAAAGUACAAUUUAGAAUGGAAUCUCAUUGGGAAAAAAAUAUCUAUAUAUGUUGAAUAGAUUAAAUUUCAAUUUGUGUUUAAUUGCAGAACCUAGCAACAGAUGGGCAAAAGAAGAUCAGCUGGGUAAUAGGAAGAGAAGAAGGCGCUAAGUAUCUGACAGCAUAUUGGGCUGAUCUUCAUGGCCUUAUAUACAAUACUCUGCCACCUGAAAUAUUUUUAUGGGGUCACCAGUACCUCUCUUUCUGUAUUUCUGAAGACAAAUUAACUGUCAAAGUUAGAGCUAAGGAUCUUGAGACUGAUGAAAUAAUCGAGAUAGUAGGAGAUUUGCUCGUCGGAGCAGAUGGGAUCCUCUCAUCAAUUGGUCAGAGCAUUCUACCUGACUUCAAAUUGAGGUUUGUGCUUGCUUGUGAAUGUCAAUAAAAGUAAUUAAUUUUUGAGUAUUUUGUUUCAUAAUUUUCAAUGUGUUUUUAAUAGGUACACAGGAUACUGUGCGUGGAGAGGUGUUUUUAAUUUUUCAGAAAACGAUUCAGAAACCAUCUUAGGCAUUCGAAAAUCGUAUCCUUAUAUUGGGAAAUGCCUUUACACGAAUAUUGGUUCAGGAUCGCACAUCAUACUCACUGAGCUUAAGAAAGAGAAGUUCAAUUGGGUUUGGUAUGUCAAUCAACCUGAGCCCGAGCUCAAGGUAACUGCUUACUUUUGUUUCAUCUUUUUAUUUUGUUUUCGGGGGUUUGGGUUGAGUGCUAAAAUCUAAUUUUUGCAAACGAUCAACACAGCUCAGACCAUCACCGGAUCCUUUUUUUUUUUUAAUUUUCCGGUUUAUCAAUGCAGUAUGACGUCACAUUGGGAAACAAAUUAUUUUAUUCUCUGCAGGGAAAUACAACUUCUGUGAAAGUAAGCAGUGACAUGAUCAAGGAGUUGCACCAAAGAGCAGAGCAGGUUUGGUUACCUGAAUUGUCAAGAAUGAUCAAAGAAACAAAGGAUCCUUUCCUUAAUGCUAUAUAUGAUUGCGAUCCUUUGGAGAAAAUCAUCUGGGACAGAGUGGUGCUAACAGGAGAUGCAGCUCACCCGACAACUCCACACUCUGCCAGAAGCACAAACAUGGCGAUAAUAGAUGCAGCAGUGUUAGGAAAAUGCCUCGAGAAGUGGGGGCCGGAUCAUUUAUACUCUGCUCUGGAAGAAUAUCAAUUCAUUAGGAAGCCUGUAACUUCAGCACAAGUUCUACAUUCGCGACGAUUGGGUCAAAUGAAACAGGGGUUAAGUAUUCCUGGAAGGGAGCGGCCUUUUGAUCCAAAGACAGCAAGUCUAGAGGACUCGGAAUUCAUCCUUAACAAAAAUGUGCCUCUUUUCGACGUUGUUCCUCCGAUUCUUGAUUCAAUUUUUCGUUCUGCUUGAUAAUUUUCAAGGGAGAAAGUAACAUUUUCAUUUUUAUGCAACAAAGUCAUCUAGAGACAAACCUUCUCUUGUGUUUUCACAGCUUUGGGGAAACUUCAAAGGACACGGCUUGGUCUGUUCAUUAUGCUAACUAUAGCUGCCUAUAAAUAAGAGGGUUGACCUCAAUUGUGUGAGUAAAAGAACUGCUAUACUUAUGUUCCUUCCUGUAAUAACGAAAGCCUCUUCCUUAAUUCAGUGUCUCUACUUCUUUAGCAAAAUAAAAUAAAUUCUUGAUCGAAAUACACCCAACUUUUCCAAUUUUCUUAUAAAAAUGACACCACAAUAGGAUGGGAUUGUCCUUGUGUUGUGUCAUUGAUCUAUUGAUGCAGCGGAAGUUUAAUGUUCAAAAUAUUCCGUUGCUGCAGUUUGGUAUUAGAGCUAAAACCUGGUCCACCAAUCUAACUCCAUCUACCACCAAACCUUUCCUUUUUUCCUUUUUUGUUUUUUUCCGUUUAGUUUAAAAAAAAACCCAAACAACACCAAAAAAGCAUAGAAAAAAAAAAGAAAAAAAUUAUAUCAUGAAAUCACAACAUCGACGUGAAGAUUUCAUCUUGAGAGAUGUUUUAAUUAAGAUGUUGAGGAUUUUACGUUUGAUUUCUCAAGAUUUAGAGAAACUUCGAGAUAGAAAAUCUUUACACAUAAAGCAGACAUAUGGAUUCGAUGAAGUUGUUCAUGAUGAUGUUUGUUAUGAGGAUAAUGAGGAAAAUGGUAACUUUGUUUCUCUCGACAAUAUUAUUCCUUCCAAAGAGAAUAUUAAUUGGCCAUUCGUGUCUACAACAAAUCCUCAAUACAAAGAUAUUAAUUUGGAUCAAUUGCCAUAAUUUGAUGAGUAUCUUGAUAUUAUAGGACGAGAAGAGGUAAUUGUUCAUCCAUCUUUUGAUCUUGUGGAGGAAAGAGAGAUAGUUGUUGAUACAAUCUCCUAUUGUUCUCUUGAUUUGCCAAAAGAAGACAAAAAGAGUUGUGAUAUUUUUCAACAAUUAGUGGAUUAUGAGAAGAAAUCGUUUUUCCUCAACUAUGUUGAAGUUCGACACGAACGAUACAAGAAAACAUUAUUAAAGAAGUUGUUGAUAGAAGAAUUUAUUUUACGCCAUUGGAGUGAUUGGAUGGACGUUAUUACAAAAGUUGGAAAAUUUAAAGUUCGUCGUCUAUGUCAAAGCUCUGUUUUAAAAAUUAAUCCUUAUGCACAUGAAGAUGUUCUUGAAGACUACAACAUACAAAAUUCGAGGACGAAUUUUCUCCAACCUAGCGGGAAUGAUGCAGAGCAAGAAAUUGAAGAAAUCCUAAUUAUAUUUAAAUGUAUAAUAUUUAGGAAUAUUUUAAUUAAUUUGUAUUAUAGUUUAAUUUGGUUUCCUAUUUAGAGUCUUAUUGUUUAGGUAUUGCUUAUUUGGGUAAUAUUCCUAAUUUAGGCAUAAGUCUUAUUAAAAUAGGUUUUCUAAUCAUAUUAGGAUAAGUCUUACUUAGUAUAAAUAAGUGUCUUUUGUAGCUUUUACAAGCAGAGAAUUUUGAGUUCAAUAAUAUUUCAAUUUUCAAAUCUCUUUGUGAGUAUUUGAACAGUUAAUUCUCGGUAUUCUGAAUCAACGAGUCUUAACCCCUAAGUUCGCGAUAUUCUUUUGAAUCAAUGUGAAUUUAGUUGUUCUUUUAUUCCGGUAUUCUCUAGAAUCAACGGAAUAUUUUGAACAUUAAACUUCUGCUACAUCAUAAGUUUCUUUUGUAGCUUUUACAAGCAGAGAAUUUUGAGUUCAAUAAUAUUUCAAUUUUCAAAUCUCUUUGUGAGUAUUUGAACAGUUAAUUCUCGGUAUUCUGUGGAAUCAACGAGUCUUAAUCCCUAAAUUCGCGGUAUUCUUUUGAAUCAACAUGAAUUUAGUUGUUCUUUUGUUCCGGUAUUCUCUAGAAUCAACGGAAUAUUUUGAACAUUAAACUUCUGCUACAUCAUAAGUGUCUUUUGUAGCUUUUACAAGCAGAGAAUUUUGAGUUCAAUAAUAUUUCAAUUUUCAAAUCCUUUUGUGAGUAUUUGAACAGUUAAUUCUCGGUAUUCUGUGGGAUCAACGAGUCUUAAUCCCUAAAUUCGCGGUAUUCUUUUGAAUUAACGUGAAUUUAGUUGUUCUUUUGUUCCGGUAUUCUCUAGAAUCAACGGAAUAUUUUGAACAUUAAACUGAUGGACGUUAUUACAAAAGUUGGAAAAUUUAAAGUUCGUCGUCUAUGUCAAAGCUCUGUUUUAAAUAUUAAUCCUUAUGCACAUGAAGAUAUUCUUGAAGACUACAACAUACAAAAUUCGAGGACGAAUUUUUUCCAACCUGGCGGGAAUAAUGCAAAGUAAGAAAUUGAAGAAAUCCUAAUUAUAUUUAAAUGUAUAAUAUUUAGGAAUAUUUUAAUUAAUUUGUAUUCUAGUUUAAUUUGGUUUCCUAUUUAGAGUCUUAUUGUUUAGGCAUUGCUUAUUUGAGUAAUAUUCCUAAUUUAGGUAUAAGUCUUAUUAAAAUAGGUUUUCUAAUCAAGUUAGGAUAAGUGAUGCAGCGGAAGUUUAAUGUUCAAAAUAUUCCGUUGAUUCUAGAGAAUACCGAAAUAAAAGAACAACUAAAUUCACAUUGAUUCAAAAGAAUACCGCGAACUUAGGGGUUAAGACUCGUUGAUUCAGAAUACCGAGAAUUAACUGUUCAAAUACUCACAAAGAGAUUUGAAAAUUGAAAUAUUAUUGAACUCAAAAUUCUCUGCUUGUAAAAGCUACAAAAGACACUUAUUUAUACUAAGUAAGACUUAUCCUAAUAUGAUUAGAAAACCUAUUUUAAUAAGACUUAUGCCUAAAUUAGGAAUAUUACCCAAAUAAGUAAUACCUAAACAAUAAGACUCUAAAUAGGAAACUAAAUUAAACUAUAAUACAAAUUAAUUAAAAUAUUCCUAAAUAUUAUACAUUUAAAUAUAAUUAGGAUUUCUUCAAUUUCUUGCUCUGCAUUAUCUAUCCAUAUUUGUUUUUCCCAAAACAAUUUCCAUGAAGGAGGAUGUUUUGCUGCUUGUUAGUGCACGCUAUUUAAGCACAAGACAUGAUUGAGAUUUAUGCAAGGUAUGUGGUAGAAUUUAUGUAAGACGACCGAUGAAGCUAAACAUGAGAGUUAGUAACUUUUACUGUGGUGAUCAACGCGUUGAAGAAAAAUUUUAGAAUUUUUAUUAUAAGUGGUGCAUACAAAAGUUGGUGAGUCGAACUUGUACUCAAAUACUAGCUCAUGUAUUAGGAGUUGCCUUAGGCUUAUGUUAUUAAUCUAGUAACUAAUAUUAGCGAUAUGAAAUAUUUUUUCUAUCAUCUUCCAUCACAUGUGUGUAGGUCAAUCUUUUUGUUUGGUCCUUGUCUUGUGAUAAGAUAGUGUGAGUGAUUUUGAGAGAAAAUAUGAAAAACACAAACAAUGAAAAUUCACUUUUACUUAAACUAAGACACAGAUUUUUUUACACUGAAGUUGAUAGAAGACACUCGAAUGCGCAGGAGUGAAAUCUUGACAAAUUAAAGCGAGAACUAAGACAUGCUAGUCCUUUCUCGCGCAUUUAGUUGACAUUAUUUUGCUUUGCAAAUAAAUGCGGGCAUGGUUGAAGGCAUUUUAUCUUUUCGGAAGUGGAUGGAGAAAUAAAUAUAAUUAAAAGGGAUGCGAAUAAUAAAUGCCAUUUUUCUUAAUAACGAAGAAGAAUAUAUUAGAAAUAAAUUGAAAUGUAACAAAAUACUUGAAAUAAUUCAAGUGGUGGGUUUUUUCUUUGUCAAUAACGCCCGAUAGUUCCUUGUUUUGAAGAAAGCUCAUUGUGCUGAACUGAGAAGAGAGAAGAAGCCAUAAAUUAAAAUGCGUCAACAAUGCCACGUCAACAAUGUUGAGUCAGCUGAUUCUGUUAAGCAGCAAUGAGAGUUCACGUGUAUUGCUGUUAGUUAGUAUUAGCCAGUCUCUUACUGAUUAGUUAACUAUUUUUCAGUGUAAUACAAAUUAGUUUGUUAUAGCUUUUACUAAUAAACAUGUAAGUAUAUAAAGUUUGUAAGAACUACUCAUUUUUAACUAAUGAAUUAGAUCCAGAAUAUUCAUAAACUUUCUCUCUGUUUUCUCGAUAACCAAACAGCAUUUUCAAUUCAUUUUACAUGGUAUCAGAGCCAGAAAUAUGGCAAGCUCAAGCAAUCCAAACACAGCAAACAUGAAUCAAUCAAUACAAACUACCUUUUCAUUCAUUACGCCAAUCAAAUUGGAUAGAUCCAAUUAUAUGCUCUGGCGAAAUCAAGUAUUAGCUUCUAUAAGAGGAAACAGACUUGAAGGCUAUAUCAAUGGAGAAAAAGCAGCACCUACUCAGUUUCUUACUUCUGGAAGCUAUGCUGAAACAAUGGGAAGAGUUACACAACAAGUUGAAAAUCCAGAAUAUACGAUCUGGAGGUCACAGGAUCAGACAUUACUAAGCUGGCUAUUAAGCUCAAUUACUGAAGGUAUCCUCAGUCACGUUCAUUCUUGUAAUACUGCAUAUGAUGUGUGGAAAACAUUGGAGAAAAAAUUUGGUGCAAAAUCUGAAGCUAGAGUUCUUUAACUCAAAUAUAAGAUGAGUGUUUUGAGGAAAGAUUCGCUAAAUGUAGAAGAUUAUUGUUUGAAAAUGAAACAAAUAGAAGAUAAGUUAGCAUGUGCUGGUAGUUCAGUUUCUGACAAAGAUCUGUUACAACAAAUCCUUAAUGGUCUUGAACCAGGCUAUCUAGAUUUAGCAACUUUCAUUACUGCUAGUAAAUUAGAUUUUGAUGAUGCAUAUGCAUUGCUACUCACACAUGAAACAAGAUUGGAAUAGAGUCUAAAUGAAAAACAUAUGUUAAAUGCAAAUCUUGCUAAUGUUUCUCAUAAUAAUAGUAGCUAUGGUAUGAUGAAUGUUUAUUAUGCUCAAGCAAGAGGUAAUGCUCGAAGAGGUGGAUAUAAUGGAGGAUUUCAUGGUGGAAAUCAAUUUGGAAGGAACAAUUUUCAUACUGGAAAGGGAAUGUUUGUCAAUUCUCAUCCAAGAGGCUUUCCUUCUGGAUCUGGAAAUUUUGGUAAUAAUCUUGGUAGAGGUCAAAUGGUUGGAAACAAUAAUAAGCAGGCACAAUUCAUGAGAGGACAAUAUAGUGCUAACUCUAGUUUGUCAAAUUCUGAUGGUAAUGAUGAACAAGCUGUUGUCUGUCAAAUCUGCUUUAAAUCUGGACACACAGCAGCAGAAUGUUGGCAUAGAUUUGAAGAAAACUAUAUGCCUCAACACAUGAAAAGAGGAAGAAAUCAGAGAUCAUCUUAUAUGACAUACUUUAAUGCACCUACUGAAGAUUCAUGGCCUACUGCAGCUGCUUAUUCAGGGAUACCUCACAUGUAUAAUCCACCAUGUUCUUCAUACAUAUUUGAUUCAAUGAGCUUACCUGUGAAUGGAGCUGGAGCUGCUUAUGUUGCUAACUUUGAGGGACCAGCAGAUGAAGGAUGGUAUCUUGACAAUGGAGCUACACACCAUCUAACAAACAAUAUGGCAAAUAUGCAUGUCAGCAAUGAGUUCAGAGGUAAUGACAAGCUUAUCAUUGGUGAUGGUAAAGGUAUGUCAAUCACACAUAUUGGUAAUACCAAUCUUCCAGUUCAAAGCUCUAAAACACAAUCUGCAUAUACAUGCAUUGCACUCAAAGAUAUACUGCUUGUUCCAUCUAUUACAAAGAAUUUAAUAAGUGUUUCCAAACUCACCACUGAUAAUGACUUAUCUGUUGAAUUCCUUGGAUCUGUUUACUUUGUGAAGGAUAUACUGAAGGGGAAAAUUCUGCUACAGGGUAUUGUUGAGAAAGGUUUAUACAAAUUGCAGCUGAGUUCAUCACCACAAUCUACAUAUACCUCUUUUCUAUCCCAAAGUUCAAUAAAUAAACCUGUAUCUAUGCUAUCUCAGUGUUAUCUUAGCACUUCAGUUAAUAGUCUUUGUUCUGGAAAAUGUUUUCAGUCAAAUAAGAAUACUUGUAGCACUGAUUCAUUCAAUAAAAUGUCUUUACUUCACAAAAGAUUUGGUCAUCCUAAUACUCAAAGUCUACUUCAUUUACUUAAGCUUGUGCAUCCCAAUUUGUGCUCUACAAAUAUUGUUAAUCAAGCAACAAAGCAUUUCUGUGAAGCAUGUCAGUUGGGAAAAUUUCAUAGGCUUCAUUUUCCAAUCACUGAUAUCAAAUCCACAGCAGCACUAGAACUUGUUCAUACUGAUCUAUGGGGUCCCUCACCAGCAUGUUCUAGAGAUGGUUUUAGAUAUUACAUUAGUUUUGUUGAUGAUCACACUAGAUACACCUGGAUUUAUCCUUUGAAACUUAAAUCAGAAGCUCUAGAAGUGUUCAAACUAUUUAAACUUCAAGUUGAAAAUCAAUUUCAAACUACUAUCAAAAUUCUACAAUCUGACUGGGGGGGAGAAUACAGACCAUUUACUUCCUUCCUAAAUGAGUGUGGCAUUCUUUUUAAACAUUCUUGUCCUUACACUCACCAUCAAAAUGGACUUGGUGAAAAAAAACACAGACAGAUUGUAGAAUUAGGACUGACACUUCUAGCCCAAGCCAAACUUCCUUUUCAAUUGGUGGGAUGCUUUUCAUGCCUCAGUCUAUCACAUUAAUAGACUCUCUACUUCUGUACUUAAGAUGUCUACUCCAUAUAAAAAGCUUUAUAAACACAAGGCUGAUUAUAACAUGCUGAAAUGCUUUGGAUGUGCUUGUUAUCCAUAUAUGAGAGAUUACAAUAAGCAUAAGUUUGACUAUCACACAACCAAGUGCAUCUGUCUUGGUUAUAAUCCAUCUCAUAAAGGCUACAAGUGUUUUCACCCAUCUGGUCAUAUAUAUAUAGCUAGGCAUGUUGUCUUUGAUGAACACUCAUAUCUAUUUGCUUCAGAUCCUAGCUUUCAUUCUUCAAAUAAAUCUAAGUCUGAUACACAUUGCACAAUUACUCCUAUACAAGUUUUUCAGUUGUCAACAUUACCUGUCAUAUCAGAUUUUUCAGUCACCAGCAAUGAAUCUUUCUCUCAAGCAUACUCCAGUGGCAACAUUUUCCCUCCAACAGUAGUCUUAACACAUGCAAAUAGUUUAGACUAGCAACCCUCACACACAAAUAGAAAUAAUCCAUCUGCACCUACAAUGUUACCUUCUGUACCUGAUACAACACCAGAUCAGCCUUCAGAUGAAAAUUCACAAAACCAACAUAAUAAUAAUACCUCUCAUCUCAAUCAAACAGUGGUAACCUCAUCAUCAUUAAACCAACAUCCCAUGAUCACUAUAGGAAAAGCAGGUAUUUUUAAGCCAAAGAUAUAUGCUGCAGUAUUGUUACAUAAAGAACCAGACACUGUUCAGGAGGCUAUCAAUGAUGAGAGAUGGUUUCAAGCAAUGAAAGCUGAAUAUGAUGCACUAAUGUCAAAUGGUACCUGGACACUUGUGCCAAGAACAGAAGAUCACAGACUUGUUGGCAACAAAUGGGUGUUUCGAGUAAAAUCAAAUACUGAUGGAAGUGUUGCAAAAUAUAAGGCAAGGUUGGUUGCUAAAGGAUUCCAACAAAUAGAAGGGGUUAACUACUUUGAGACUUUCAGUCCAGUGGUGAAAGCAGCAACAGUUAGAGUGGUCCUAAGCCUAGCAGUAAUGAAUCAGUGGUAGAUAAGACAGGUUGAUGUGAAUAAUGCAUUCUUAAAUGGAGAUCUAAUUGAGGAGGUAUAUAUGAGUCAACUAGAAGGGUUUAUUGAUUCCAAAAGACCUGAUUUUGUGUGCAAACUUCACAAGGCACUUUAUGGUUUGAAACAAUUUCCACGAGCAUGGUUUGACAAGCUGAGAAAUAGUCUUAUGCAAUGGGGAUUUGAGAAUUCUAAGUCUAACUCAUCUUUGUUCUUGAAAAAGAAUAAAAGAUCAAUUAUUUUAAUCCUGAUAUAUGUAGAUGACAUAUUGAUUACAGGAUCAAGUUGUGAUGCGCUGGAAGAUUUUAUCAAGCUAUUCAGUUCUGCAUUUGCAUUAAAGGAUCUGGGAAAGCUAUCUUAUUUUCUUGGAAUAGAAGUUUUGUAUGAUCUUGAUAGUGUGUAUCUGUCACAAAGGAAGUAUAUUAGAGACUUGUUGGCUAAAGUUGAUAUGCUCGAAUGCAAAGGAAUAGAUACACCAAUGAGCAGCAGCAAAGAUUACAGAUUGCAGAAGAAUGUUGAAGGAGAAAUAGGUUACUACAUACAAUAUCCAUCUCAUUACAGAAAGCAUAGUAGGAGGUCUUCAGUAUCUAGUUUUGACAAGACCUGAGAUUGCCUACUUUGUUCAUAAGUUAAGUCCGUAUGUAUUGCUGCGUAAAUUAGCAAGUGUACUAGUCGGCACAAGUAAUAUAAUGAAGAGUAGAGUAUCGUCCCACAGAGAUUGUAUAUCCUAUUAGUUACCGAAAUUAUUCCAACCCUAAUUUAUUUGAACAAUCGAAUAAAUGAAUUUAGAUUAAAAUUAAAUAAAAUAAAACAAUUAAAAAUUAAAUAAAGAUGUAGACAGUAAUAGAAAUCACCAAGAGAUUAAAACACUAGGACAUUUGAUUUCACCAUAACCAAUCCAAUUUAAUCCUCCAUCUAUGCUAUUAAAAUUGAUUACCCAUGUUGACAGUGAAUUUCCCUAAUUUAUUCAAUAUCCUCUCUCGAGUAAUAUCAAAAAUAUCUCCACAUAUCAACCCACUAUAUCUCUAUGUGAAUUUGAAUAUGCAAAGAUUCAUUAAGCUCUAUGAAAAUUCUUAGAUAAAACUGCACGAAUCACGUUGGCACAUCUCUGUCUUUCGUUCAAUUCAUGGCAUCCAUUACACAGAGCAAAAAUACAUAAAUCUCCUCUCGGUCUCAUUAUGUAUCCUCAAAUCAUUCAAAUAUUGGCCAGAUAUUUAAAAGCAUUAAGCACAAUAAUGAACACUCAAUCAUGGAAUAAUUAAUUAAAAAUAACAUAGAUUUAUGGAAUUAAAUCUUCAUAGUUAGGCUACAUCGUAGCCCUAGUAAAAUAAAUUAGUUCAUGGAAAUAUAAAGAGAAUCCAUUAAUUUAAUUGGAAACAUUCAAGCAAGAUAAUAGAGAAGAGGAAAAGAAAAACUCAAGAAUUAAUGUGUCUUCCUCCUGCUCCAGAUUAUUCCUGCUGCUCUCGGUUUUGCUCAAAACUUGCGGCUGCCUUUUUCUAUCUCCUUUCUCUUGGCUUCUUAUUAUUCUCCUUGUGCGGCUGCCUUUCUUCCCUUUUAUAAUGUUGUGGUUUCUUCCAAAUCCUUAAAGGAAAAGGAUUGCAAAUCCAGCCCACGAAUCCUUAAAUGAAAAUAAUUAAAAACAAAAGCCCAACCGCCUAUUUCAUUCCUAAGCCAAUCAGAAUUAAAAGCAAAAGCCCCUCCACGUGUUGCAUGCCAUAUUUGUCUUUGUAAAUGAAUUCUUCAAUGCUUCCUCACGUGCAUGCAUGCUUAAUGAUUAAUUAAAUUAAAUCCUUUGUGAUUUGUUCCAAUUAAUUCUCUUUAUUUCUUUAUUGUACCUAAAAUAAGAAAAUAUAAAAAUUAAGAUAAAAUUAACAUAAUUAAAUAUAAUUUAACAUAAAAUUAAGUUAUGGAAGCAUUAAAAUAAUAGAUUAAUAUUAGCACAUCAUGUAUCUUCACCAACACUUCAACAUCUUAUGGCAUGCAAACGUGUGCUUAGAUAUUUGAAGGAAACACAAGAUUAUGGGCUGAAAUUUGUUAAGGAAGGUGAGCUAAAGGUUAUAGCAUUUACAGAUGCAGACUGGGGAAGUGAUCUUGAUGACAGAAGAUCCACUGGUGCCUAUUGUGUGUAUCUAGGAAACAACUUAAUCUCAUGGUCCUCAAAGAAGCAAUCUGUAGUUACAAAGUCUUCUGCAGAGAGUGAAUACAGAGCGCUUGCAGCUGCUGUUUCAGAGAUAACAUGGUUAAAAUCUUUAUUUCUUGAGAUUGAUCUAUGUUGUGUGGAGAAACCAGUUAUAUGGUGUGACAAUGUGAGUGCUAAAGAACUUGCUUAUAAUCUAGUGUUUCACUCAAGAACAAAACACAUAGAAAUCGAUCUGCAUUUUAUCAGAGAUAAGGUUCUAGCUGGAGAUCUUAAGAUUCUCUAUAUUCCUAGUGCAGAGCAGAUAGCAGACAUAAUGACUAAGCCCUUAAACUCUCCUCAAUUCAUUUAUCUGAGAAACAAACUCAAUGUGCAUUUAUGCCCCUUGAGUUUGAGGGGGGCUGUGAAGAAAGCUCAUUGUGCUGAACUGAGAAGAGAGAAGAAGCCAGAAAUUAAGAUGCAUCAGCAAUGCCACGUCAACAAUGCUGAGUCAACUGAUUCUGUUAAGCAGCAAUGAGAGUUCACGUGUAUUGCUGUUAGUUAGUAUUAGCUAGUCUCGUACUGAUUAGUUAACUGUUUUUUAGUGUAAUACAAAUUAGUUUGUUAUAGCUUUUACUAAUAAACAUGUAAGUAUAUAAAGUCUGUAAGAACUACUCAUUUUUAGUGUAAUACAAAUUAGUUUGUUAUAGCUUUUACUAAUAAACAUGUAAGUAUAUAAAGUCUGUAAGAACUACUCAUUUUUAACUAAUGAAUUAGAUCCAUAAUAUUCAUAAACUUUCUCUCUGUUUUCUCGAUAACCAAACAGCAUUUUCAAUUCAUUUUACACUUGUCAUGAGCUUCUCAUCUUCUGUCUUGAAGGAAGAAAUUGCAAAAGACGAAUAAAACGAUUUCCUUUACACAUUCAAUCAAUGCUGCUGCCUUCAUAUCUUUAUUAUUAUCGGAGGGAUGAUACUGUUGAGAGCCGAAACCAUUACCCAUACUCACUCCUCUUAUGGCCGUGUCUAACUCUCUACAAUAAUUUCGAUAUUUCUGUUCUUCAGUUCUUCCACUACUCAACAAAUGCGAAGGUUUGCGAUGGCUCCACUCAUUCAAGUUGAUUUUACAUUUGUUACAAUCUACUCCCGCCAUUGCUAGAGCCUCUAUGGACAUGUUUUAACAAGGUGAAGGAGAAGCUAAAUAAAAUUCACAAUUUGCCUGAAAGUUUACAGCUUCCAGGAAAUUCACCACCUCUAUAGAAUUGUAAUAACAAGAAUUGUGGUCUCCGUAAAAGAAUUUAUAAGAGUUAAUAUAAAAGAUUUGUUUAGGAGAAUGAAUUUUAUACGGACUAGAAAUACUCAUGAUUAAUUGGUUAUUCAGAUGGUUUAGAAAUCCUCUCGAUAUUAGGAAGCCAUUUAAGAUUCUGAUUAUUGUUGUUCUAAAUAUAUUAGUUUGCACCAACUUCCAAUUCCACAAUUACUCUGACAGCGGUUUUCACGGACUUAUUUAUGUAUCUGAAUCUUUUUAUUCAUGAAAGAAUAAUCUCUUGCAAACUCACAACUUCAAUUAUGAAUCAACUAGCUAGCAACCAUUUCUUUACUUUUAAUUGCUUUGGAAAUUAAGGAUUCGUCAGCCGCCAGAUUCUGCAGUGAUUCUGUUGCAUUCAAUUAUUUGUUGAACUAUUUAUGCACGAGUGGAGGAGGAAUUCUAGAAUACAUUUGAAAUAAUACAAUCAACCAAUGCAUGCACACCACUUGUAUGGAGAUUUUUCAAAAAUAAAUGCACACAUGUCAUAACAUUAUCUACUUGUUAUAUGACUGACAUGAUAUGUUUUAUGUAUUCUAAAAUUUUCCUGAGUGGAGACCAUGAGUGGUAACAUCCACGUGACAAGAGAGUAUUACAAAGAGAUAGUCUCUUGUCAAUUUGAAUAUUUAUUGUAUUGAAACUACUAAGUAUAUAAGCUCGGACAACCCUAAUUUCAUGAUGAGGGGUUAAAGACAAUACUAUUCUAAAAGAAAAUGGAACGAAAUCGUCCAUCCAUAGCCAUUAUUUGACUUUUAGAUUUGCCCUUCCAAAUUUUAACAAAAUGCGCAGACGAUUUUUAAUUUAUUCAUGUGAACGAAGUACAACAAAAUUAUUGAACCAAUCAGAACCAAGAUGGAAAUGAUCAUAAGCAAAAGUAAUUUGCAAGGACGAAUGGAAGCAGAUAAAUUAUUCUAAUUAAGAGACUAAGUGCAAGUGAAAUAACUGUAGCACUGAUUAUUCGAGUAUGGAGGGAACGUCGUCGAAGAAGGGUAAACUUCUCUGUUUCAGGAUUUCACAAUCCUCAGGACUUGCUGUGUUUGGAUCAAAAGGCUCACGAUCAGGGGGAGGUAAGCCAAGUUUCAUUUGACCCACUCGCCGCGAAUGCAGGACUUGCUUGGUAGUGACAGGUAGCCUAACAGAUUGAUGUUCUUCCAGAGCUGAAUGUAAAUUUUCUGGCCCCCACCUCUCAAGGCAUUUACCUAAAACUGCUGCAUCAGCUAUGACCAUGUUUGUGCUUCUUGCACAGUGAGGGGUUAUGGGAUGAGCCGCAUCUCCAAUUAAGACCACAUUGUCCCAGUAUAUUUGUGUCAAAGGGUCACAAUCAUAUAUAAGGUUAAGGAAAGGCUCCUUUGUUUCUUUUAUCACUCUUGCAAACUCAGGAACCCAAAUCUUCUCUGCUUCUUGGUGCAUCUUCUUGAUCAUGUCACUGCUCACUUUCAUUGUAGCUGAAUCUCCCUGAAAUUACUUAAUCAAUUUAUUAAAGCUAGCUCUGCUAACACGUAUGUAUAUAAAUGAUAAAAUGAAGCAAGUUAGGCAAUCACCUUGAGUUGAGGCUCAGGUUGAGAGAUAAACCAAAUCCAAUUGAGCCUCUUGCACAUAAGCUCAUCAAGGACGGUGUAAGUUCCAGAGGCCAAGUCCAUGUGCACGCCAUUCCCAAGCGUGGGAUAUGCCUUCCGGAUGCCUUGUAUGGUUUCUGAAUUCUCAUUUUCCGAAAAAUCAAAAACCCCCCUCCAAGCACAGUAACCUGUAUACCUGCAAAACAGAAAUGAAAGAUAAACCGUAAAUUUCAAGACAACAGAAAAUAUGAAAAUAUAAUAUAAUUUGUUCAGAAACCUGAGUUUAGAGUCUGGUAAAAAAGUCUGGCGAACUGAUGACCGGCUCCCGUCAGCCGCAACCAGCAAAUCUCCAGCUAUGUCGAUGACCUCAUCAGUUUUAAGAUUCUUAGCUUUGACAUUGACAGUUGAUUUGUCGUGAGAAAUGCAGAAAGUGAGGUACAAGUGACCCCAAAAAAAUAUUUCCGGAGGCAGAGUAUUGUAUAUAAGACUAUGAAGAUCAGUUCAAUGUGCCUGUAAAUAGUUGAAAUUUUCAUCUCUAGCUAGUAUCCGACAGAUGUUCUUUUCCUGAUCUACUGCCCGAUUCUGCACAGAAAGAAAAAUAAAAAAAAAAUCAGCACAACUUGUGGGAACAUCAGUUGAAAUUAAAGCAGUUCUGUGUAGACACAUACAUUACCUGAUCAAUGGUGAGAGGUAAGGUGAUGUUGUGAAGAAGAUCAGGUUGAUGGAGCCAUGACUUAACUAUUUUCUGGGACAAUGGAUGAAGUGCGAUUCCAGCGCCGGUUGGGUUUCCGGUUGGAGGUCCACGUGUCUUCUCGAUCACCACCACAUCCCAACCUGCUAAAAUAAGCGCUUUUUUGCUAUGCUUCCCCCAACUAUUAUAGCUUUUGGCUUCCGCAUCCUCUCACUCAUGUCUCUCUCUUCCUCUCAAACACCUGUAUGUGUGACACAAAGGGACGCUCGCGCAAAGAUAUAUUUAUAUACAGGGGAAAACUUCCCAUUCUGAAUUCAUAAAUCAGGAUGAGCCGGCAAUCAUAUGAACAUUUUUUUAAAAUAAUUAUUUUAAAUUUUUUUUAUACUAUUGUUAAUUUGACUCUCGAACCAAGUCACUACUCUAUAAAUUUUUUUCAAUCUGAACUUAUAUAUUCCAAUUCAAGAACAAGGUUUAAUAAUGUAAUGACCGUGAAAACUAUUAGACCAUAUGGUUUAACAAUGUAAUGAUAUUAUACUAUAAAAUCCUUUAAUAACUUUUUGAAUUGUAAUAAUAUUCAGGAUUCUAAACUAGAUCAGUACUAUAUACACACACAUACACAGGCGGUGCCAUGAAUUAUUUUUAACAGGCUCUAAGUUUAAAUAGUAAUUUAAUUUAAAAAAUUAAUUAACAAAUAACAUAUAUCAAAAUAAAAAUUUAUUAAAAUAUUUAAUUCAAUACACUUAUAAUUGUUCUUGACUUCGUUUUAUAUGUUAAAAACAUUAAAGAAUAAUCUCAUUAUCAAGACUACAAAAUAUGUCUUUUUCUAUUUAUAUAACAAAUCUAUCGUUUAACUAUUGUUCUCCCAUUUGAUUUCACAGAUGAUUUUUUAUCAAAUUUAUAGUUGAAAAUGCCCUUUCUACUGUAUCUCUAGUAACUGGUAAAAUCAAUACUAAUAUCACCAAUAAAUAAACUAAUGAAUAUAAUUUACCUUUCUUAGUCUCACCGCAUUGUUAUUUUAUUAUUUAUUUGAAAACUGAUAAUAAAUUAUGAUUAAAUAUGUUCGCAGCAAUUACAAAGUCUUGAUACAAUGUUUCUAUCUCACAUGAUGACGUAACAUCAAUAUCGAUGAUCGCUAAUUAGGGAUUCCAUUAUCCUAUUUUCCCUCUCACAUGAUGAAUAAAUAAACAGUUUUAAAAUCUCGCGUCACCCAAUGUCUAGAAUGUACCCGGAGGCCGCAGCCUCAAAAGUAGUCAAAUUAAAUUCAAACUCUACAAACUCAAUAACAUGAUUACGUCUUAUUCUUUCUUAAUUGAAGUUGAUUUUUCAAGGAGGCAAUUUGUCCCGUCGUAUGCAGCCAAGUUAGAACGAAAAAAUGCUUAAUUAAAAUCUUACGAUCUUGAAGAAACCUUUCUAAUCAAAAUAAAUUCUCAAGUCAGAUUUUUCAAUCUGGCGAUAUGGAAUUUGCCUAAUAAAACUCUACAUUCAAACAUCACGCUUAUGAAACCCUUGCAUUCAGAAUAAAUUCUUGCGGUAUAUAAAAAAAAAAAAAAUUCUUGCGGGUAAGGAGGAUCAAAUGCAAGAAAAAAGUUUGAUAAAAAUGAAUAAAAGGAAUAAGGUAAAAGGAUGAAUAAUUUUGGUAAAAUUAGGUAUCUUGUGAAUAAAAUUCAUUGAUGGUAUGUUUCCUAUGAAGUUUAUAGUAUGUGAUGAUAGCAUUCUUCUGUAGGUAUUCAGGUUAUUGUGCAUGGCGAGGGGUUCUUGAUUUUUCGGGGAUUGAGGAUUCAGAGAUCAUCAAAGGCAUGAGGAGGGUGUGUCCUGACCUGGGGAAAUGCUUAUACUACGACCUGGCAUCUGGAACUCACAGUGUGUUUUAUGAGCUUCUCAAUAAAAGGCUCAAUUGGGUUUGGUAUAUCAACCAACCUGAGCCCAUAAUGAAGGUGAUUGCUUUGCUUUCUCCCACUCGCGUGCAAUCUUUGUAUAUACUACUAACCAUGAACUGUACUUGACCUUACUUUAAGGGCCGCAGAGGUUUUGCUGUAAGUUGUUAGAACUAAAUGCUGAAUAAAACACUUAGCAUUCAUGAUGCUAGGACGCAGAUUUUUGUGAUGCUUUAGUUUAGUUUCAAAGUUUCUAAAUCUGAAUUUCUACUCACAUUAAGAAACCAUGUAUUUCUCACCUGGUAAAUUCAAUCCUACAUAUUGACUUCGAGGCAACAUAUGCUUCUGGGACCGCUGGACUUCACCUUCUGGGAUGAGCAGAUGACAAGGAGUUGCCACUAAUUACAGAUAGAUACGUUUCUUUUCCAAAUUACAUAUGUUAACCAGCCAGUUCUAAUUAUUAUUAUUUGGAAACUAUGUGCAGGGAAAUUCAGUAACCAUGAGAGUAAGCAAUGACAUGAUCAAGAACAUGCACGAAGAAGCAGAGAAGGUUUGGCUUCCUGAGUUUGUGAAGGUCAUUAAAGAAACAAAAGAACCUUUCAUAAAUGCGAUGUAUGAUUGUGAUCCUCUUAAACAAAUAUUUUGGAGUAACAUAGUAUUAAUUGGAGAUGCUGCUCACCCAACAACUCCUCAUGGUCUGAGAAGCACGAACAUGUCAAUACUAGAUGCAAUGGUCUUGGGAAAAAGCCUUGAAAAGUGGGGAGUGGAGGGUUUGCUUUCAGCUCUUGAAGAAUAUCAGACAGUUCGGCUACCUGUAACCUCAAAACAAGUCCUGCAUUCACGGCGACUUGGUCGAAUUAAACAAGGCUUAGCUCUUCCAGAUCGUGAACCUUUUAAUCCGAAGACAGCAAGUCCACGAGACUGUCAAUAGCUUCAACAGAAAACUAUGCCUUUCUUCGCAGACCUGCCUUCUCUGGUUGACUCAACAUUAUGCUCCACUUGACCUGGGAGAAGAUGAAGCAUGUUCCAAGCAACCGAAUAGUAGUUAAGUUUCAAUUCUUUACACUUAUUUACAUCAUACCCAACUUAGUUCUCAUUGUGUGUAGUCUAGUAGGAAUCUCGUGUUUGUAUAGAACUAUUGUAUCCUUGUCAUCGAUCUUUGUUUUAUUUUCAUUUAUCUUGUUAUGCAGGAAUAAACUUAAUUAUUGUGAUUAAAACAAAAAUUAUGAUCGGUUUCAUGUGCCUAUUAAAGCUAUAAGAAAUUAAACUUUUGAAUUCAA